CAAGGUUAUAUUCAAUCUUCAAAUGAUAAUAAUGAGCAAUUAGAGGAUAUAGGGGAUCAAUAUGUUGAGGAAUUAUUGUCAAGGUCAUUGUUGGAGAAGGCGGGAACCAAUCAUUUUAAAAUGCAUGACCUUAUACAUGAUCUUGCACAAUCAAUUGUAGGAUAUGAGAUCCUUGUUUUAGAAAGUUAUGUAAAUAACAUUUCACAAGAAGCUCGUCAUGUAUCAUUGUUUGAAGAGGUAAAUCCUAUGAUAAAGGCUCUAAAGGGAAAACCCAUAAGGACCUUUCUAAACCUUGGUGAAGAUUCUUUUAAGGAUAGUACAAUUGUAAAGUCAUUUUUUCCGAGUUUUAUGUGUUUACGUGCAUUGAGUUUAAGUCGUAUGGGUGUAGAGAAGGUGCCAAAGUGUUUAGGCAAAUUGAGUCAUUUAAGGUAUCUUGAUCUUUCCAACAACAAUUUUGAGGUACUUCCAAAUGCUAUUACAAGGUUAAAGAAUUUGCAAACACUAAAACUCAUAUGGUGUCGGCGUUUAAAAAGAAUUCCAGACAACAUAGGAGAAUUGAUCAAUCUUAGACACUUGGAGAAUGAUAGCUGUUUUAACUUGGCUCAUAUGCCACAUGGAAUCGGCAAGUUGACUUUACUUCAAAGUCUACCAUUGUUUGUUGUUGGGAAUGAGACAGGGUGGUUAAGGAAUCACAAAAUUGGUAGCUUGAGUGAAUUGAAAGGCCUUAACCAACUAAGAGGAGGGUUAUGCGUAAGUGAUCUUCAAAACGUGAGGGAUGUUGAACUGGUAUCCAGGGGGGAAAUUUUGAAAGGAAAACAAUAUCUUCAGUCCUUGAGAUUGGAAUGGGAUCGGUGGGGCCGAGAUGGGGGGGAUGAGAGUGAUAAGUCAGUGAUGGAAGGCCUUCAACCACACCAACACCUAAAGGAUAUCUUUAUAGAAGGUUAUGGAGGUACGGAGUUUCCAAGUUGGAUGAUGAAUGAUGGGUUGGGUUCCCUGUUUCCCGACCUAAUUAAAAUUGAAAUUUCGGGAUGUUCAAGAUGCAAAAUUCUGCCACCCUUUUCUCAACUCCCUUCUCUCAAGUCUUUGAAGCUUCAUAAUAUGAAAGAAGUGGUGGAGUUAAAGGAGGGUUCAUUAACAACGCCACUCUUCCCAUCUCUUGAAUCGCUCGAACUCUCUGACAUGCCAAAGUUGAAGGAAUUGUGGAGGAUGGACUUACUAGCAGAAAAACCUCCUUCAUUUUCUCAUCUUUCGAAGUUAUAUAUUUAUGCAUGCUCUGGUUUGGCAUCACUGCAUCCUUCUCCUUCUCUUUCUCAAUUAAAGAUCCAUAAUUGCCCAAACUUGACAUCCAUGGAACUGCCGUCAUCUCUUUGUCUUUCUCAAUUAGAUAUCAGAAAAUGCCCUAACUUGGCAUCCUUCAAAGUGGCUCCAUUACCUUCUCUUGGGAUACUCUCUCUGUUCACAGUUAGAUAUGGUGUGGUACGGCAGAUAAUGUCUGUCUCUGCUUCUUCUUCGUUGCGGUGUCUGUAUAUUAAAAGCAUAGAUGAUAUGAUAUCUCUCCCGAAGGAGUUACUUCAACAUGUUUCUGGCUUGGUAACGUUAGAGAUCCGUGAGUGUCCUAACUUGCAAUCCUUGGAACUGCCCUCAUCCCAUUGUCUUUCUAAAUUAAAGAUUGGAGAAUGCCCUAACUUGGCAUCCUUCAAUGUGGCUUCAUUACCUCGUCUUGAGGAACUAAGCCUGCGUGGAGUCAGAGCAGAGGUACUGAGGCAGUUCAUGUUUGUCUCUGCUUCUUCUUCAUUGAAGUCUCUACAUAUACGGAAGAUUGAUGGUAUGAUAUCUCUCCCAGAGGAGCCGCUUCAAUAUGUUUCCACUCUCGAAACUCUCCACAUUGUUAAGUGCUCUGGUUUGGCAACAUUACUACACUGGAUGGGCAGCCUUUCCUCGCUUACGGAACUUAUUAUUUAUGACUGCUCUGAAUUGACAUCACUGCCAGAAGAGGUCUAUUCCCUUAAAAAACUGCAGACAUUUUAUUUCUGUGAUUAUCCACACCUAGAGGAAAGAUACAACAAGGAAACAGGUAAAGACCGGGCCAAGAUUGCUCGUAUCCCACAUGUUCGUUUCAACAGUGAUACCUAUAUGGUAAUGAAGGUAGGUCCGAAAUCCCUAACCUUUCUUCCCAUUUUUAUUAUUUAAGAAUCAAAAUGCUAUGUUUGUUUUUACUGCUCACAUUAGUAAUUUUGAAAUUUUUUUCCAGCUAGGAUGCGCUUUCCGAUGAUGUGCACUAAACUAACCAUUUUACUUGGAGUUGUACAUUCUAAGAGUUUGAGGAAAUACUGAGGUCUGAUAUGAUAACUCUCAAUCUUAAACGUUGUUUUGUGUUUGGAACGUUACUACACUUGAUACAUACCCUCACCUCACUUACAGAGCUUGGAAAUCGUGGCUGCCCUGAAUCGACGUCACUGUCAGAAUAUAUGUUCCCUCAAAAACCUGCAGACACUAAAUAAUCUGCAUCUGUUCACAGAAAGAUGCUGAAAGGAAAGGUGAAGACUAACCCAAGAUUGCUCAUAUGCCACAAAUUGAUAUCAUACAUCCAUGAAGAUUGAACCGAUACACAAUGCCUUUCAGGUCCGAAAUCCCUAACUUUUCUUCUCAUUUUCUAUGACUUCAUUUUCAUUAUCUUACUUUUAAAAUGCUCUGUUUUCAUUUGUUUUGGUAGUUCUUUGUAUUUGUGACUUACUUGUUUGAAAACUUUUACAUCUUCAAAUUAUUUUACUGUAAGUGUUUUGCAUUCUAAGAGUUUGAGGAAAUACUGAGCUCUAAUAUAACUAGUAGAGUCCACCAUUCCUAAGAAGCUUACCAUUGCCUAAUGCCCAAAGGAUCCCAAAAGGAGACAACUUUGGAUUGGCUUGAAGAUUUCACGUGGUCCAAAAAUUUGUAUUUACUAGACGCCUGAUACAAAAAGUAGUUUAAAUUUAGCCAUUAAUAUAACUUUUUUAUUAGAGAAAUAAUUGCCAAACAAAUGCAAAAUAGAAAAUGGUGUUAAUGAAUUCAGUACUUCAUCUAUGUUGCAGUUUAGCAGCUUUUGUUAGAUAAUGAGUAUGGGGUUGGGUUUAUCUUGUUACCAUUCCAAAUAUUCUUAAAAAAAUCAUCAAGGCUUUGUUUGGUUUCUUGAAAAUUUGAGGGAAAAAAUAGAGAGAAAAAGUGGAAGGAAAAAAAAAAGUGGAAGUCAAUAAAUUAUUUUUAUAUUAUACUUUAAACUCAUUUCACUUUUUUUAACUCUUUGAUUUAAAGAUUAAAUAAUUUGAAAAUGUAUAAAUUUCUAAUUAAUCUUAAUUAUAUUUUAUUUUCUUUGCUAUUUUCCAUAGGACAAUUAAACUUGAGAAAAUCAUUUUCCUUAACAUUAUUUUCUUAGUACUUUUUGGGAACCAAACAUAACCUAAAUGUUUUAGUUUAGUUUAGCAGCUUCAUCAAAUUAGAUAGACAACCUCACAUCUCUUAUUUAGCUGAGGUGCUAUGUUAGUUAAUGUUUUGUCUCUACUUCUUCAUUGAAGUCUAUCUAUUGGAUGCAGAGAUGAUAUGAUCCAAACUCAAAUUGAACACUGCUCUUGUUUUGCAACACUACUGCAUUGGAAAGGCAACUUGAACUCACUUAUAGACCUACCUAUUGGUGAUUGCAUUGAAUUGACGUCACCUUGGAAGAGAUGUGUUCCACAUGGAAAAUCUUUCAUUAUAUGCACCUACUUGCAAGAUACCAAAAGGAAACAGGUGAAUACUUGCCCAAGAAUACAGAGGGCCACACUUGGUGAAGGUUUCAUCAGUAAGGAGAACCAUUUCAAGUAUGAAAUCCUCCCUUCUCAUUUUCUGAUGACUUCAUUUUUAUUCAAUAUCCAUUUGAAAUUAUUUAAGUUCAUUUUCUUUAUAUAUUAUAUUUUCUUUCUUGCUCAAUAAUUUCAUUCAAGUAAGUUGUUUGGAUAUCACAUUUUCUUUGGGGUUUUUUUUUUCUUUUUAGAAUAAUUUCAAAAGGUCAUUUUUAACUAUUCACAAAAUUUGAUCAUAGUUGAGUGAUUAAAAUUCAAGUUUAUUCUUAUUAUCAUUAGUAGUUAUUUGAUAUAUUCGUUUGCUAAUACAAAAAUAAGACUAACAAGUAAUGUGCAUAGAGUUUGUAGAAGAGAAGAAAGAUUUGAUCCAAGAUAUUCCUAAAGAUCGGAAACUUUCAAAGCCACCCAAGAUCCCAUAGGUUGAAUUCGGAUUCAUCCAGUUUACAAUCCAUUAAUUCUACUUAUAUCAUCUUUGUUAUGUUACAAUUUGCCUUUACUUGUUAUGCAGCCUACCUUAAUAAUUUGGGGAGACCAAGAUAAGGUAUACCUAGUAGAACUGGCUCACAAAUUGAAAAGGUAAACUUGUAUCACCUGCCUACAUGCCUACAACAAUAUAAACACUAGUUCGUGUCUUUCUCACUAUUGAAAUUGUUAUUGCAUGCAGGCAUUUCAGGUGAGGAGGCCCAACUUGUGAUCAUAGAGCAUACUUUUAUUAUAGAGAAGCCCAAGGAAAUAUUUAAGCACUUGAAAUCCUUUCUCAUUGAUUUGCUUCCACCUCCUAAGCAACACCUAGAACCACUCCCACCAUGACGAAGUUAAAAGGAACUAAUGCAACAUUCUCAAUAUAUUAGAAUAUAUCGAAGGAAGGGUGGCCACAUAUGAAGACCCUAUUCCAAGGUCAAAUUUAAGAUUUUUGUGUUUUUCCUAUCACUAUUCCUAUGCUAUUAUCAGUGCACCUUAUUUGUCAAGAUGAUUAAAAGGGAAUUCCCUAGGAUAACUAGUGUCUCAAGUGAUCUUGAAGUUCAUAAAUUUUUUGUUUCCACAAGAUAGGUGCUAACUAUUUUUAUUUUUUUUACACCCAUGCAAUAUUCUAGUCAUCUAUUAACAAGGGCUAAAAUUUCUUGUAGAGAAUAGAAUAAAGAACUAAAUUACAUGAAAAUAGGACAUUAUUAUUCUAUUUACAAGUAAGGGCCAAAAAUUGUUGAGGGCCACCAAGCACAUUGUUCCUAAAAUAAUAGCAUCCAUGUUGUUGAGCAAAAGUUUUUUUAUAUUGGCACCUCAUAUGUUUGUUUAAAUGCUCACAUCAAUAACUUUGAAAAUAUUUUCCAAAUUUUCAACAAAUUGUAAUGCUGUGCACUAAACUAAUCAUUUUACUUGGAGUUCUACAUUCUAAGAUUUUGAGAAAAAAACUAAGGUCUGAUAUGACAACUCUCAAUCCUAAAUGUUGUUUUGUGUUUGGAAUAUUACUGCACUUGAUAGAUGCCCUUACCUCUCUUACAGAACUUGGAAUUCAUGGCUACCCAGAAUUGGCAUCCCUGCCAGAAGAUAUGUUCCCUCAAAAGCCUGCAGAAACUAAACAAUUUGCAUUUGUUCACACUUAGAGGAAAGCUGCUGAAAGGAAAAGUGAAGACUAACCAAAGAUUUCUCAUAUCCCACAAAUUGAUAUCAUACAUCCAUGAAGAUUGAACUGAUACAGAAUGCCUUUCAGGUUUGAAAUCCCUAACUUUUCUUCUUAUUUUCUAUGACUUCAUUUUUAUUAUCUUCCAUUCAAAAAUCCUCUGUUUUCAUUUGUUUUGGUAGUUCUUUUUAUUUGCACCUUAUUUGUUUUAUUAAAUGCUUACUCCAGUAAGUUUGAAAAUUUUUACAUCUUCAAAUCAUUUUGCUUGAGUAUUUUGCAUUCUAAUAGUUUGAGGAAAUAUUGAGCUCUAACAUAAAUAGUAUUGGUCAUAGAGUCUUCCUUUCUUAAGAAGCUUACCAUUAACCUAAUGGCCAAAGGAUCCCAAAAGGAAAUGAAUUUGGGUUGGCUUGAAGAUUUCACAUGGUCCAAACAUUCGUAUUUACUAGAUGCCUGAUACAAAAGAAAUUUUGCUCUCUUUUCAAUUUAGCCAUUGAUGUAGUCUAAAUGUUUUAUUAGAGCAAUAAUUGUCGAGUAAAUGCAAAAUAGAGAAUGGUGUUAAUGAAUUCAGUACUUCAUUUAUGUUGUAGACUUGUAGUUUAGCAGCUUCUGUUGAUAAUGAGUGUGAGGUUGGCUUUAUCAUGUCACUGUUCCAAAUAUUCUUAAAAAAAAUAAUUUAAGCUCUGUAUGGUUCUUAGAAAAUUUAAGGGAAAAUGUGAGGAAAACAAAAUAGAGAGGAAAAGUGGAAGGAAAAAAAAGUGAAAGUCAAUAAAUUAUUUUUGUAUGCUACUUCAAACUCACUUCACUUUUUUUUAACUCUUCAAUAUAAAGAUUAAAUCAUUUGAAAAAUGUGUAAAUUUCUAAUUAAUUUUAAUUAUAUUUGAUUUUCUUUGGUAUUUUCCAAAAGACAACCAAAUAUGAGAAAAUCAUUUUCCUUUACAUUUUUUUUCUUAGUACUUUUAGGGAACCAAACAUAACCUAACUGUUUUAGUUUAGUAGUUUCAUCAAAUUAGAUAGACAACCUCACAUCUCUUAGUGAGCUGAGGUGCUAUGUCAAUUAAUGCUUUGUCUCUACUCUUCAUUGAAGUCUCUAUCUAUUGGAUGCACAGAUGAUAUGAUCUAAACUCAAAUUGAACACUGUUCUUGUUUUGCAACAUUACUGCACUCGAAAGGCAACUUCAACUCACUUAUAGACCUUCCUAUUGGUGAUUGCACUGAAUCGACAUCACUUUGGAAGAGAUGUGUUCCACACAGAAAAUCUUUCAUUAUAUUCACCUACUCGCAAGAUACCAAAGGGAAACAGGUGAAUACUUGCCCAAGAAUACAAAGGUCAUACUUGGUGAAGGUUCCAUCAAUAAGGAGAACCAUUUCAAGAAUGGAAUUCUCAUUUCUUCUCAUUUUCUUAUGGCUUCAUUUUUAUUCAAUAUCUAUAUGAAAUUAUUUAUGUUCAUUUUCUUUAGAUAUUACAUUUUUUUGCUUUCUCAAUAAUUUCAUUCAAGUUCUUUUGGAUAUCACAUUUUCUUUGGUGUUUUUUUUAGAAUAAUUCAAAAUGUCUUUUUUAACGGUUCACAAAAUUUGAUCACAGUUGAGUGAUUAAAAUUCAAGUUUAUUAUUAUUAUUAUUAUUGGUUAUUUGAUAUAUUUGUUUUCUUAUACAGAUAAAAGACUAGCAGCUAUUGUGCAUAGAAUUUGUAGAAGAGAAUAAAGAUUUGAUCUAAGUUAUUCCUAAUAGGUUGAGGAAUUCAUUCUUGUAAAAAUUGAGUGUUAAAGCCUUCAAGAGGUUUGAAUCUUGAAGAAAUUAUGUGAGAGCCCAUUGGAGCCAGAAUCCAAGUGUAAAGGAGAUUGGAAGCUUUGUUGAAACUUCAAGUUAGUGGAACCCUCACUCGGUUAGGAGAUUGAGGAGAGUGGAUGUAGGCAAGGAAAUGCCGAACCACUAUAAAAUCCAAGUUUAAAUUCUCUAACUCUAUCUCUUUAUUUUUUUAUUAUAUUGUACUUGAAUUUGUUGUGUUGAAAAAGUUUUUGAAAAACCCAAUUCACCUUCCUCUUAGGUGUUUUUCUCAUUUAAGCAUAGCCUUUAUUUUCUCACACUUGAAAUCCUUUCUCAUUAAUUUGCUUCCACCCCAUAAGCAACCCUCGAAACCACUUACACCAUGACAAGGUGAAAAGAAACUAAUGCAACAUUCUCAAUAUAUAAGAAGAUAUCAAAGGAAGGUUGGCCACAUAUGAGGACCCUGUUUCUAAGGUAGAAUUUUAGAUUUUUGUGUUUUUCCUAUCACUAUUCCUAUACUAUUACCAGUGCACCUUAUUUGUCAAGAUCAUUAAAAGGGAAUUCCCUAGGAUAACUACUGUCUCAACUGAUCUUGAGGUUCAUAAAUUUUUAGUUUCCACAAGAUAGGUGCCAACUAUUUUUAUUUUUUUUACACCCAUGCAAUAUUCCAAUCAUCUAUUAACAAGGGCUAAAAUUUCUUGUAGAGAAUAGAAUAAAGAACUAGAUUACAUGAAAAUAGGACAUUAUUAUUCUAUUUACAAGUAAGGGCCAAAAAUUGUUGAGGGUCAUCAAGCACAUUGUUCCUAAAAUAAUAGCAUCCAUGAAGAUUGAACUGAUACAGAAUGCCUUUCAGGUUUAAAAUCCCUAACUUUCCUUCUUAUUUUCUAUGACUUCAUUUUUAUUAUCUUACAUUAAAAAAUCCUCUAUUUUCAUUUGUUUUGGUAGUUCUUUUUAUUUGCACCUUAUUUGUUUUAUUAAAUGCUUACUCCAGUAAGUUUGAAAAUUUUUACAUCUUCAAAUCAUUUUGCUUAAGUGUUUUGCAUUCUAAGAGUUUGAGGAAAUAUUGAGCUCUAAUAUAAAUAGUAUUGGUCAUAGAGUCUUCCUUUCUUAAGAAGCUUACCAUUGACCUAAUGGCCAAAGGAUCCCAAAAGGAAACGACUUUGGGUUGGCUUGAAAAUUUCACAUGGUCCAAACAUUUAUAUUUACUAGAUGCCUGAUACAAAAGAAAUUUUGCUCUCUUUUUAAUUUAGCCAUUGAUGUAGUCUAAAUGUUUUAUUAGAGCAAUAAUUGUCGAGUAAAUGCAAAAUAGAGAAUGGUGUUAAUGAAUUCAGUACUUCAUCUAUGUUGUAGACUUGUAGUUUAGUAGCUUCUGUUGAUAAUGAGUGUGGGGUUGGCUUUAUCAUGUCACUGUUCCAAAUAUUCUACAAAAAAAAAUCAUUUAAGCUUUGUUUGGUUCUUAGAAAAUUUGAGGGAAAAUGUGAGGAAAAUAAAAUAGAGAGGAAAAGUGGAAGGAAAAAAAAGUGAAAGUCAAUAAAUUAUUUUUGUAUGUUACUUCAAACUCACUUCACUCUUUUUAACUCUUCAAUAUAAAUUUCUAAUUAAUUUUAAUUAUAUUUGAUUUUCUUUGUUAUUUUCCAAAAGACAACCAAAUAUGAGAAAAUCAUUUUCCUUAACAUUUUUUUUUCUUAGUACUUUUAGGGAACCAAAUAUAACCUAAAUGUUUUAGUUUAGUAGUUUCAUCAAAUUAGAUAGACAACCUCACAUCUCUUAGUGAGAUGAGGUGCUAUGUCAAUUAAUGCUUUGUCUUUACUUCUUCAUUGAAGUCUCUAUUUAUUGGAUGCACAGAUGAUAUGAUCCAAACUCAAAUUGAACACUACUCUUGUUUUGCAACAUUAUUGCACUCAAAAGGCAGUUUCAACUCACUUAUAGACCUUCUUAUUGGUGAUUACACUAAAUUGACAUCACUUUGGAAGAGAUGUGUUCCACAUAGAAAAUCUUUCAUUAUAUGCACCUACUCGCAAGAUACCAAAGGGAAACAGGUGAAUACUUGCCCAGGAAUACAAAGGCCAUACUUAGUGAAGGUUCCGUCAAUAAGGAGAACCAUUUCAAGUAUGGAAUUCUCAUUUCUUCUCAUUUUCUUAUGGCUUCAUUUUUAUUCAAUAUCUAUAUGAAAUUAUUUAUGUUCAUUUUCUUUAGAUAUCACAUUUUUUUGUUUUCUCAAUAAUUUCAUUCAAGUUCUUUAGAUAUCACAUUUUCUUUGGUGUUUUUUUUAGAAUGAUUCAAAAUGUCUUUUUUAACGAUUCACAAAAUUUGAUCACAGUUGAGUGAUUAAAAUUCAAGUUUAUUAUUAUUAUUAUUAUUAUUAUUAUUAUUGGUUAUUUGAUAUAUUUGUUUUCUAAUACAGACAAAAGACUAGCAACUAAUGUGCAUAGAAUUUGUAGAAGAGAAUAAAGAUUUGAUCUAAGCUAUUCCUAAAGACCAAAAACUUUUAGAGCUACCCAAGAUCUAUCAGGUUGAAUUUUGAUUCACCUAGUUUACAAUCCACUAAUUAUCCUUAUAUCAUUUUUGUUAUGUUACAAAUUGCCUUUACUUGUUAUGCAACCUAUCUUAAUAAUUUGGGAAGACCAAGAUAACUUCUUCCUAGUAGAACUGGCUCACAGAUUGAAAAAGUAAACUCAUAUCACCUAUCUACAUGCUCACAACAUUAUAAACACUAGCUCAUGUGUUCCUCACUAUUGAGAUUGUUGCUACAUGCAGGCAUUUUGGGCGAGGAGGCCCGACUUGUGAUCAUCAAUAACACAAGGCAUGCUUUUAUACAGAGAAACCCAAAGAAACAUUUAAGCACUUUGUUAGCCCAAGGAUUCUCCUAAUCAGGUUUUGAUGAUAACAAACCAUGGUUAAGUGACUAAUUGGUUUGAAUGGUAAAAAAUCUUAGGUAUAAAUUUGGAAAUUCAUCAAAGGAUCAAAUGGAUACAAGAUCGAGACUUUUGGAAGACUUUUGAUCAUAGGAAACAAAUGUAAGAUGAAUGCAUGGGUGCACUUAGGUUUUACAUAUCUUUUCAUGAAGCUUUGAAAACUCGGUUUAUUCCUUAAAAUUACGAUUUCAUUAAAACCCGAGUUUUAUCAAAUGUACUUUAGGCAAAGCGUUUCAAAAUUGGCAUAUUAAUUUACCUAAAGAUCUUGCCUAAGUGUUAGAAAGGAAAAUAAUUGAAAAAUAUAGGUUUUCGGGGCCAAAAGGCUGAACCGAUCGAGGCACAUGCCAACCGACUUAACUAACCAGGGAACCGGUCAAUCGGUUGCUCUUGUCCGACCAAGAUCUGGUCGAGGAGUGUCAAAAACACUCUUUCUCAUCCAGUAGCCUUCUCUUCCCAGUCGAGGUACUCUCCUACCUCUGGUCGAGGUUCAGUCGAGGCAACGGUAACCUGCCAAAGCAUUAAAUGCUCCAACGGCUAGUGAACCAUUUGACCCCCAGCUCGACCGGUUGAGGCUAUUUUUUGCUAUUUUUGGCUCCUGAGCUUAGAAACCAAUAAAUUGAGAGCUCCACUUCAUUUAUGACAUAGAGAACACUUGCAAUCAAUUGUCUACCCAUUUAUUCUUGCCUUAAAAGCUCUCAUUUAUUUCUUAGUGCAUUAAAUCCUCACUUGCAUAUCCUUUAGUGCACCCUUGUGAAUCAUCCUAGCUUUGAUGUGUAUUUGAGUUAUCAUUAAGUUAGAUUGAGGGAUUCAUCUUGUAAAAAUUGAGUGUUAAAGCCUUCAAGAGGUUUAAAUCUUGAAGAGAUUAUGUAAGAGCCCAUUGGAGCCAGAAUCCAAGUGUAAAGAAGAUUGGAAGCUUUGUUGAAGCUUCAAGUUAGUGGAACCCUCACUCGGUUAGGAGAUUGAAGAGAGUGGACGUAGACAAGGAAAUGUCGAACCACUAUAAAAUCCGAGUUUAAAUUCUCUAACUCUAUCUCUUUAUUUUUUAUUAUAUUGUGCUUGAAUUUGUUGUGUUGAAAAAGUUUUUGAAAAACCCAAUUCACCCAUCUCAUAGGUGUUUUUCUCAUUUAAGCAUAGCCUUUAUUUUCUCACUCUUGAAAUCCUUUCUCAUUAAUUUGCUUCCACCUCAUAAGAAACCGUCGGAACCACUUACACCAUGACAAGGUGAAAAGAAACUAAUGCAACAUUCUCAAUAUAUCAGAAGCUAUCAAAGGAAGGUUAGCCACAUAUGAGGACCCUGUUUCUAAGGUAGAAUUUUAGAUUUUUGUGUUUUUCUUGUCACUGUUUCUAUACCAUUACUAGUGCACCUUAUUUGUUAAGGUGAUUAAAAGGAAAUUCCCUAGGAUAACUAAUGUCUCAGAUGAUCUUGAGGUUCAUAAAUUUUUGGUUUCAACAAGAUAGGCAUCAAACCAUUUUUAUUUUUUUCUACACCCAUGCAAUAUCCCAUUCAUUUAUUAAUAAGGGCUAAAAUUUCUUGUAGAGAAUGGAAUAAAGAACUAGAUUAAAUGAAAUAAGACAUUAUUAGUUUAUUUACAAGUAAGGGCAAAAAAUUAUUGAGGGUCAUUAAGCACAUUGUUCCUAAAAUAAUAGCAUCCAUGUCAUUGAGCAAAAGUUUAUUGCAAUUACAUUAGCAUAUAAAACAAAACUAUUUUUUAUUUAUUUAUGUUCACACCUUAUCCAUUUGAUAAAAUGCUUAAACAAGUAAGUUUGAAUUUUUUUUGUCUUCAAAUCAAUUUAAAUUUUACAUUCAAAAGUUGAAUUAAUUUUUUUUUUUUUGGAAAAUUUAACUGCACUUUAGAAGUUUGUGAUUAUUCUUUGGUCCAUCUUAAAACGAGUUCCUGCAUUCUUCCAUUCCUCAAAUUAAAAUCACAAUAAAACGUUUUAGAUUGACCUAAAAUUUUCUCAUGGCCUAGAAAUUCAUAUCUACUAGAUGGCUAAAGCAAAAAACACUUCUACCUUGUAUUUUAAGUAAUCCCUGCUUGCUAUUUGUUUAUUGAGAGCAUCAUACAAGUUGUGAUUAUAUUUCUUAAUUUUUUUUAUAUGAUAAGACGGUAACUGGAUUGAGAAAGAUGCAACUUGUAGAGCAAAAAAUUUCUUAACUACUUCCAUUGUAUUUGCUUUGUGUGUAUCAACUGUUCUGUUAAUUAUUUUUUAAAAAUAUCACUAAAACAAACCUAUUAUGUCAAUGCUCUCUAUUGUUAUGUAUCAUAAUUUAGCUAUUUUUUCCCUAGAAAUCAUUCUUGUUAUCGUGGUAAUCAGUAGGUAGCAUAAGAACUAUUUUGUUCUAGUUAUUUUGUAUUGCCAUUCUUCAUGUUUUAAAAUAUUGUCAGACUAGCAAUUUUACUGCAGAUAUAAUGUUCUCAAAUCAAUGCAAAAAGGGACGAUUGUGGGGCUUGGGCACAACCUUCCUUGAAUAGUUGAAUUGAGGGUUUCUAUAAACUAGGUCUCUAUAUCAAUAGAUUCUACAUUUCAUCACUAUGGAGACCUUACAAUAAAUAUCGCAAAAAGCUUCAUUUACUACAUAGUAAGGAUAAUCCUAAGGACUUAAAAGCUUGAGUUGUCUCUUCCAUGGCAGCUUCAGAUCUCUUAAUAAGCUCCAAGUCAUUGUCUACCUUGAAUAUAAAUCAGUGCUAGAAGUAUGUGCCCUCAACAUUCCUAUGUUCCCGAUAUUGACUAGAUAUUUGUUGCUAAUUCAUGAAGAAUUGAAGGGGUCUUUGAUAAUGACAUCUAUAAUGUACUUCAAGUUCAUGAUCCAAACCCUCUUCUUGUUUUCAAUAACUUCAUUUUUUUAUAUUACUUUGUGGUCAAUGUUAUAAGAAUGUUGUAUUUUGUUUACCUGAUUCUCAUCCAUCAACACACAUGAAAGGAAAAGUUUUACAUUUCUUUCCUUCCCUUUGCUCUGUGUUUGUAUAUGUUUAUGCAGCUAAUGCGAACUUCCAUCGUAACUUUUUAAGUUUUUUCAUUCUCGAGUUUGGGAAACAAAUGGAUUUGAUUGUAAUAUUUUCUUGUAGAUAUCACCUUUCUUAAAAAGCUUGUAUUUAUUCACAUUUUCAAGAUGUCUAAGUCAUCUGAUUAUGCUUAGAACUUUUGGUUUCUAUUAAAUUCAGGUAUGAUGUUUGCAAUUCUAACCCCCUUACUCCUCUUGAAGACUACAUAAGUUUCUAGUGCUUUUACUUUAAUGGUUAUGGUCAAUGUAUCCUCUUGUUACUUCCUGCUUGCAUUCUAUAUGUUCAAGAGCUUUAUUAAAGUAAUUAUUUUAUUGAAGAUAUAAUUAUUUUCAAGUCAAAUCAAAAUUGAAUAAUGACGUGGUUUCAACAACUUCUCAAAAGUAAUUGGAAAGUAAGGAACUUUGUGGUAGUAUUCUGAUAUCACAUUGGGUCUCCAAAUUGUUGUCUUGAAUUGACAUAAAUAACAUAAUUUCUUUCCAGUUGAGCUGCUUCAACAUGUUAUUAUGCUUCAAACUCUUUCAAUUAUGUGUUGUUUAGGUUUGGCAACAUUAGUACACUGGAUAUGUUGCCUCGAGUUACUUACAUAACAUAAAAUUCAUCUUUGUUGUUAACUGGCAUCACUACCACAAGAUGAGUUCCCUCAGCAUUCUACAGACAACUAUAAUUUGGGACAAUUCUGGUUUGGCAACAUUAUCAGAGUUGAUAGGCAACCUAUCUUCAUUAACAAAAACCUUUAAAUUUAUAUUUAUCCCGAACUAGCAUCACUGCUGGAAGACGUGCAUCCUUAGCACCCUAUAACCACUCACAAUUGGAGACUGUUAUGGUUUGUAAACAUUCAACAGACUUGAUAGGUAACCUUGCACCAAUUACAGAGCUUCAAAUUCAUGGCUAUCUUGAAUUGACAUCACUUUCAAACUAGAUGGUUCAUCCAAACCUCAGUUGACACCCAUAAUUCAAGACUUCUCCAUUUUGGCAAUGAUAGCAAAUUUGAUAAGCAUCCCUACUUCACUUACAUACACUAAAAUUGAUAGCUACCUCGGAUUCACAUCAUUGUCACAAGAGAUUGGUUCCUUCAUAUCCCUGCAAACACUUGUGAUCUUUUAUCGUCCAUGUAUAUUAGAAAGACUUAAAAGGGAAAUAGGUGAAGAUUGGACCAAUAAUCUUCAGUCCUAAAUAUUGAUAUUUGGUGAAGAUUGGACUAAUAUAAAGUUAGUUCAGGUUUGAAAUCCCAAUCUUUCUUCUCAUUUUUUAUGGUUUUGUUUUUAUCAAUAUGCUUUGUUUACAUUCUAUAUGGUAAUUUUAUAUGUAUUAGCAUAUAGAUCAAAAAGGACUUAGAUGAUUAAUUUGAAAAGUUUGCAUCCUCAAUUAAUUAGUAAUUAAAGACCAAACUGAUCAUAUUACUUUAAGUCUUGCAUUGUAAGAGUUUGGGAAAAUGUUAGGGUUGACUGAACUACUAUUUUAUAACAGAUUUUGCCUUACUCAAGAAUCUUAUGAUUAUCCCUUGGCACAAUCAUUUCUUGUGUCUAAGAAAUUCAUAUCUACUAUAUGGCCAAAGAAUUUAGUAGCAUUCAAAAUUUCUGUUUUCUUUCAAGUUAGGUGUAUUGCUUGCAAUUCUAACAUGUUUCCUAUUUUGAACGUUGUGUUGUUAUUUUACUAUCAAUGUGUUAAGAGCAUUAUACUAUAUUUUCUAUAAUGUUGUUUACUUGUCAUAUGUAUUAUUUAUUUUAUUGCAAAUGUACUUGUUGCCAAGUUAAAGCAAAAGAGGAAAGUGAGGAUUUUUCAUGGACCAAUGCCUCUCUCAAUUGCUGCCACACUUGACUUCUCUCUAAGUUGUUGAAAAUUUAGAAGUGUGGUAGCAUAAAGUAUUCAGCUCAAGUGCUUUAGUGCCUUACUACCCUUGAAGCUUUAGAAGCUGUCAAUACAAUUGGGGUUUCAACAUGUAACCAUUUUGGAAAUUCUAAGAAGUGUAAGUAUUAUGGUUUUACAACUUUAUUAGACUAGAUAGGCAACUUCAAAUUGCUGAAUGCCCUGAAUUAAAAUCACUACUAGAAGGAACCCAUGAGCACUCUAUAGAAACUCAUAAUCCACUACUCUUGCCACUUAUUAAGAAUGCUAAAAGGAAAAAGUGAAGAUUGGCUUGAGCAUGAUUGAUUAAUAAACCACACAUGGUCUCCUUAAUUCAAGUGUGUCAUCUGUUAUAUGUUUCAUGUCAGUAAUCCUACAUUUCUCUUGUUUCUAUUGGCUCUAUUUUUUUUUUAAUUAUUUUACAAUCAAUCUUCUAACAAUGUUCUACUUUUUUUACAAUUUUAUUUUUUUUAUUCUAAAAUGAAUUAAGACAUAUAAAGAAAAAAAUCACCUUGUUUGAUUUUCAUAUACUAUAUGCUUAAAUGUACAUGUGUUAAAAUCUUUUGAUUUUUUAUUGAUUACUUUCUAUUUAAUUUAUUAAAAAUUGUUAGUCUAUUUGGAGAUGAUUUUUUUUUUUCAUAUGUAAUAAGAUACCAACAAAUUGAGUGAGGAGCACAUCUUACUAAGUCGCUUGUCAAUCUAUCCACCUUCCUAAUCUCAAGAUUCUUCAUGUUUGAAUUAAAAUACCAUGAAUUACAAAAACAAAAAAUGAUGAAAAUGAGUAUUUCUCAUCAUCUUCAUUUUUAUUAGAAGGCAAUUUGUAGCAUCCUCUUUCCCAUUCCUAAAAAAUACUACAGCUUUGUAGGUUGAGAAAUUAGACAUGUUUUCUUAAAUGAUCUUCUUGGUCCAUGCAUGCUUAUAUUUGGAAGAUUUUUAAACCAAGUAUUUUAUGACAUAUAUGAUAGCUUUCAAGUUAAUGCAUAAAUGGUGAUGGUUAGGAUGCAAAAUAUAGUCUAUGCUCAACCUAUUUAUUGACAAACUACCAAGGGCUAGUGCUAAGGUAAACACCUAACACUUGCAUCAUACUCUCUCUUCUCUGCUCUCUUUAUUUGUUUUCCAAAGUUCAUAUAUAAUGUCUUUAUCAUUCAAGUUUUCAUUUUCAACCACUUUUUAAACUUUUGUCUUUUUAUGGUUUAUUACACGACAAUCCAUUUCUAAUAAAUCUUAUCUUUUUGUCUUAUAGACAAUAGAACAACGUGGUAAUUGCAUGACAUACAAUUUGUAAUAGAUGGUCAACUAUAUAUUAAGUAAUCUUUAAUUGCCUUGGAGUUGAAACGUUUGAUGUUGAUAAGGUUUGAUAAUUCUCGCUUUGGUGCUUUGUUGGAUUUCAAUUCAGGUGAUUAAUUGAUCUUGUUAUGAUUCUUUGAUUGUUUUUAUAACUAUUGUGAUAAUCAUUCUUAUUUUAUCGUGGUAAUUGACUUCACUGACUUUUUAACAAUUAUAUCAUGAGUGAAAUGCCCAACCUAUUAUUGUUAGUAUUCCAUUAACAUACCUCUAAUGCCACCACUAAUAAACAUCGUGUAUUAAUAUUUAUAACACGUUUCAUUACUGAAAUAAUUAAAUAUUUUCAAAUUUCUUUUUAGAGUGUGAGAAAUAACCAUUAAUCUUUACAACAGCAUAAGUAUCAUUGAUUUGAUAUUGCUUUCUUGAGUAAUUUGGCAAUUUAAUUAUGAAGUUUAGUUGGACAUUACUUGAGAUUCAUGUCUUAUGUAUAUGGUCUAUUUUCCAAGCUUCAAUUAUAUUUAGUAGACUUGUAAGUGGUGUUUGUCUAUGAGUUUCAACUCUAGAAAACUAUUAUUGGAGCCUAAGUUCACUUUCAAUAAGGAAAAAAAAAAAAAAACUCAACCUUUUCCUCAAUUGUGUAAUUUUAUUCACUAUUGACAUGCCCUUAAAUGGCAUUGCUAUUAUUUGUAGGGAACAUUGUCAAGUUCCAUAUUUGUCUAGAAAGUUAGAAGAAGUAUUUAAUUUGACAUGGUUUGGACAUCUUGCUACUAUCUUUUUAAAUUAGUUAUCAAUAAUUUUUCAAAGUUGACCUUUUUGUUUAUCUCAUACUCCUUUUGUAUUAAAAGGUACCGCAUGGGUAUUGUGUAGAGGAAUCAUGCCUUCUUUAAUUGAGGUGAGCCUCUUGCAAAAUAUUUCAAGUUUGCUCUCAUUCCAUUUGUUACUUCAUGUCUAUUUUUUUGUAAUCAAUCAAGCAAGAGUUUCUUACUUGUACAAUGGUGAACUUGCUUGCAUGAAUAAUACUCUUUUUACUAUUUUUUUUCUUUCUUUAUUAUAUUCAUUGAUACACUUAGAAGUGAAUAGUGAACCAGGUUUUUUGUUAAAAGAAAUCAAAUAUUGGUAAUUAUUUAGUAUCAUGUAUAUAAUAAUCAAUUAUUGAUUGUAAAGAUACUUGGCUUAAUCAAUUAUUAUAUUGAAAUCAAUGUAGUACUAUGACUAAUACCAAAAGGAUAAUAUUUAGUCUUGUUUGACCAUUAGUCACUAUUCUAGAGACAAAUGCUCACAAGUUUUGCAUCUUUGAAGCAUAUGAGAAAAGUUGGUUCAACUAUAUCACCAACUUACAAGCUCCUUAUAGUGUCCAUAUAUAUAACCUUCGUUGUUCAGGUUUAUGAUUCAUAUCUCAUUUUUUUUUUUCAUAUUUUUAUUGUUUAUAAUUUUUUAAUUGAUUUGUUUAUAAAUUUUUAAACUUUAUUGGCAAUACUAAUUUUUUUUUUUUAUUCUCAUGUGCAAUGGAAUAAUAAGUUGAAUAAGAAGCAUAAACUACUUAAUUGGUAUAACUGUUUACUCAAUUCUCUUCUCAGAUAUUUUUGUUCAAGGUAAUCAAAGUAUCAUUCUUUUUAUUUUUAAAGGUACUUGAACUCAGUGAGGACCAUUCCCAAAACAAGCAAUAACUACAGUUGGAUUAUUGAUAUCAUAUCCUUGAUUGACAUCUAUGCCAUUAUAUUUGCAUCUAAAGGAUUUAUGAUGAAAAAAAUAUCUUCUUUAUUUCCAUUUUCCUUCCUUCUUUUGACCAUAAUUUGUGUGCUUAUUGAUAGCAUUCAUACCCUAAUAUAUUUGCUAGCAUAUAUAUGCAUGUCAUAAUCUAUUGAUUUUUUUAGCAUAAGGUCUUAGAGUAUUCACAUAUCUCUAGGUUCUAUAUAUUUAUAAUUUUUACAACAUCAAAUGAAGUAUAUGAACCUUAUCUUGAAGGUGAAGUCUCUUUAAAAGGAGUUUCAACAUGUUAGCAAUUACCUAACUUAAUAAUUUAACAAUUUGGCACUAUAUAUAAUUUUGCAACUCUUUCAUAAAGUAAUUGUGUUACCUUUAUUCACAAUUUCUAUCUUUAUUUAAAAAAAAAAAAUGAAUUGGUAAUUGUGUGUCAAAUCUUGCUUACAAUCAUUAAUAGGUACUUAUAUGCUAAAUGGAUAAAGUUAUUUUACAAUUGUUUCAACAUUUUUAGAAUAUAUAUAUAUAUAGAUGUAAUCACUACCAAGCCAAUGCGAAAAGCUAUAACAAUGAGGAUUACAAAGCUUCAAUUAUGUCUUGGAGAUUCAUAUUGACAAGUUGUAAAUGGUGGGUGAAGUCUCUUUAAAAGGAGCUUCAACAUGUUAGCAGUUACCAAACUUAAGAAUCUAACAACUUGGCACUAUAUAUCAUUUUGCAACUCUUUCAUAAAGUAAUUGUGUAACCUCUAUUCACAUGUUCUAUCUUUAAUUUUUUUUAAAAAAAAAAGAAAUUGAAUUGGUAAUUGUGUGUUGAAUCAUUCUUACAAUAUUUAAUAGGUACUUAUACACUAAAUUGAUAAAGUUAUUUUACAAUUGUUUCAACAUGUUCUGAAAACAAAAAAGAUUAAUAAGUAUAUUUUUUCUAAAUGUAAUCACUACCAAGCCAAUGUGAAAAGCUAUAACAAUGAGGCUUACAAAACUUCAACUAUGUUUUGGAGAUUCAUAUUGAAAGUUGUAGAUUAUGGAUGUAUAGUAUAGGAGUUAGAUUGAGUUUAUCAUUCUAUCUUUGACAUCUUAGUUUUCUAUGUAUUGUCCAUCAUAUAUAUUUGUCAUCUAUUCUUUACAACCAAUUUUUUAAGGACUUCUAUGAUUUGUUUAAAUUUAUAUAUUUGUUUUUAUUUGUACUAGAACUUCACCAAGCUACAAAAGCAUCACAAGUUUUGCAAUUGGAGUUCAUGGAUCAGGUAUUUUAGUAGUUUUUGUAUCUGAAAUUUUUUUAUGAUACUAAUGAGGAUGUUUACCUUGAUUAAUUUAACACUUAUAUUGCAAAUAUCUAUAUAGGAGUUCUAUACAUUUAUUUAAACAUUUAUAGACAUAUUUAUCCUCUUUCUAGCACAUUCUAAUGAUAUUUUUAACAUUGAUAUAAAUUGUUUGCUUGAAGGUUUCAACUAUUGAAAAUUAUUAUUCAAGCCUAAUGUUAAUCUUUUUCUAUAGUGGAUUUCAAAUAAUAAAUUCUUAUUUGAUUAUUUGUAGGGAAAAUAAACAACUUCUAUGUUUGAUAAGAAAGAAGAUAGAGUAGAUCAAUUUCACAAUGUACGAAUCCUACGCAUUCUAUACUUUUAAAGAUGGUUACAAUUGGCUUUCUAUACUUAACAAGUACAUCUUAGCUAAAAGUGAAAAAAUGUUUCUCUUUGCACAUGCCUUCACUACUAUUUUAAUUGCUAUCUUAAUAUGUUAUGGAAAAACCACGACAAAUAACAAUAAUAAGGAGAAGAAAUAAAAGAACAAAAAUAUAAAACUUAUAAAGUAGGAUGAUAUAUGUGGUUUGGCCUAAACCUACAUUUAUAUGUGAAAAUGAAGAAGAACUUCUACUAUUAUUAAAGGAGAUUAAAAUCCUAAAGCUUUCAAAUCUCAUGAUUACACUAAAAAUGGACUUUUUUUUUUUUUUAAUCAAAAUCUCUUCCUUUAUUUUCUUGAUUAUAUAAGAAUAUUCUAUAGAGAAUUAAUUGUGUAAUUAUCAAAGAUAACUAUUCCUAAAAGAAAAAUCUUAUAAUAUGAUAUUUCCUUUAGAAUAAAAGAAAAAUCUCUUAUAUAAAUAUAUCAUAAUAGGAAAAUAUUAAAGACUUAUAAAUUGACUCAAAAGAAUUUGAAAUAUUUUUCAACAAUCUCCACAUUGGCUCAAAUUCUCAAUAUUCAAAUAAACUCAAAAUUCUUCUAUGUUACUUUGCUCUUAUGCACCCUUAAGGGGACUUCAAGUAAUAUCAAUACCAAUUAAGUCUAAGCAAUGCAUAAACUUAAUCAUAGAAAUAAGUUUAGCCAUCAUAUCUAUAAAAUUAUCAACUAUAGGGAUCUUUUUCAUUACAUUAGUACCUUGUUCAAUCACAUCUCUAAUAAAAUGUAUUCUAACAUCAAUAUGUUUGGUUCUCUCAUGUAACAUAUGAUUUUUAGUCAAAAGUAUGACACUUGGCUACCAUGAUAACAAUAAUCAAUGAUUGGAACCAAAUAAUUACAUUUUGUGUGCCUAAAAUUAGGCAUUCAUAUUUAAUAUCCAAUUCUAGUUUCAUCCCUUUACUCAAUUUUAUUCCUAAGUCCUUAAUUUUGGGUUUAAUGUAUUUUUUAAAUAUUUUCCUUCUUUUUUGGUAUAUUUAUAUCACAUUUUUGCUAGCCAUUAUAUUUUUCAUGUAUUGGUUGCUAAUUUUACACUCCAUAGUUGUCACAUCAUCCAACUAAUGGUUGUUACAUUAUCCAACUAUGGGCUGCCACAUGCUCCAGCUACCUUAGCCUCCUUGCCAAGUAUUUUCCAUGCCAAAAAAAGAUUGACAACUAUUUCAAUUGGUUGGUAAAGUUGAGAAAAGCUUCCACCAACCUCGCCAUUAAGUUGUGCUCCUUGCUCCAAUUUCUAAUUUUGCUUCCUACCCUCUUGUGGAGUUAGUGUGGAAAUGACUUUAUACAAGGGAGAUGAAGGUUGGUUUUAAGUAAGGUAGCUUAUUUGUAAACUUGUAUUUCCUUUAUUCAGGCGGUAGUUCUCAUUUCUUAGCCUUGAUUUUCAAUUUUGAUCCUCUUGUCUUGCCACUAUGAGUGGCCAACAUCCAAACCAAGGAAUAAUUUUUAAUAAAAUAUUAAUAUUCAAAUAAAAUCAUAUAUUUAUAUUCCUUAUCGCAUUUAUAGGAAGAGAAAUAUUUGGGACUAGGCCCAGUUCACUUUUUAUAAUUAUAAAUAUCAUAAAAAUAUGAAUAUUAAUAUCCUUAUCCUCAUAAAAGCAUAAUUAAUUUAUUUUAUAAAAAAUUAAUAUUAAAUGGAUUUAAAAAUAAAUAAAGUUUAAUUUUUAAGGUAUACAUGCAUAAGUUUUUCAUUACAUAUACACAUUCAAUACUUAAUUAGUAAUAGUGUAUUCUAAAUUUUUUUAUCUAGUCUAUAAUUAAUUAAUCCAUUUUUUGGAAUUCUAAAUUGUUCUUAAAAAUUAAAAUAUUCAUUAAAGAAUUGAAAGUGUUUAUUAUGUUUAACUUAAUUUAAAUUUAUUUAUCUAGUGAGAAAAUUCAUAAAAUAUAGUUUUAUGUAUAAAGGAAAUAGUAACGACUUUACAUUUAACGAAUCUUUUAUUUUAUAUUGAUUCAUUUAAUAGUCUAUUAUAUAUAUUUAAAAUUUAUUAAACUCAUUAAUAAAUUCAAUACAAAGUUUUACUUAAUUUGAAAUUCAUCUCUCUAGUGAAAAAAUUGAAAAAAUAUUAUUUUGUGAAAAAAAAAAUACAAUAAAAUCAUUCUAAACUAAUUUUUAUCCAAAGAUUUUUUGUAUUUAUUAGUUUAUUAUUUGAUUUUUAAAUUAAUUUAAAAAAUUAUUAGACUUAUUAAUGAAUCCAAUACAUUUUUUGUUUGUUUAAUUUAUUUAUCACACUAUCAAACAAACUUUUAUUAUUUAGUAAAAGACCUCUCAAAAGAGGUUUUUUUUUCUUAAUAAAAAUAAAAAUAAUAUUCUAAACGAUGUUUGAUUCAAGAGUUUUUUAAAAGUAAAAAUAAAAAUAAAAAUUAUUUUAAAUUAUGUGUACAUAAUUGUUGCAAAUUUAUUUCUUUUUCCAUUACCAUUUUCAUUCCUACCUAACAUUGAAAUGGAAACAAAUAAUCAAUCAAACCUUACAUUUAUUCCUAAUCUAAUGACAAGAAUUGGUGGUAUCACCAAAUUCAUUCCAUUCUCUAGUCUCAUGUAUCAAACAUAGUUGUAUAAUACCAAAAACUUCGUCUAAGUAAUGUGGGAUCUCACAUUCACUUUCAUACAGAUACAAUUUUUAUUGUAUCACAUGGAAUUGUGAGGCCUUUAAGUACCAUUUGUAAUGACCCACCUCCAAUUAUAUAAAUAUUAUUUGGUCUAAGUCCAAUGGACUCUAAUCGGUUUUAAAACUUGACUAUACUGUUAAGAGAAGUCUACUAUGUAUACAAUCUUCUCCUAAUAAACGUGUGACAUAACAAAUGGUGGGACUCAAACUAAAGCAAGGCCUUUCAAACUGUCUACCAUCUUAGUUUCAGCAUGAAUUCAGUUUGUUCCAAACAACAUAACUCUGGAGUAUUUUAAACAAACGAUUUCCAUUGAAAACACAUAAUUAAAGUAUAAGGAAAACAAACCCGAUCUUCAAGCGGUUUUGGGGAUCGCCUGUGGAAGAGCAGUGAAAUAGAAAUAUCCACUAAGUGUAUAGGGACCCAAGAUCAACACAUGCAACAGGAUAUCUAAUUCCUCCUAAUAUCAUCAGCAUGAAGAAAAUUGGCAUCAUUUCCACUGAGUUCUGAUGCCCUCUCUGAAAAAAAAAAUAAAUGCAAAACAUUUGUUUUUUCUAAUCAUCGGUCAUCCAUACAUAGAAAAAUCUAUGUGUGAUCUUAAGCUAGAAAAGAUGUUGCAUCUAAUCAAAUUCACUAGACAUGAUGAUAUCUAUACUUUUUUAAAAAAAAAUUAUAUUCAUAUUUAUGUCAGAAAAUAAAUUUUUUAUUUUUUAUUUUUAGAACAUUAAACUUUUUAAAAGUCCUUUCUAGGAUAUUUUCUAGCUUUUUCCUUUUGUUAAUUUUUGCUAUUCAAACAAAUCUUAAGAAAGGAAUCAAACUUGGACACAAUUGAAGAGCUUGGCAUUCUUGUUUUUAGAUUCCAAAGCAUAUAUAGAGAUUGGGGUAAAACACCUUGUACCGAAGAAAAAAAAAAGGAAAAAAAAAACACCACAACAAAAAAUUAACCAAAAAUCAGAAAAUUAAUUGGAAUAAAAAAUCAAGAAAAUAUUUUUUUGGGUUAAUAAUUAAUUAUAAUGAAAUCAAAAGAAAAAAGAAAAAUACAUACUUCUUCCUGGCUUUGCCUACACUGAAAGCCAUGAAAGAAUUAGGAAAGCAGUAAAGAACAAGAAGAAGAACCACAUCCAUAUUCUGGGGAAAGCAAAUCCUCUGCUGCCUUCUUCAGAUUGAAGGCAACUAAUAAAUGGUUUAAGGGGUUAUGAGUUUGACUUGGUUGAGUUUGAAGCUACAAAUGUAAGAAAAAUGGUAGUAAUUUUGGAAGCAUUUCUAACUCUUCUAUAACUUGAAAGAUAAAAAAUUUUAAGGGUUAAAAAUGUUAAAAGAGCUUUUUAGAAUCACCCCAAAUGUACUCUAAAUUAUUUAUGACUUGAUGUCACCUUCACACUCAUUUUUCAGUGUCAUUUAAUUUUGGUGUUCCCAUAUUGAAGAUUUAGGGUAAUGUAAUAUUCAAGCCUUCACAUUUUGCCUUCACUAACCUUUGAAUUUUAAUUAAAUUCUUUGAAGGAUAUUUGACCACUUCAUUGUCCAAAAAUGCUUAUAUUGCCAUUUUUUUUUUGUCUUUUUCUACAAUUCCAAUUUUACUAUUUUUCUUUUAAUUUAUUCCUAUUAUUAUUUAGGCUAUUAUUUAUAAUAUUCUUAAUAUUAUAUUUAUAAUUGUUAAUAGUAUAAUUACUUUUUUUCAUUUAUUUGUCAUUUAUAUUGCUUAUCUUAUCUUUAAUCAUGUAUAAGACUCAAAAACUGCAGAAAACAUUAAUAAGUAACUACUAAACUUCAAAGAGAUAAUAAAAUUCAACUACAUUGAUAUUACAAUAAUACAAAUGAAAUAUAUAGCAACUAGCCCUUAAAAGGGCUUUUAAGAGAUAAUGAGUCUACUUCAGAUUGACAUUUAAAGUAGAAUCACCAUCUCUAUAGAUAUAUAUGAAGCCUAAAAAGAAUAGAACAUCACUAAAUAAUAUUAAUAAAACAACAACUAGAUCAAUUGAUAGUGAAAGUAAAGGUUUACAAGAUGAAUCACAUAAAUAAGAACAACUAAAUUGAGAAACAAAUUACAUGUCUGACAAAUCUAAUGAGGGAAAACAUUGGAGCUAGGUGCCCAAUGAUUGGCUCCUUGAAGUUGACCUACCUCCUCAAUAGGUACAUAGGAGUCCUUACCUAAAAAAACAUUAAAAUCAAUAGGGUGAACAUAAGAUCUAAUAAAUAGGCACGAUAUGCAGAUGCUAGGAUGGUUAGUCCAAGGUAAAAAAAAUAGUUCUAAAAUGUAUCACGUAAUAAUUUUGGUGUAUUAUGAGAGGAAAAUGGACUUGUGAGAACUAUACUUUGUGGAUAGAAAUGUGAGGAAGAGUGAAAGACACUCAGUGGAGUAAGAGAGCUAACAGUUUAGGGUAGUCAUACAAAGUGUGGGUAAAUAGAUGUAUCUAUUUUUGUUCCUAACAAUAUUUUUUUGUUGUAUAGUGAAAUAUUAUCUUUCAAAUAUGGAAGUAAGCAUGGUUAGGUGUACCAUGUUAAAAUCUUAAGUAUUUGUUUUAUUUUGUGUUCUUCCAUUAAUAUAUUUCAAUAUUAGAGCUUUCAUUGACUCAAUAAUUUAUUAUACGAUGAAUCAUCAUAAGUGAAUAUAUUUUUAUAUUAGAAUAAACCAUUUUCUUAAUUAUAAGUAUAUUUGAAUAUUUUACUAAACUAUUUUAAAAUAAAAAUAUAGUAAAAAAAAUUAAUAUAUAUAAUAAUAACAUGAUAAAUAACAUAUCCCAAACCAAAUGCAACAUAAAUUUCUAAAUUGUCUCUCCUUUCUUAGUUCUCUAUAAUAAUAUUGCCAUACCCAUUGUUUAAGCUAUAAAUUAACAUUUUAUGUUCUUUGAAACAUAUGUAUUACCAACUCAAUAUAUAUAUAGCUACGAAGACAUAUUUCUCAUUUUUCCAAUCAAAAAGCAUUGUGAGUUGAAACCUUUUUGUUUAGAAAGUUAACUUGCAAUGUUAAUAUUCUUUUUUAAUAUUAGCCCCCUAGGAAUAUCAUUGCCUUUCACCACACUUUAAGUUUUUUUUUUUCGAUAUUCUUUUUUACUUCUACACUAGAAUUUAUGUAACUUCUUGUUCUUUAUUUAUUAUUAUUAUUAUUUUUUUGCAAUAUUUUCUCUUAAGUCUACCUUACACUUCUUAUUACCUCUCAUAUAUUUUUUUUUUUUGUCUUUUUCAAAUACUUGGUUGCUUCUCUAUUACAAUUCAUUAACUUCCUAUCAUUUUAUUUAUUUUUAUUUUUUGCAAAAUUCUUUCUUAAAAUACAUAAAUCCAUAGUUUUUAUUUUAAAAGUAUCAAGUAAAGAACAUAGACCUACUCAAACACCAUUGUAUAAUACCACUAAAAUUUCCAAAAAUCCCUAAAAUUUCAUAAAUUCUCUGCAAACUUAUCCCUAAUUAGAUGCUAUUACAUUAAAUAUAUCUAAUUCAGUCUAAACACAUGAUUGAUAAUAAUAUAAAAAAACUAAAACAAUAUUAAUAUGCAAUUUAUUAUUUUUCAACACACUGUAAUAGUUCCCAAAUAUUUUCAAACAUCAGCUAACAAACCUAAAUUUAUUCACUCAAAAUACAUAAUUGAUAACAAUGGAGAACUAAAAAAAAAAAAUUAUAAAUAUAACAAUUUUAUACUUUGAAUACAAUUCAAUAAAUCCUAAAUUUUUAAAAACAUUUAACUAAUAAACUUAACCAUACUCAAAUAUUAUUGUAUAACAUCUCUAAAAAUUUCAAUAAUUUAUCAAACGUGAAGACUACACUCACCGGUUUAGUAGAAUCACUUGCCUCUUCUAUUGGUAAUUGGGAUUUUUGUUCAGUAGCUUCGCUUUCCUUUGCUUCACUUUCUUCUGCUUUACUUUUUUCUUCUGUUCGCAAUUGACAUUUUUGUUUUUUCGUUACUUUUUUUAAUCUUUUUAUCAAAUCAUUCUUCAAUGAACUCAUUGUUUCAUUCGUGCUUGAAGAUACAAUAUGAGAUAACUUGAAAAAAACAGAAUAACGAUUUUUCUAAGGAUUCAGAAUGAAACAAAUGAUGAAAUGAUAGACGAUAAAAUUUCUAGGGUUUUUGAAGGAAAGAUGAGAUUUUUGUUUUGUGCAUCAAAGGAAUAUAAUGGAAUAAAAGAAGAUGAUGAAAGAUGAAAACUCGUUCUGUAAAUGAAGUGAAAGAGGAUAUGAGUUUUCCUUUUUGUGCACCAAAGGAAGAUAAUGAAGUAGAAGAAAAUGAUGAGAAAUUUUUUUUGGAAAAUAUGAGGAGUCGUUCUGUAAAUGAAGCAGAAGAGGAGAAGUUGUAAGUGUUGGAGAGAAAAAAGAAGAAGGACAUUUUUGUCUCAAUCAAUAAUUUUGUUUUGUUUUUUAACCGGUGGAUUAUAUUUGCAAAUAUGGGGGUUAUUUUGACCCCUUUAACCAAAUAACCCUUUUUUUUAUCGAGUUACAACUUUAAAUUAGGUGUAAAAAGAUAUUUUGAUAUGGUAGAUACUGUACAGUUAUAUAUUGAAAUUCCAUGGUUCAUUAGAUAAACCAUCCUUGAAUUUCUUUGGUUUCAAUUAAGAUGAUAGAUCAUCCUUCCAUAGAGUGACCUGAUAUGACAUUGAUUUUCUAGGGCUUCAAACACGAAGGGUGUCAAUGACUAAGAACUCCGUUUGAUUGUCGAGAAAAUGAGGAAAAAAACCCUUAAAUAAAAUAUAAAUACAAUUCAGAAUUUCAAUUUUACAUUGUUAGGGACCCCAAAAAUGGGAACAUUCACUUAACUGAGCCUAAUCCAACCACCUGCCUUAGUUUAAUUUAGUCCCCACUUUCUAGAAACCAAAAAAAUAUAAACAUUCCUGUGUUUGACUACUUAGAAAGCAUAGGACAAGCAAAGAAAAGGACAGUGCCUCCUCGAUCAAACAGUUUUUUUUUUCCUUUUCUUUUCUUGCAUUUUCUUUUUUCGGUAACCAAACAAAACUUUUUAAUUGAGCAUUGUUGUAUACAAUUUAGAUUUCUUUCCCUUAGUUUCUCCGCAACCAAACAGAAUUUUUCUCAAUUGAGCGAGGGUCUAGUAUAUCCUUCGUUUUCCUAUAACCAACAUAAUUUCCCUUGUUAUUUUUUUUAAUCUUUUCUUUGAAUUUCUCAGAAACCCAACGGAGUUUACUUCUGGUGCAACCGUGCAAGAAAAUGGUUUUACCUAAUCGCAUUUCACCGGACUAGCUGAAGCAAUAGAGGCUUAAGAAAAAGAGACUGAGCUUUGUUUGUUAAACUCCCUAUGUGAGUACGCAAAGUAAGAAGAAUUGAAGCUGAAAUUAGGCGGCUUCUAAACACGUCCUAGGAGUUGGUUUUAAAACCCAUUUUUUCCCCUUUUUGGUUGCAAUCGGUCUACAAAGAUGCCAUUAAAAGGUAACCGCGGUUGGUUGCAUGAACAAGAAAAUGAAAAAAAAGAAGUUAAAACUAAUUAAAAUUAUUUAAUAUUUUCAUUGAAAAGUAAAAAUAAUUACAAUAUAUUUAAAUAAACACAUAAAAAUAAUAAUUUAUUAAUUUUAAAUCUAUUUUUUAAAUUUUCAAUUUUUCAUUUAUUUUGUUCCCUCUAAGCUUUCUAACUAAGGUCAUAAUUUGGACAAAUUGUUGGAUUCAUAGCUAAUCUAAAUAAUCUAAUAGAGAUAAAUAAAUAAUUAAUUUAAGUUCAACCCAACCUCUAAGCUUUCUAACUAGGGUCAUAACUUGAACAAAUUGGAUGGUUAACAUACAACUUGGACAAAUUGGUGGGUUCAUAGCUAAUCUGAAUAAUUUAAUAGGGAUUAAUAAAUAAUUAAUUUAAGUUUAGCCCCACUUCUAAACAGAGGUAUUUAAUUCAAGCUCAACCAACUUCAUUUCUUCGAGCUCUGGUUGAUGAGGUUAAACUUGGGUUAGCCCCUGAUUGUAUAAUUCAAAAUACAUGUAGAAUGUUUUUUAAUAAAAAAAAAAUUAUAUACUUAUAUCAAAUUUUAAAUAGUAAGUAGGACAAAAUUUUAAAAUAACAAAAAAAAAAAAAACAAAAACAAAAACAAAGUUAUAUAUCUUUUUUAAAAAGUAAAAAAAUAUAUUAUAUAAUAUAAUUUGAUUUUUUAUUUAUAAAAAUUUAGAAAGAAUAAAAUUAUUAUAUAAAAUAACAUAUAUUGGAAAUAUUAUAAAAACAUUAAAAGUUUGUUCAGUAGUUAUUCAAAUAAGUGUUUCUAUCCCUAAUUUAAACUUUGGUUUCAAUCUAACUCGAAUUAAAUUUGAGUUGAAAAAGUUUAACUUGAAUAUUAAAAAUAAUUGUCUAAACACGAUCAAAUAUCUGAUUGGAUUCGACUAAUCUGCCAAAGUUGCACUCCUACCAAGAACCAUACACAAUAAAAAAAUUUUAAAAUAUUUUUUGUUCUAGGAAAGUACUCAAAAAGGAGAAAUAAAGAAAAAAAAUGAUUUUAUAUGUAUAAUUAAAAUUAGUUAAAUUUUAUAUAUUUUAAAAUUAUUUAAUUUUUUUAUAUGGAAAAGAAAAAAAAAAAGAGUGAAAUAAGUUUGAAAAAACAAGUAAAAAUGAUUUGUUAACUUUAAUAUUUUUUUUCUUUUCUUUUCUUCUAUUUUUUUCUUUUUAGUUUAUUUUUCUCAAAAUUUUCAAAAAAUAAACAUAGAAUUAAAAAAUAAGAAAUAAUUACAUAAUUGGAAAAUCAAUUUUAGAACUUGCUUAUAUGAUUGCAUUAGUUUGUGUAAAUAAUAAUUUUAUUGAAUGUUAAGAGAGUGGUAUUAAAUGCACAUUAUUUAAUAUUUUUCUAUGGAUAUUUUUAUGGGAGAAUUGUGUUUUGGGCCCAGCUAGACCCAAAAAUUAAUAAAAGAUCCUCCAAACACCUAUAAUUGAUUGUAAGGAUAUAAGGUUGGAAUAGACAAAAAUACCCCUUUUUUACUUACACCAAUUAUUUUGUCUUUAUACCACCACUCUUUACAUGCCCCAUCUAUAAAAUUCUCCUUUAUUUAAUCAUUUUUUUUAUUUUUUUUUAUUUUUUAAACUCCUUUAAAAAUAAUUGAAAAAUCAACAUUAUUUUCUAUUUUUAAAUUAUAAAUAAAUAAAAAUUAUAUUAAUGAUUCAAAAAUUAUUUUGGAACAUGCUUUUGAAAAAAAAUAUUAAUUUAAAUGAAUAAAAAUUAUUUUUUACAUUUUACAAGUAAAUAAUUUAAUGAUUAAAACACUAUUUAAAAUAAAUAUAUUUACUAUUUUUUUUCUUUUAUACUAAAAAGUAUUUUAAAGUUUAUUUUUUUAUUAUUAUAAAAUAAAAAGUUUAAAGUUUUUUUUUUAAUCUUUUUCUUUCCAUAGUUUAAUAAUUUUUUGAACAUAGACUUUUGUAAUAAGUUAUAUGAAUGUUCCAAAUUUGUUUAUUAAGGAAUUUUUUUAAUGAUUUGAAUUAAUUGAAAAUUUAUUGAAAUGAGAAAAAAGAAAAAGAGAGAAAGAGGAUAGAUGAAGAGUUUUUAUUUUAAAUAUCCAACUAAAAUGUUUUCGUAUUUAGAAAUGGAUUAUAUCAAUACAUAGUAUAGUAGAGAUUGAUUUUUUUCUCAUACAAAAGGGUCAAAUGAUAUGUUUACUCAUUUUAAAUAAAAACAAGUAGCUAAAAAUUAUAUAGAUUAUGUUUGAGUUUGGUUUUAAAAUAUUUUUUCUAGUUUUUAUUAUUUUUUUAUUUUUAAAAAUUAUUUUUAUUUUCUAUAUUAUCUCUUUUUGAAAAUACAUUUAAUUAAAAAAAUGAAAAAUAUUUUUAAAAAUGAAAAUUGAAGACCUUGUUUAAUACUAAGAUAAUAAAAAGAAUUAAAUUUCAUUUAUUAAUUAUUCUUUUUUAUUUUUAAAAUAUAAUAUGUUCACAAUUAAAUAAAGGAAUUGGUCAAUUGUAUAUUUUUUUCACAAAAAUGUAAUAUGUUCAUAAAAAAAUUGGAUUGAAGUUUUUCAUCAUUUUUUUAAUCAAACUACUAGAAUCAUGUUUAAUACAAAUAUAGGCAUAUAUGCACUACGGGAAUAUGAAAUUUGUGUCACUAUACAAGAGUAUUUACUAACUGUAUAAGGGAAAUGUACUAAGUGUACAAGCAGUGUAUAAGAUUACCAUUUAUAAAAGAUUUCAAUCUAUUUUGAACCACUCCUUUAUUUUCCUUGUCACUCAAAAAUUGCAUACUCAUGUCAUGCACUUUAUUUAACUCCCAUAUGGAAAUUCCGAUACUUUCCCCAAUAAUGAUGUUUAGGAAAAAAAAAAAAACUAACCCUAAUUCAUCCAUCCUUUUAUUAGUUAAACCAUUAGAAAUAUGAUUAACACACCUACAUGGACAUAUUACUUAGGAUAGAUAUAUUGUACAAUGGUAUUACACUAAUUGUACAAGGGAAAUGUACUAAGUGUACAAAGAAAAUGUACUAAGUGUACAAGGGUUUACAAGACUACCAUCUAUAAAAAAAUUUAAUCGAUUUUGAAUCACUUUUUCAUUUUCCUUGUCACCCAUAGAUUGCAUACCUACAUCAUGCAAUUUAUUUAACUUUCACAUGAAAAUUUCGAUACUUUUCUUAGUAAUAAUGUUUGGGGAAAAAAAUUUAAUCAUAAUUCAUCCACCAUUUUGUUAGCCAAACCAUUAGAAAUAAGAUUAAUAUAUCUACGUGGACACACAACUUAAGAGGGAUAUAUUGCACCAUUGUACAAUGAUGUUACACUAACUGUACAAGGGAAAUGUACUAAGUGUACAAGGGAAAUAUACUAAGUGUACAAGAGUGUACAAGGCUACCAUUUGUGAAAGAUUUUAGUCGAUUUUGAAUCAUUUCUUUAUUUUUUUUGUUACCCAUAAAUUGUUUAUGAAAUUUGCACUAUUAUAUAAGAGUGUUACACUAACCAUAAAAGAGUAUUCCACUCACUGUGUAAGGCAAUGUACUAACUGUAUGGGGUAAAUGUACUAAUUAUACAAGGGUGUACAAGGUUAUCUUUUAUGCAAGAUUUUAAUCAAUUCUGAACUUUUUUUUUUCUUGUCACCUAAGGAUUGAACACUUUUCCCCCACACAUUCCUUCACCUAAAAAUUGUUUUAAUUUGAAAUUUUAAAUUUCUUCAUCCAAAAUUUGUAAUUGCAUAUUUCAUUUAAGUAGUUUUAACAAUAUUUUUUCUUACUACAUUUACAUCAUAUAUAAAGGAAAAUUAACCAUAAUAUUUAGGUAUUACCUUUUUUUUUUUUUGUGAAAUCAAAUUAAUAUAAAUGGAUAACACAUUAAUGUCAUUGUUUCAAAUAACUUAAGACAAUAUAAACAACAUAUAAUAACUGUUGAGGAAAAAUUAUGAAUAUUUUUUUACCAAACUAUGUCAUUUAGAUCUUCUCUACCAAAAUUAAAACAUAGGAAAUAAAAUUAAAAUUAAUCACAUUUAAAGUGUUUAUUACAAGUAAACCGAAUGAAAUAUAUAUUUUUACUAUUUUACCUUUAUAAACAUAAUGUUAGCAGAUAUUAAAAAAAUCAUAUUUAAAUAGAAUUAAAAAGGAUAAAAAAUUAUCUUUGUAAAAUUUGUAAUUUUUUUUUAUAUAAAAAAUCAUUAUUUUAAAUUAUCAAUUUAAUUUAAAAUAAUUUUUUUGUUGUAAUUAUAGUUUUAAAGAUUCUACUAUUUUUAUAUUAUUACUUUUAAUUUAUUUUCUUUGAUUUUUUAUUUUAAAUUUCAUCUAAACUUGUUUUUUCUUACAUUUAUAUGUUUUCUAUUAUAUCAUUAUUUAAAGUAAUUUUCAUCUAAUUUGUAUUCCAUUAUAUUCUCUUUUCAAUUUUAAUGUGUUGUUAUACCUCUUUACAUAACAAAAGAUUUUAUUAUUUUUCAUCUACAAAACUUUAUACAAAAGAUAUCAUGUACAGGGAAAAAAAAUUAAAAAAAGAGAAAAUUAUGAUAUAAUUUACAUACACAUCUCUUAAUAUGAUACAUUUGCUUGACUUAAUGACAUCAUGCUUUAAUAAUUUAAAUCAUGUCAGUCCACAUCUAUUUUAGAUUUAAAAAGGCAUUUGAAUAUUUUUCAAAUUAUUAAGUUAUAAUACAUUAUUCAAUUAAAAAUUAAGUAUCACUAUUAGUUAAAAGAUGAUUAUUUUAAAAAAUAAUAUAUUAAAACAAUAUCAAUGUGUUGUCCAAAAAAUGGAGAAAAUAUUCAAAUAAUUGUCUACAACCUUAAAGAUAUUUAUAUAUAUAUUGGAUAAAAAAGAAUAAUAAUAUUUUUUAAGGUGUUUAAAAAUUAUUUAUUAUAUAUUUUGUAAGUUUAAAAAAAAUAUUUUAUGAGGUAUUUAAAAAUUUUUUACUUUAAAAAUAUAGUAAUAAUCAUUUUCAACCAUUGAUUACCAAUAUUUAAUUUAUUAGGCAUGGUUUUUGGGAGAAAAAUAAUUGAUGAAAAUAGUAACACCUUUCUAGAAAAGAAUUAAUGAUAAGGUGAAUGAUGAAAGAGAGGGAAAAAAAGAAUGAAAGAGAGUGGGAAGUUAGUUGUUUUCUUUUUCUUUUUGACAAUAAAUGACAUUUUCGGAAAAUUAAAUGUUUCAUAUCCUUCUUUUCAAUUUGUAGACUUUCUUUAGGUGUUGGGUUUAAAUAUGAAACUUAUGAGGAUCUUUUAUCAAUUUUUUGGCCCUGGGCCCAAAACACAAUUCUCCCUAUUUUUAUUUCUAAAGAAAGUAAUCUUUACAUGGAUUGGACCACUGUUUAUUUAUCCAUGUGGCCCAGCCCAUUAAAAACAUCAAACCAACAACCCAAGGGACGACCCUGGUCAUUCUCGGGGGCCCACAACCUUCAUCUCAAACAAAAGCCCAUGGGCAGGAUCACCUUCCACACACAUCUUCAUACCAGCCACCACGCUACCAACAAUCCUCCUCCAUGAAAGCCCACCUCCAUCACAGCAAGCAGAAAAUCCAACACGCCAACCAUCAACCUCCGCACAGACCUAACACUGCAUAGCCGUGUUUUAGGAGUGUCAGGACGUGAUUAGAGAGGAUCUACUUUGAGUGUUCAUGGAGUUUCGCUAUAAGAGGGUGAUAGACCAGAGUAUCAAUGCUCCCUUUGUAACUUUAGGGGCAAGGAGGAAUCAGUUUACCAAAAAUUCUUCAUGAAACCAUCCAUUUAUCUCAGGGAACAUUUAUUAAGUAGAGUCAAAUUGAUUUACAACUAAGAGAUGAUUCAUUCCUUUUAAUGAAAGAACCUUAUUUCAAAUUGCCCUAAUGUGGCCUAAUAAAGCAAUAUUACUGGUUAUAUUUUGGACACAUCUCAAUGCCAUCAAUGGCUUCUCCUUUUUCAUUCCUUUCUCCUCUUCUUCUGCUCAGAAGAUUCAGACUCAUAAGUGGAGGCAACCGGUAGUCUCGGUUCUGGAGCUUGGUGGAGUCAAGAUUGGCAGAGAUGGUAACAUACCCACAUCCCAAAAUUGCGUUUAAAAAGGAUCUUUAGCUUGAAUUUUGUGUGCCCAAUUUGCGUUUUUGCAGGCAUUUGCACUCAAGUCGUGUCGUUUGUUUGCAAUUUCACAAUCUGAUUUCUUUUCUAUUGUGCUUUUUUUUUUUUUUCCUGCUAGGUUCAAAUUCAAGCAUCCAAUUUGUGUUUUUCUGGGUAUUCUUAUGCCCAACUUGUGUCAUUCAAUUUGCAAUUGUCGUUAUCAGACUUCCUUCUCUCUUUUGAGACUUACAUGGUUAGAGACGUCAUUUCUGUGAAAUUAAGAAUGCAUGUUUCAACUUUCACUUCUUUCUCUCUUUCCUUUUUUUUUCCCUGUCAUACUCCUCGGUUCUGUUUGGCGAUAGUAGAAUUCAGGAAUGGUUUCCCUUUUCUUUUUUCUUUUAUUUAUUUAUUUUUCAAUUUUUGGGUUUCUUUUGGUUAUAUGGAUUCUACAUUUUUAUUUUAUUUUUAUUUAUUUAUUUUUUUUGUGAAAUUGGAAUUGAAGAACUUAUUUUGCGUUUUACAAGCUUAGCGGGUUACGUUUCUGUUCUAUUUGUUGUACUGUUGGAGGUGUUUGGUGCAUUUAUAUAACUAGGCUUGCAAUUUCGCCUUCUGAUAAAGGUUAAAUUUUCUCCCUUUUUAUUUAUUUAUUUUUUAAUGGUGUAUUUGUGUUGGGAUUUGGUGAAAUGGGGAUUCUGUACUGGGUUUAUGGCAUUUUUUCAAUUGGUUUGAUAUUUGUGAAUGUGGGUUUUGUAGGGAAGAUGUGCAAAUUUUUUGAAAGUAAGAAUGCAAUUACAACUUUGAUUUCCUUUAUAUUUAUAUUUUAUAUUUUUUAUGCUUAUUUGCGUAUAGGUUGAUGUCAAAAUUCAUCUAAUGGGUUGUUUUUUAUUGCUUUGGAUUGGUUUAAUGUAGUUGGAUGGUGGAUUUUGUUUCUAAAACUUAAGGUCAAUUUCAAUUUUUUUAUUUUUUUAUUUUUUAUUUUUAUUUUUUCAAUUCGAAGACCUGGGAAUUGAUGUACUCAAGUUUUUGGAUUUUGCUGAUUGCCUUGAUAAACUUGGCUUGCAGAGCCUUAAAAAAUAAACUAUACUCACUAAGCUAUAUCUCAGAUGAUACUUCAUCAGGGCGUGAAAUGCAACUUGGAGUCUUUGUAUUUUUUAAAUUAUUUGGGUUAUUCUAUUCUGAAUAUUUGGUAAAAUUAGAAUUCAUGUACUGAACCUUUUUCAAGUUCUUUUGGUUGGCUUGAUAUAUUUGGUUGUGGGGUUUGUAGAUGUGGUGAGGGAUGAUCCUACAAACAAUGUCCCGGAUGCAAUUUUGUCGAAACUUGGAAUGCAGCUUCACAGGAGGGAUCAACACCCAAUUGGAAUUCUGAAGAAUGCAAUAUAUGAUUAUUUCGAUGCCAAUUACUCUAACAAAUUUGAUAAGUUGGAUGACCUUUGCCCAAUAGUCUCCACAAAAGAGGUUUGACCAUUAAGAUAUAAAAUAGAAAUUUUAUGCAUGUUUUUUUUUUUUUUCACUGUUUUGAGCUAUACAUUGCACUAUUUGGAACUUGUAUUAUCUUGCUAUGACUAGUGCUUGGCAUUUUGUUGCUGUUUAUAUUUAUUUUGCUGCCCAUUUCCUGUUGGUUUCUGUCCUGUCCUUGGUGUUUUAACAUUUAAGAAUCCAUGAAAGUGGUAUUUGCAUCUGUUGCCAAUUAUUCCAUCAACGAUGUUUUAAGUAGGAAACCUAGUAUCCAAACUUCCAUCCAAACUUACAUAUAAAAAAAAGUCCAGAACAGGCAUUCAGUUUACCAGGUUUAUCAAUUCUCUCCAAUGUUUAUUCAACUCUUAAAUGCAGUAUUCUGGACGUACUCCAAAUUUGAAAUUCCUUUGGUAAAAUAAAAGCAUGGUACUUACAGUGGUCUAUUAAGGAAAAUGUUUGUUUGACCUAGCUUUUGUACAAAAAAUUCAAAGAUAGUCUUGCAGAUAUGUAUCAUAUGGGUGUAUAUUUCUCUAUCAUGAUACAAGUGAGAAAAAAUUCAGGAAAGUUGUUUUGUUGAAAAAAAAAUUGAAAGUUAAUUUAUGUUUUGAGAGGGACAUUAGACAACCUAGGAUUCAAAGGGACAUGUUGUCUCUUAGGAAAAUAUAAUUCAUAACAUUCUCAAUCACUUACAAGUUAUUUUCUUCCUUUUAAAUUGAUUUAUUUAAUUUUUUUCUUUGUUGUAGGCAAGCAAAGAAUAUAUUUACAAAACCUACUAUUAUCAUUAUUUUGGUACUUAGCAUUGAUGGAGAUUGUAAAAAUUCUCUAAUAGUAUUGCAGGAGAAAAAUAAUAUUUAUGAAUUUUUGUUAAACACAAUUGUCAUAAUGAUAAUAAUUAAUUAGAAUAAUAUAAGUUUGUAAUUGGAAAAUUUUUUAAAAAUAAAAGCUUUUGGAAAUAGUUUGAAUAGGAGUAGAAAUUCUUGGAUUUCAUGGAGAGCUUAGGUGGGAUCUAUGCAUGGGGUUGUUUGCUAACUAUUUUAGUAUUUGCUGCUCUUCUCUCUUAUAGGUGUUCAGUUGCAGCUUGUAUUCUCUUAGCAUACUUGGGUUGUGCCCCCUUUUGUGUUCUUCAAUAUAAUCUUCAAGCUCAUGACUAGUGCAAUUUCUACUAAUUGAACACUUUUCACUUCAAAUAAUAUUUAGUAAUCUAAAUAGCAUUUAUCAAAUUAUUUCUAACUCGCCAUUAGAUUUAUAAAGAACCCAAAAUAUGAAAUUUUCUUCUUAGGCAUGAGAAAUUGUCAUUGUUAUAAACCCCAUGUUUGUCUUCUACUUACAAGCAUAAUUAUAAAGCAUGAUCUGCACGUCUUAUCAUGAAAUAUAACAAUGUCAUAAAAUAGAUGAUUGAUAAAAUAUUAGAAGUCCAUUGCAAAUGCUUAAUGGAACCAAAAAUUAUUACAGAGCAAGUGCAUAUUUCACUCAAACUUUUAUGCAGUAGUGGUAGCUUAUAAACUCACAACUUGGACUUUAUAUGGUGCAAAUGUAUGUUAUCAGCUAUUGCUUUUGACCAGUCAUGAGUAGAUACUAUUUAUAAAAGGACACAAAGGAGGAUAUAAUCCAAGUGCACUUGUAGUCAACAAGUUACUCUAGGCAUCAAAAUUGAAAGAAACAACAAUGAAGAAAAGCAGCAGAAAGUGCCCCUACCUCCCAAACUGUCAAUGAACUACUGGAAGGAUCUACUACUAUUCAAGAUAACUUCUUCUAAGCACAACUACAUGUAACAGUUCUUAGCCUGCGCUAUGGUGUCAAGAGGUAGGCUCAUUGGAACAUGCCUAUUUUGAUGGAUUUAAGUUUAUGGGGAUAGUUAAAGUGUAAAGUGUUUGAUAAAAUAAAUUUGCUAGUUUUGAUAAAUUGGAAUUACUACUGAAUGAAAUGUGAAGCUAGAUAUUAGGAGGAGAAAGAAAGAUAAUUAAUUUAUUUGUAUGAAACUAUGACUUAUGCAUUGUGAAGCUUAUUGGUUGGGAAUUGUUGAACAGGGGAACUUACUUAAUAGGGGAGAAAGAACCACACAUAUUUCUUGAUGAGAAAAUAUAAUUACAUUAGCCAAAGGCCAAAAAUAUAUGAGUAGUUCGCUAAUUGCAUAUUAUUGGAAAGAGUGCUGAGCAACAUAUGAUUCAUAAACUUUUUACAAUUUAAAGGCCUAGGUCCAAUGAGAUAUGUUGCAUCAUAUUACCUAAUGAACCAAUGAAGUUUAUGGAUUUCCAAAACUUCUUGGAGAGGUUCAUUAUUUUAUGGUUCUUUUUUUCUUUUUUAGGGUUCUUUAUUUUCUUUUUGCCGAGAUAUCUAGAAUAUGGCAUGGUAGGUAUUUUUGCUCCAUACCUCUUUGGAGCUCAAUUAUUUGGCAAAGUAGGAAGAAAACAAAUUAGCAUCAACUUUGGCUUGACUUGAGAUCACAAAUCUGACUAGAGAUUUUGCAGUAGUGUGUUGAGGUCUAAUCCGAAUCUAGGUUGUGAUGUGUGCAUCAAAGAGUCUUUCCAGAAGUCGUGAAGCUUUGAGGUGUUUUGUGAUGGCAUGACUAGAUAAUGAGCUGCAUUUUGGUCUGGAAUUUGGAGUUUGGUUAUGCAAUUUCUGUAUCUAUAUCUCCAAAAUUAUUAACUAAUUUUAAUUAUUUUAUCUAUUUUUCAAAAUAAACAUUCAAAAUUGAAAGUUUGUGUCACGAGUAUUCAGGCUUAUCCGGAAUAGAAUGCCCUGCAUUAACUCUUGCUGUUAAUGCAUAUAAUACCAGGUCACUCAACACAACCAUUUGCUUGCUUAUGUUGACUUUCAAUGGCUUAAAAUUUAUGGCUUCAAUGGUUAUUACCUGCUAAUACUCAAACUAAUUUUUUUUUUGCUAGGUAAAUAAGAGCUUGUAUUAGAAGCGCCUAGAAGUGGCGAAAACAAUACACAUGAAGUAUACAAACAGAUUGCCCAAGAAACUAGACAAAGAAGACAAAAAACCUUUCCCCUAACUAGACAUAUGACCACUCCAUAAAAUCAAACAUAGACAAAGUAUGAUCCUCUAUAAACACCCUAGCUCAAUUUACAAGAGUAUACAAAAAGGAAUGUUUUAAAGCUUGGUCGGACUGUUCGAUAUCAUUUAAUGCUCUUUCGUUUCUUUCCUUCCAUAAAGUCUACAUUAAGCAUAAAGGGGCGACCCUCCAAGACUUCUCCCUUCUCUUACCCACAAAGGCACCAUACUAACCAAGCAAAUUCCUUUCAAUCGAAGAAUGCAAAACCCACUGCACACCAAAAAGGGAGAAAAUCAAACUCCAAAGCAUUGUAGCCUUUCUGCAAAACAAGAUUAAAUGGUCACUGGUUUCCUCUUUCUCUGUAUACAAGCAUAUUCAAACUAAUAACUAAUAGUUAUUGGAUUUAAAGCUUGUUUGUUAAUGUUCUUCAUGGUUGUGCUUCUAUUUUUAAUCGAUUCUCUUGGCCAUCACCGUUUCCCCCUUAUUAAGAUUGGAUAUUUAAGUUUCAACAAAACAGCCUACUAAAUCCUCAAGAUAGAUCUUAUUUAUAAGGCAUGGGAGUUUUGGUCAAUGUCUGCUUCCAAAAUUCUUAUCCAUAUUUCUGUGAAUUCUUAUGCCAGAAAUUUUACUUCUUGCAGAAUUUUGAUGAUGUCUUGGUUCCUCCUGAUCACAUCAGUAGGAGUUACAAUGAUACAUACUACAUUGACUCUCAAACUGUCUUGAGGUGCCACACUAGUGCUCAUCAAGCAGAGCUGUUGAGGAGGGGACACACUCAUUUCCUUGUGACUGGAGAUGUUUAUCGUAGAGAUUCCAUUGAUUCAACUCACUACCGUGUUUUUCAUUAGGUUUCUUGUCUAUGAUUUGAUCAAUGAUUGUUUUCUAUUAACAAGUUUCUUAAUGUUUUCUUCAGUUCAAUAACUUAUCAUGCAGAUGGAAGGUGUUCGUGUCUUCUUCCAGGUGAUUGGGAUGGCACGUCUUAUGCAGCUGAGGAUUUAAAGAAAUGUCUUGAGGGUUCGGUGUAGCACUUGUUUGGUAAACUUAGAUCAGGAGAUUGUCUUAAUCAGAUGCAAACUUAAUACUAUCUGUUGAUGUUGCAGUGAGAAAUAUGGGUUAAGGAAUUAUUUUCCAGGUCUAAUAAUUCAAAAUCUGGGAAAUACUGCAAGUAAAAGGGGGGAGGGGGAAUAAUGAAAUAAUAAAAUAAUAAAUUUAAGUGGGCAAAGCAAUUCAUGUUAUGCAAAAGCAGUACAGGUUGGUCAUUUAGAAGUCAAAUCAAGAUAGUCCAGAAUAAUAUAGGGAAUUAUUUGUGAUUCUCAAGGUACUUGUUAAGAAUCAUUGACAAAUUACCUAAAGAAACAUUUAAGAGUGCUAUUAUUAUUGAAAUUUCUGAAAUCUAUCAGAAAGGUAGUUUUCAUCUUGGGGUUUACCAUAUACUGUAUAGAAUCUGCGUGGGCUAAAUGUAUUGAAAUUUGCAGGUAAUGUGGAAAUGCGCUGGAUUGAUACAUAUUUCCCUUUCACCAACCCAUCAUUUGAACUUGAGAUAUAUUUUUAGGUGUGCUUUUGAUCUGGCUGGUGGUUACAUUUUAGCACUAUAUAUUUUGAAUUUCUUUAAAACUUUGUUUUUGAACUAAUUUUAGUAGAAACAGGCUCCAUUUCAUUUUUUUGUUUUUACCUUUUGUAAGAAAGGGUAAAAAUCAUUUAAAAAAUGUGAACUUCAGUUUAUUCCAUUGCUGGCAUGUGUGGCUUUCAUAUGUUAUUGAAGACACUAAGAUUCAUAGACUGAUAAUAACAGUAAUAACAGUAAUGUUGAUGAUAAAAUAAUAUAAAAGUAGAAACAAAAUUAGUUGUCACCUUUUUUUUUUCUUUUAAUUUCUUUGUUUUUCUUACUCCUCUGAUGUCGGGAAGGGGUGUAGGGCUCUUUGUUGUCACCAAAUGUGAAAAAGAGGAUGCAUUAUGUCCUUUUAUUUUGGACUUACAGGACUUAUGAUGAAGGCAUUGCUUUCUUCAAUGUAUAUUUAUGACUUCAAGACAUUUUUGUAUUUUAUUUUAUGGCAGCAUUUUUUAGUGUCACUAUUGAAGGAGAAAUUCAUAAGCAUACAUACACACAUGUUAGUGGGCAUACACAAACACUGAUGUUCCACACAGUAAUUAAAAAAUUCUUGCUUUAAGGAGUAUCUUUUUCCAGAACGCAUGUCCAUGUCAAAUGGCAACAUGCCAAUGACUAUUUGCCAGCAGAUGGAAUGCUGGCAACACUUUUAUGGAUUGAAUGUUUUCCUUUCCCUGUUCCUUGUAGUGAAUGAUAUGUACACUUUAGUUGCUCUUACAUAUUUGAUGCAUUGUGCUUCAUGCCCUAACUAAUGUAGAACAGAAAAGUACCAGAAAAAAUGAUGGGAGUCUAGGAAUUACUUCCAAAAACCUUAGGCUUCGCAUAUAGGUUUAGUUUUCAUCACACAAAAAAGAAAACAAUGAAAGCUGGAAGCUUUUGUGUUUUCAUUCAUUGAUCCUUAUUAGAAAAAUUAGGAGAACCCAACCUAUGGUAAUCACCCUGGGGGAGGUGAAUAGGUGAUGGUCUCUUUUUGCAAAUUUAAACUAUAUGAAUGUAAGAGACAAUUAUAUGCAAGUAUAUAAUAAACAAUGUAAAGACAAUUGCAUAUAAAUUAAAAGAGUAGGGAAGAGAGAAUGCAAAUACAAGAUUUUAUAGUGGUUCGAUGCAACCUGACCUACAUCCACUCUCCUCUAGCUUCAAUCCCAAGCUUGAGGUUGCAUAUAAAUUAAAAGAGUAGGGAAGAGAUAAUGCAAACACAAGAUUUUAUAGUGGUUUGGCACAACCCGGCCUACAUCCACUCUCCUCUAGCUUCAAUCCCAAACUUGAGGUUCCACUAAUUCAAGGCUUCUAAACCAAGCCUUCAAGCAAUAUAAUUGAAUUAUGGUUCCAAUUCACCCUCUUGGACUUUUGGCUCCAAGCACCCUUUACACUUCUCAAGAGAUAUCCCAAUCUUGAACAACCCCUCAAGUGAUACCCCACACUGGAGAAACUUCCUCUCAAAGAUUUACAAAUAAAUGAUUUCACAAAAUCCUAGUACAAAAACUUUAAGCUCAAAUGAUACAAGAAAACUAGGAUUGAAAUGUGCACUAAGGAUAUGCAAGUUUUAGAAUAAUGAUAUACUCAAAAACACUCUUUCAAGGCUCAAAUAUAUUCAAGAAAGAUUUGAGAAGGUUAAGAUCUUGAAACAAUGAAGACUGAAACCUUUUUAUAACGGAAAAAAGCCAAACUAGUCGUUGGGGGUUCGACCGGUUGACUAGCCGUUAGUAUUUAAUACUUGGUAGGUGACCGUUGAACCUCGACCGGACCUCAACCCGACCUCAACCAGUUGAGGUUCAACCUUGACCGGUUGAACAACCGUUCUGGAAGAAAGAGAAAGUUUUUUGCACCCUCGACCGGUUGAGUUGGGGGUCGACCCAGACCUAGACCGGUUGAGCUGGCGGUCGACCGGUUCCUCAUCCGGUUCAACCAGUUGAGCCGUUUUUGGCUCAACAACCAAGCUUUUUUAACUUAAAACCUUUUAAAACAAGUUUGAAAAACAUUUAACACAAGGUUUUAGUUGAAAACAUGAAAUCAUCCAAUUUUUAAAAUAUUUAAAACAAAAUAACUCUUGGAUGAUUUUGGUGCAUAAGUAAAGAAUGUAAUGCAUGAAAAUCCUAGUGCACCAACAACCUUACAAAGAGAUCUUAUGAAACUUAGGUUUUAAAAAACACUUCUCUUUGAGGUGGUCUUCUUCUUCAUGAUUUCUCCUUGGCUUGAUUUGUCUUUGUGAUUGCCACUUUAGAAAUCGUUUUGCCUAAUCACAUUUGAAAUAUAAUCAUUAGUUCUAAACUUUGUUUUGUUAUCAUAAAAAUCAAGAUUAACCAAAUCUUGGUUUCACAAUCCUUUUAGAAGAUAGAGUGAUUAGCUUUGUAAAUACAACCCUAAGACCCCUAACACUCUUUGGAACCAAUCACAGUAAUAAUAAAGCUGAGAAAUCAGAAACUUGAACUAAUAAAUAAAAAUUAAAAGGCACUUGCAAAUAUAAAGCAUUAAUGACUUUGGAAAUAAGAACACUCCAAUACCCCCCACGCCCUUUGGAAAACUCAACCUUGACAAGUUAAAGGCAUGAAAUUUCUCAUAAAGAUCACAAUUCAACUGCUGAAAUUCAUUGCUUGUGAUCCACAUACAAUCUCAAAGUGGCAUUUCUCUCCAUUUAACAAGAUACUUUUGAUAACCUCCUCUUCUGGUUGAAACAAUUUAGUGAUUAACAACUUUUCAAUCUUCUCUUUCAAUCAAGGGGCUGGUAGAAGAUGACCAUUUGGACCAUUAAUUGAUGUAGUAACUUUAGGAUUAGGAUAAAGGGUGUGGUCUUCAAUAUUAGAGAUCUUAUUAAUGCCCAUAUUUUCUGGCAAGUCAAGUACAUAAGCGUUGGGACUUGUUUUCCUAAGAAUUUUAUAGGGACCAACUUUCUUUGAGUGGAGUUUCUUAUAGGCACCUUUAGGAUAUUGUUCAGGCCUUAGUCACACAAUAACCAUAUUACCUUCAAUAAGUUCAGCAAAUUUUCUUUUCACAUCAUUGUAUGACUUAUUUAUUUAUUUGAUGGGCAAGCGGGAAAACACAUGUAAUCAUAUGACUUAUAAUUUCAUUGAUGAAAACAAUUUUCAUUGAACAUGAUAAUGUAUGUCAUCUAUAUGCUCACUAAAAGCAUCGGCUUCAAUGCUAGGUCAUGCAUCCAUUGUUAAAGGAACCAAAUCCAUAGGCUUUCUAGGAAGUGAUUCAGUCACAAUCUCGAAAGGACUAUGACUAAUAGACCUAUUCAAGGAGCUAUUAUUUGUAAAUUCGGCCAUUGAUCUGAUCUCCAACUAGGCAAUGAAGUAAAUGAUGCAAGCUUCAAUUAACAACUUCUAUUUGGCCAUCUCUUUGAGGGUGAAAAGCAAAAGAAAACUUUAGUUUGGCAUUUAGUAUUUUCCAUAAAGUUCACCAGAAGUAACUCAUGGACCUACCAUCCAGUUUAGGAAAAUCAUGAAGGCGAACAAUUUCCUUGAAGAAGAGUUUGUUUUUUUUUUUUAUAAGUAUUCCUUGAAGAAGAGUUUAACAAUCAGGCAACAUCUUUAGUCCUUAAGCAUGGGAUAAAUUGUACCAUCUUGGAGUAAUGAUUUAUCACUACAAGUAUGCAAUCAUGUCUCUGAUAGUUUUUGGCAAACCAGGGACAAAAUCCAUGCGUAGGUCUAGCCAUGGUUCAUGUGGCACAGAAGUGGCAUGUAUAAACCUGUAUUCUUCCUUUGCCUCUUUGAUAAUUUGUAGGUUUGAUGUCUGGAGACAUUCUUAGCCACAUCUUUUUUCAGACUUGGUCAGUAAAAAUGAUUUUCCACCAUUGUAAUGGUUUUAUCUCUUCCAAAUUGACCGGUUGUUUCUCCAGCAUGACGAAAUGAUGUUUUGGGUAAGCAAAGCCGAGUCCCUUUGAAGCAAUAUCAAUCAUGUAAAAAAUCACCAUAUUUUCCCGAAUUUCCAGGCACUAAAGCAACGCAUAUAAUGCUAAAAUCUUUGGAAGAAGGAUAAGGUCUCUUAAAUGAGUCAAAUCCAACAACUUGUACAACAAUAGAAGAAAGAGUGAAUGCCAAUUUGCUAAGAGCCACUGCAAAGAAUUCUUUGUCAUAGGUACAAUAUUUCUGCUUUGCUUCAUUAAGCUUUUUGCUAAGAAAUGCAAUAGGGACACCUCUAACUCUUAUAUUUGAUGCAUUGCAUGCCGCUUCUAACACCUCCCGGAAAAUUUGGAAGCUGCAAAACCAGUGCUUCAAUUAACAUUUUCUCAAUUUCUUUGAAAGCUUGUGAUGUUGCCUUGGUCCAAUUCAACUGAUUUUCUUCAUACAAUAAAUUAUAGGGGCUGUAACAUUGCUGAAACUUAUGAUGAAAUGUCCAUGGAACAUUUCUAGCCCAUGGUAACUUUGUACUUGUUGUGAUGUGUUGGGAAUUAGGAUGGCUUUUACUUCAUUCAUACUUCCAAUCCUUUUGCCAAAACAACAAGCCUAAGAAUACUACUGCUGAGAUCAUGAAAGAGCAUUUCUUGAAAUUUAUGUAGAGCUUUUCUUGGCGAACAACUGUCAUAACUUGCCAUAGAUGGGAGAUGUGAUCUCCUUUGGUCUUGCUGUAAUUAAGAUGUCAUCAAAGUAAACAACCAGGAACUUUUCAAUAAAUGGCUGAAGUACUUGAUUUAUGAAGCACAUGAAUGUGCUAGGGGCAUUUGAAAGGCCAAAAGGCAUGACUAGCCACUCAUAGAGGCCAUCUUUUGUUUUAAAGUCCGUCUUCCAUUCAUUUUCCAAUAUACUGCUUAUUUGAUGAUAUCCACUCUUUAAAUCCAUCUUUGAAAAUAUGCAAGAGCCAGCCAUCAUGUCAUAUCUAACAUAUGAUUGAAUCAAGGGAUAGGAAACUGAUACUUGAUGGCUAUCUUGUUAGUAGUGUGACUGCCAACUACUAUCUUUUUUUUUUGUGUUAGCAAGGCAAAGACAACAUGAGGGCUUAAACUUUCAUGAAUAGUUCCCUUGGACAGCAGCUACUCUACUUGUCCUUUUAGUGCUUCAUGCUCACUUGGAUUCAUAUGAUAGGCUGGAAGAUUAGGCAAUUGAGGCCUUGCCAUAAAAUCUAUAAGCAUGCUGAAUGUUGUGCAGAGAGGAAAGUUUUUUAGCAACAACUAUGGUAGGUCUUUUCGAGCAACAUCUAUGGUAGUUCUUUUUUAGCAACAUCUAUAGUCAUCAGGAUCAUAGGCUCUAUAAUCAAAUGAAUUUCGGUUUCUUCAUCUUUUUGUUGUUCUUGUUCUUCUUCAUGCUCCAUUCUGAUGUACAAAUUGUUCUUUGGACAAUUUAGGUUAUUUGGCUGGGUUGUUGACACUUAAAACACCUAUUAACCUUACCCUUAGGAUUAACGACAUUAGAAGAAUACAACUUAGACCCUGUAGGUUGGAUAAAUGGCUUGAAUUGGCCUAUUCUUGCACUGCAACCUACAUCAGUGAACCUCUUUGCACUGGUUCUAUGGAUGAAACUCACAUCCCAAGUACUCCUCCAUAUCUAAUGCAAAUUGAAAAACAUGUUCUAGGUUGUAUAAUAGCUUUCAAGGGAGAUCUGGCUGAGGGAGGGGGAUAGAAACACGGGUUUCUUCCAUCAUAUGGCAAACGCUCAUCAUAGAAACAAUUCUUUGGACAGAAUUAAGAUAAAUGGGGAAUGGCUUUCAGAGGAGCAGGAGAUUAGGGAAGGAAUUGCUAAUGCUUUUCAUCAGCUGCUAUCAGAAGAUACGGGGUAGAAGGCGGACAUUGGGAGGCUUCAGCUUGAUCAAAUCAGUCAGCAAAAAGCAGAGAAUCUGGAGAGUCUUUUUACAGAGAAUGAAGUUCAUAUAGCUUUGAUGGAGAUGAAUGGGGAUAAAGCCCCUGGUCCAGAUGGCUUUACUAUGGUUUUUUGGCAAAGUUGUUAGGACUUUGUUAAAGAUGAGAUCCUAGAAAUGUUCAAGGAAUUCCACGAGCAUAGCUCUUUCCUCAAGAGCCUCAACAAUACUUUUCUGGUUUUGAUUCCUAAGAAAAGUGGGGCUGAGGACCUUGGAGAUUUUAGACCUAUUAGUCUUCUGGGGGGGCGGGGCUUUAUAAGUUAUUGGCUAAAGUGCUAGCUAACAAGCUGUAGAAAGUGGUUGGAAAGGUGGUCUCCACUUCUCAAAAUGCCUUUGUGAUGGGAAGACAAAUUCUUGACGCUUCUUUAAUUGCAAAUGAAGUGAUAGACUCAUGGCAGAAACAAAACGAAAAGGGCCUUAUUUGCAAAUUGGACAUAGAAACAACUUAUGACAGCAUCAAUUGGAAGUUUUUGUUGAAGGUUUUGCAAAAGAUGGUCUUUGGGUCUAAGUGGUUGGGGUGGAUGUGGAGUUGCUUGUCUUCAGCCAAAUUCUCAGUUUUGGUUAAUGGGGUGCCUUCUGGCUUCUUCCCUAGCACUAAGGGCCUUAGACAAGGAGAUCCCCUAUCUCCUUAUCUCUUUGUUAUAGGAAUGGAAGUGCUGGAUGUUCUUAUCAGGAGAGCCGUGGAGGGGGGAUUUUUAUCAGGGUGUAACAUUAGGGGUGGUAGCAGAUCCUCUUUGAACAUCUCCCAUUUAUUUUUUGAUAAUGACACAAUUGUGUUUUAUGAGGCUAGUAAGGAGCAUCUAACUCACUUAAGUUGGAUUUUACUCUGGUUUGAAGCGGCUUCAGGUCUAAGGAUUAACUUAGUUAAAAGUGAAAUUAUUCCAGUUGGAGAGGUGAAGGAGAUUGAAGAGUUGGCUGUUGAGUUAGGUUGUAAGGUGGGGUCCUUACCCUCUCAGUAUUUGGGACUUCCUCUAGGGGCUCCUAAUAGAGCUUCUUAUAUGUGGGAUGAGGUGGAAGAGAGAGUAAGGAGGAGACUUGCGCUAUGGAAACCACAAUAUAUCUCCAAAGGGGGAAGAAUCACUUUAAUAAAAAGUACUUUGUCUAGCAUGCCAAUCUAUCAAAUGUCUAUUUUCAGAAUGGCCAAGAUUGUUGCUAGAAGGCUAGAGAAAGUGCAAAGGGACUUCCUAUGGGGAAGGGGAAAUCUGGAGGGGAAAAUUCAUCUAGUUAAUUGGGAGGUGGUUUGUACAGACAAGGAAAAGGGUGGGCUAGGCCUUAGGAAGCUAGCCAUGUUGAACAAAGCCUUGCUUGGAAAGUGGAUAUAGAGGUAUGCUUGUGACAAAGAUAAUCUUUGGAAACAAGUGAUUACGGUGAAGUAUGGGCAAGAGGGUCUUGGAUGGAGGCCAAAGAAGGCUAAUGGGGCGGUUGGAGUAGGGGUUUGAAAGGAGAUUUGGAAAGAAUCAGAUUGGUGCUGGGAUAACAUGAUAUUCCGAGCUGGGAAGGGCACCAAGAUCAUAUUUGGACAGAUGUUUAGUGUACCGAUACAACAUUGUCCCAUUGCUUUCCUCAUCUCUUUGUCAUGGCUGUUCAAAGGAGUUCAACGGUUGAGGAAAUGUGGGACCAAAAUUCUAGUCAAGGAGGUUGGAACCUAAACUUUUUGAGGGACUUCAAUAAUUGGGAGCUAGAUAUGAUUGGGGAUUUGCUCCAUGUGCUGAGGGGUCAUAGGCCUUCUUUGGAGGAAGACUCAGUUUUUUGGAGGCAAGGAAGAAAUGGUUAGUUCAGGGUUAAGGAAGCUUAUAGCUUGUUGACCAAUCCUAAUGAAAUCGGCUUUCCUUCAAGAAGUAUUUGGGUGGCUAGGGUGCCAACUAAAGUCGCCUUCUUUGCUUGGGAGGCGACGUGGGGGAAGGUGCUUACUCUGGAUAGACUAAAAAGAAUAGGGGUGCAACUUCCGAAUUGUUGUUUUUUGUGUGGGUGUGAAGAAGAAAAUGUAAAUCAUAUCCUUAUACAUUGUAUAGUGGUUAGAGUUUUGUGGGAUAUUGUCCUUGGGUUAGUAGAUGUUAAAUGGGUCUUUCCAGAAACUGUAAAGGAGGUCUUAAUUAGCUGGAGGGGCUCCUUUGUGGGGAAGAAAAGGAAAAAGGUUUGGGAUUCCAUUCCAUUGUGUAUUUUUUGGACGGUAUGGAAGGAGAGGAAUAGAUUAGCUUUUAGGAGGGGGUGUGUUGAAUAUUCAGAAGUUAAAGAAUUUUUUUGUCUGUAACUUGUGGAGUUGGGCCAAAUUGUAUUUUGGUGAGGAGUCUUUCUCUCUUAUAGGCUUCCUGGAGUGGGUAGCAUCCACUUAAGGGGAGGUGAUUCUUUUUAUCUUUGUUUUUUGAGGCCCUAGCCGCCUUGUAUACCCCCUGUAUGCUUUGUGGCUUUUUGCCUCUUUAUUAAUGCAUUUCCUUUUACUUAUAAAAAAAAAACAAAAAAGUUCUAGGCUGUAUAAUGGUUGAUGCAUCAACUCUCUUCUCAUUUUAGGUCUCAAUCCAGCUUUGAAUCAUGCAAGAGUUUGCCCUUGGAUCUUCUACUAUUUGACUCCAAGUCUUUAGCUCAUGAUAUCUUUGCAUGUACUUUGGUCUCUACAAUAGACAUGUUGUUCUGAUUCAUAGUAAUGAGGUGAUUACAUAACUUAUUACAAUAAUUGAUCCUGUAUGUAUUUUUCACAUAGCUUAUCCUUCAUCUCAUGCCAUGUGCUGACAGGUGGUAGCCUCAUCUUCCCAUCUUCCUAGUAUCUCUUUCAACAUCUGUCCACUAAUCUUUUGCUAAGCCUAUUAGUUUCAUUUUAGUAAACCACCCUCUCUAUUCAUCAUUCAUACAUACCAAUCAAAACAGUCCUCAAUUGUAGUUAGCCAAUCAAGAAAUUGAGUAGCAUUGCCCUUCAAAUUAGAACUUCUCCUUUUACUUUCCUUGUGAUAUCUUCAGCAGUUUCACAAGGUUUGCACCUUGUUUCAGGUAGUCCUCUAGCCCAUUCAGAUAUAGGAUAUUGUGGUGCAUGUCCAAUGUUCCUCCAAGUUUUUGUUGUUAUUAAUUUGAGAUAAUUCUCCUUGCACAACACGUGCUAAAUCAUUAGUGGGCUGAGAUAUUUGUGUCUCAAUGUUGCUUAGUCGAAUAUGCAGGCUAUCAAGCUGUUCCAUCACCACAUAGUAUCUCAUCAUGUUGACUAUUAGAUAAAUCUAUUUUGAAACUCUUGCUAGGUCUUGUAAUCAUGAUCUCAACUUGCUUUGAUGCCAAAAUUGAUGCUGAACAGAAAGGUAAAAGAAAACAUGUUGGGACUCUAGGGAUCACUUCCAAAUCUUAGGCUUCACACUUAAGUUCAGUUUGCAUCACGCAAAUAAGUUGAACUAUCAUAGUACGAUUGGUUCAUAAUAAGGUGUCAUCUGAUUGGUUCUCGUGGAGACAACUUGUGAUCAUUCAAACUGGAGGCUGCACCUGAUUGAUUACAUUGAAAGUUGGAAGGUUUUGUAUGAGAUAAAUGAACCAACUUUAUACACUAUAACUCUAGACCUUAGACUCUUUUAGAGCUAAUGGCAAUACUAAUGAAGUUGGAAAAUCAACAAUGUGAACUGAUAAAAAAAAUUGAAAGACUCUUGAAAAUGUAAAGCAUUAAUGAUUUUGGAAAUAAGAACACCUGUGAUCCUUUGACUAAACUCAUAAACAAAACUUAGACUGAAAUCCACAUUGAAGUAUAUAAAAUCCCGACUGGGCCUAUUAUCAUCCAAAGUAUGCCAAAUCAUAAUUUGGGCCUUAAGAGUCCAAUCUCUAUGCAUUUGUUAACCUUUCACAAGUGAUUGCCACUUGUCUUCAUCGCUAACAAACACGAUUAUAGCAUCAAAGAAGGGCCAUGUCCCCAAAUCUGGCAGUAAAAGUUCUUUUUACAAGCUAACCUCAGGGAUCCAAUUACUACAUUAUUGUGUUAACCAUGAACAUUGGUGCUCCUGUUCUGCUUGCAUGGUUACACUGAACCUGCUAUCCAAAUGUGUUGGUUGACCAAAUGAGAAACUCUAGGAAAAUGAAUGAAUUCAUAGUGACAUAGCUACAUUGAAUGCAACUUGUGUGUUUGUGUGAACAGGAUUGGGGGAGUUAAAGAGAGUUUUUAGAAGGGAGAAUACCUUUUUAAUUGGUCUUAGUGUUCAGUAUGCAGCUGGUUCAGUGAUCAAGAGGCCAGUUUAUAAUACAAUUUUCUUGAGAUUUUUAUUGAAGUGAUCCCUUGAAAAGUCAGGCUACUUUUUCAAGAAGUAAAUGUUUUAUCUUGGAGGUUGUAAAAGAUGCAUUCUCAGAAUAGGUGCCUUGAUUAUGUUUCUUCAGCAGAAGAACCUACAAUUAGGGUCCUGUGUAUAUCCUUUCUUGGAAUUUUCAUAACUUUACCAGUAUUAACUUUCUAUUUUAGGACUAAACUGUUCAGCAAAUCUAUGGAAAAGACUAAAGAGUAAGUACUAAGUAGUUCCUCCAAGGGCUGCCAAAAAGCACUUCCCAAGGCCAUGAGCCAAAACUGGGCCACAUGGAAAGGGGUUGUAACAAGUCACUUGACUUGGGGUUGUUAGAGGCCAUCAUUAGUCAAGAUUGGUUUUAGAUUUAACUUUAGGAAUUUAUUUAUUUUCCUGAUUCCUAUUUUAUUUUUAGUUACAAAAUCAUAUUUGACUCUUGUUUUCCACUCUAAAUUCACAAUAUGUGAACCUUUUUUUUUUUUAUCAGAAACGAAGAAGAUUAUAUUAAUAUAAAAACAAAUACAGGAGAAAUAAAAGAAACAAGAGAAAGAGAAAAAAAACCAAGGGAAGGAUGAGAGGUCUUUUCUACACAAAUUGAACAAAGGAGAAAACUCCCAACAAUAGAACUCUAAAAACAAAGAGAAACCCCAUCAAUUUUCAAACUUUUGAAAUGCAAACCCCAAUCCAAUUGAGUUGUAGAACAUUUAGAGGAACUCCUCUAAAAGCUUCAGUACAAGAAGCCCAUAGAGAAGAAUAAAACCGAAUCAAAUCCCAUACCAUCUCUUCCGUUCUCUCUCUAUCCUCAAAGAUCCUAUUGUUUCUCUCUUGCCACACCAUCCAAAUCAAAGUAAGGCAAGCAAUUUGCCAAAGUGUCUUGCCUCUUAAUGAGUUCCCCAAGCCUUUAAAAGUAAUAACCAACAUAUCCUCAAGGCUCCUUAGAGGACCCAAACCAACCCUACUAGAUUGAAUAACCUGUGCCAAAGUCCAAUGGUAACGGGACAAUGAAGAAAAAGGUGGUCAAUCGAUUCUCCAUUUCCUUUGCAAAGAAUGCACCAUUGAGGACAGAGGGCUUUGUAGGGUCUUCUCAAUUGCAACUUGUCAUUAGUGUUUACCUUCCCAUGUUCUACUAACCAAGCGAGGGCCUUAACCUUUGAAGGGACUUUUGAGCUCCAUAAGAACUUGGCCGGAAGGAACAAUAAAGGAUUUGAGACUUUUGACAAGGCCAAGAAAAAAGAUUUCACUGAAAACAAACCUAACGAAGACAAAGACCACGCUCUUGAAUCUGAUGAAGAAGUAGAGAAAAACACAAAACUAAGGGAGGACAUUAAUCUCUUAAGGAAAUCAAUUUCUGAAUCCGUUAGAUUGCGGCGAAAAUUAAAAUUCCAAGACAGUGGUAAGGAAUUGCCAAGGACAUUUAAGACAGUGAGGUUUUUCACAGAAAUAACUCUAUAAAGAUCAACAAAUUGAGAGCACAAAGUUUGGUUACCCCACCAAAGAUCUUCCCAAAACCAAAUUCUCUCCCCAUUGCCCACUACUAGGCGGACAAAAGGGGAAAACUCCUGGAAAACUUGAGCAAUAGCCUUCCAAGGACAUCUGUGUGACCAUCUAACCACCAUGUUGGUGUUCCAUCCAUUUGGAUGUGUCCCAUAUACUCGCAAUAACCUUAUGCCAAAGACCACUUGUGGAUCCGCAUUUUUCACGUGUGCCCCCAUUCAAUCGGCGAGACUCGCUUUUUAUUUGUGAAAAAGUAAUUUUUAGAAAAGUUGGAGUCGCCAGUUAUUUUAUUUUAUUUUAAAGGGAAAAUAAAACCCUAAAAAAAGAUGACUCCAUAAUAUUUGGAAAAGCGUGUCUUUGAAAAACUCAAGUCUAAGUCUGAGGAUAAAGUUACCUAUUAAGAAGGUACCUCUAGGAGGUAGCACCCCUCUAAGCCCUAUAAAGGUCUCUACUCACUAAGUUAAGGGAGAUAAGGCAAUUAAUUGAUUAAUUGAGGGUACCUAGGUAGACUAAUGUGAUUUCAAAAAAUAGCAUGUCAAACAAGAUCAAAUCACAAUAAAGGAGAGUUAGGGUGUGUACCUGAACCGCUUCUUAAGCACCAUCAAAAGGGAUCAAAGGUUAGUUUGAAAAUAUGACACGUAACAUGCAUUUUUAUCAAAGAUGAUCAAACAAGCAUCAAGGCAAUCGAGUAUGACAUCAAACAUGGACAUGGCUCAUGAUAACAUACACAUUCAUAGAAUUUUAGAGUUGAAGGGGUAGAAAGAGCGUAUCUGAUUAGCGAGCAUCCACACCUCUAUGGGAAACAAGGGUAGCUCAACAAAUAAAUACAAAACAAAUUCAUGUAUUUCAUCAAGAGGAAUAAAAAAUCAAUCAGAUAUCAAGCAAACAAUAUUGAAGAGAAUAUCAUGAAUGUCGGGCCCCCCUCUAAAGGCCUAAUUAAUGUUGCAUGAGUUGAUUCUAUGAAUUCCAUUGUUUGGAAUCAUGAAGUUCGUUCAUGCUUAAAAAAAUCAAGAAAACCAAGAAAAAUGUUGAAAGACCCAAAAGAUGCAUGCCUAAAUGAAACAUGGUAGCAAGGGUUUUUAAAACUGAAUUUUCUCAACCUGAAAUCCUUCAAUGAUGAAAUUAAAAAAUGAAUAAUAGCUUUGAUGGAAAAGAGAUUUUGAAAACGUGAUUCAAAACAUGUAAGAUCACAAGGAAAUAUAAAAGCAAUAAGGGAAUGGUGCAUCAAGAUGGCCACUGUAUGAGUGAGGUCUGGGGGUGUGACUGAGACUACUUUGCUAAAUUUGAAGAUGAUUUCCUUAAUUCCAUUCUGCUGCAACAUUCUGAUACGCCUCAAUAAUUCAGGCACGUUCAUCUCCUUGGCCAUCUGAAACAAGCUCCAUGGUUUGCAGAUAAUUAUAAGUCUCAUGAAUGCAGGAGCAAUCAUUACCUAUUUCCAGUAAUUAACAUAUUUAACAUCCUGUUCACGAGUCAUGCAACCUGGUUAACCCACCAGAUUGCAAAGAAUUAAUGCCAAGUAAAUUCUAUGAGGAACAAGUGGGUGUCACGAUUCUCAAUUUUUGAAGCUUCAAUCACAGACUACACAAAUAGUUGACUUUCAUUAAGUUCGUCAUCAUCAUCAUCCACACAACCAGGUUGUUGUUUCAAUUCAGUGUCAAGUUGGUGAAUCUUCUUCUGUUUUAGCCAUAUAGGAAGCCUUUUCGAUUGUAAAUCCGGAAUGACAUCAAGCUUAAUCUCCAAUUCUGAACCCUCAAGGUACAGUUUCUUCAUUGAGCCUUUAUUACUUUUCCUUUACUGAUAUUACAGUAGUUCAACUCAGGCAGCCAACUUAGCGAAUUAAGCAAGCAUUUGUUGAGAAGACGUUCAGUUCAUUUAAACAGCAGAGAUGCUUCCCAAACACUUUGAGAAGUUAUAAAAGGAUUUCUCACCAAUCUGCUCACUGUCCUCCAUAUUUAAAAGUCCCUUUAGCCAUCUCAGUUGUGAAUCUUCAAAUCUAUGAUCCUAAUCUGUCCGGAUAAUUUCCCUCCUAGCAAAUUCGGGAAUCGACUUAGAAUUUCUAAGAUGUUCAAGGUCUUCCUUGAGUUUUGAAUACCCUAAUUUCAAUAUAGAAACCUUUUCUGUAAGAACCUUUCCUGAAGCAAUCUCAACAGCAAGUUGUUUAGCGAACUUUUGUGUUUCAACGCCUAUUUCAUCAACAUGACUUUGUAGAGAGCUUACCUCCAGCUUAAGCUCAAUAAUAGAAGACUCCGCAACUUCCAAGCUUCCUUUAAGCCUAUUGCUCUCUUCAUAAGAAAUUGACAAGUCAUUAUCCACAGAAUUGUCUAGACUCCGUCCAUGAACCCAAUCAUUGCUUCUCUGUGCCAAAAACCUUUGAUCUGAUGGGCCCUCUUUCUCUGUCUGGGGACUUUGAGUGUAGGAAAGUCCAUUUAAAUCACCAGAGGUUGCAUUCUUAAGACUAUCGAUCUCAUGUGUGCUGGAGGUAUCAUGCUUUUCAGUUUAUAAAAUUUCUGAUGUAUUGAAUGAGCCAUCAAAUCUAAUAGCUGAGUCUGAAUAUUCUUCAUUUAAUCCUCCCUCUUCUUCAAGUGAAGGAAGCUCUGUUGAUUCUGGUUUGAAUCUAACCUUUACAUUGACCUUAUCCAUGUGUUCAUUGACAGUUUCUUCGGAUGAUAAUGCUUCUCCUCCGUUAGAUCCAUCACGCCUAAUUUGUCCAGUGUUCAUCUGCAACCCUCUCUCUCUUUGUUCCCUCUGCUGCUCAAACUCUCUGAACCUGAUUUUAGAAGUUAACAGCUGCACAGUAACAUGUAAUACAGUCCCAGAAUUGCAUCCAUGAAGAGGCAGUGCAACAGUAGAAGGCUUUAGGGCAUUGGAAUAAUCAGCAAGGUUGAUAUUAGCCUCACCCAGGAUAUUAGACCAUGAAGAACCCAUUGCCACUAUAACUUUACAGAGCUUCUCAUCGUACUGCUUGGUUAGACUUGUUUGAAAGCUGAGCGUUCACAUCAGCUUUCAUACGUCGCAGGAGGUAUGGCAUACUCAAGUCACGUAGGACUACUGCACACUUGUAAAUGGUGGAUGCAUGUAAUGGAGAAGCAUUGGCAUAGCCACCAACAGAUAUAGGAACUGUAAAUUCUGCUUCAAAUAUAUGCAACAUCCCCAAAUUCCCAGAGAAUAUAAAAUCGAACAAAGACCACAGCUCAGCCAGCUUAUUCUGAAUUGGCGCACCAGUCGUUAUAUGGUGAAGGGUCUGUAACUGUUUAUGGAGUAUGCUAACUCCAGCAUUUGAAUUCCAAAUUCAGUGUUCUUCAUCUAAAAUUGCAUAACCCGUUUGAUAUCAAGUAGCUUUCCAGCCUGGAUGGUCUUGCCAAGUCCCAUCUCGUCUCCAAUAAUUCCACCUACUUGUUGGCGAUGCAGUUCUCACAGCCACUGAACCUCCACCUUUUGAUAAUAAAAAGGUUUACUGAAAAUGCUUUUAGGUAUUCUCAGACCACCUUCAAGUGUUACAUAAGGGGGGUUCAUUAUCGUCUGUAUUUUCAGUAUCUUUUUGGUUUACUUCUUCAUUACUAGAGGUCACUAAAUUGUCACUUGUAUCUUUCAUCAUGAUCUGCCUCCUCAAAUUCUAAGAUUAAAGCACCUGCAGAAACAUUCUGAGCUAUGUCUAUGCUGGAAGAUGGACAAGACUGCCUCUUAACUUCACUUCGAACAGCUGGAGUUUCUGAACCCUUACGAUUUGGAUGGCAAGGUGGCUCUGAGGGGAGCCAAUUUCUAAUCAGACGGCACAGCCUUCGAAUCGCAGUUUUCGCUGUAAGAAGUGGAACAGAUUCACCAAGAGAUGCAAGACUUUGAUCCAGUUUUAGCGUAGAAUUUUUAGAACCAGUCAUUUUCAAUCUACUCACUAUACAUUCUGAUUCAAACAAAAAUCCUUUCGAUCGAAUGAGUUUCGUUCCAUCGCCUACCACAAUCUUUUUUUUAAUUUUGAACAUGAGAGAAAGAGAGCGUCAUAAAUUUUGUUUUGAUUUUCCCAUUUCAAAUAGCAUUUGCCUCAGCUUUUUGAGAAUAGCUUCAUCAUCUGGCCUGGCCAUUUUCAAUGCUUCUGGGAGAUUCUUACAGCCUGCAUCAUCUUGAUCACUUGGUUUGCUGUGAAAAUUGUUUGUUUGUAUGAGAGGAGCAAAUAUCGAUUCUGCAUUCGGUGUACAGGUGGUUGCCAGAAACUCCAGUCUUUAAACACAAAUUGAGUCUUCAUCAUAGGGUGGAUGCUAUUGAAGCAUUAGAAAUCCUUCAAUUAAAUUGUUUGAGCAUUCCAGAACCUUUUGGCAGAGUAUCUUCCAGCGCUAUGGGAGACAAAGGUUAAAUGCUUGGCUGGAUUUAUGGCAGCACACUCUUCCAGUGAUGCGGCGAUUUCGACGUGUUCCUGACUGAUUUCAAGAGCAUUUUUGCUGCUCUUUGUGGUCAAUAGUCUGACCAACAAAAACUUCAACACUUGUAUUAACUGGAAAGUUCAUCAGCUGAUGGCCAAGAGAAUCCCAAGAUCUGCCUCAAAAUGGGUUUAGUUCUGAUGCGAAUGCUGCUCUCUCUUUUUUUUUUUCUCAGGUAAUCUGUUGAUAAAGCUCACCAAAUUUUCACAUUCAACCCGAUCUUCCUCCCUCAGAGCAAAACUGGUUAGAGAAGACCUCCCAGGAAGGAGUUGUCCAUAUGUUUGAACUAGAGUUAUUUCAGGGACAGCAGCUAAAAUUUUCAACAUGGAAUGAGUGAGUGUACAAGGAUGACGCUUGAAAAUGAGGUUUAAGGCCCCAAUUUUUCCUCUUUCAGCGAGUGCAACAGCAGCUCAUCAGAAGGCCACUUUCUAGAGAGAAUGGACGGAGUAAUAAGAUUCUUGGUCAUUCGUUGCAUAAGCAUCAACCUGGUACUCUGGCUAGGGGGCCAUAGUUUGAUUGACAUCUUGCGUUAUUGAAGAUUUUGGGCAGUGGAGUCCAUGUCAAAGAAACCUAUGUUUCUGGGAAAACCUCUUUCUGGGAGAUUUUGGGUGAUUUUGAGAAGGUUAUGGAAAAAUUAAAGGGGAAAACUGAAGGAAAAUUUCUGAAACCAAGGAGCAUGGAAACUGAUCCUUUUGGGGCAGCAUGUCAAAUGCCCUCCUUGCCAAGACUAGAGCAUCAUAUUUUGAGUGCAUAUUUACAAGUGCACCACUCACAAGUACCUCUUUGCUAACUCAUGCUUGAAGAGCAUACCCAUGAACUUCCUUUCCUUUUUCUAAGGAAUGAAGAGCAGAACAUGCAGUUAGAGCUGCAGUUAAAGUCAUUUGAUCUGGUCUAAUUUCUUCUAAUAGCAUCUCUCUGAAUAGCUGAACAGCUUGUUCUGCAUGGUCAUGCUCUGAAAACCCAGAGAUCAGGGAGGCCCAUAAAACAUAUUCUUUGUCAGGCAUUUGCUCAUAAACUGUGCAAGAUUCCUCUAAACUACCACAUUUUGAGUACACUGUGGAAAGAAAACUGCCCACAGAAAUAUCAGUAAACAAGCCAAUUUUAAUAAUGCAGCAAUGAAUCCGUCUCCCCAAACUUACUGUCUAUUAUGCUCAAGACACUAGAACUACAAAACUUAUCAGGUCUCAGACCCUCCUGAAGCAUCUCCUGAAACAAUUCAACUGCCUUUCCAGUACUCCCACUUUGAGCAAAGGUGGAUAUCAUAACAGCCCACGUGGCUAGAUUCUUUGUACUUUCCAUCUCUCCGGACACCCUUUUAGAUAAAUCAACCACUCUUAUUUUUGAAUACAUAUUGAUCAAAGUAUAACUUACAGUGGAAUCCAAAUUAAUAGAACCCAGUUUUGAAAAUCUAGGAAUGUAGUUAGAUUGCCUCUUUAUUCAUAGCUGGUUUAGCGCGAACAGUAAGUACACUAGUUAUGGGGUAGUUGCCUAUUUUCUCUCCUACUUUUCUCAUUUCUUUGAAGAAGUGGAAAGCAGAAAAAAAAGCUGUCAUCCUUUUGAACAAAAACAGAAAUGGUGGUAGUCCAAGAAACUACAUUACAUAUUGGCAUUCACAAAAAUUCUUUCACAGCUUGAUCCAUAUCCCUGAAUUUGGCAUACAAAUCAAUGAUGGCAGUCCCCACAAAAACAUCUUCUCCUGCACCACAUUUAAUUACUCGUCCUUGAAUCCCUCUUCCAAACUCAAGUUCCUCAAGCGCAGCACAAAUUGUUAAAAUGCUUGAAGACGUAAAACUAUUUGGCAUAAAAAAAAUCUGCAACACAUUCGGCAGAAAAGAUCUAAAGCAACCCAAUUUUCCUUAUUUUUAACAACCCCAGAAAUGAUAGCAUUCCGGCAAACCACGUUCUCACAUAAAACGUCUUGAAACACCUUCAAAGCUGCAAAGCUUUGUAAACAAAUUAAUCAUUCCAGCCUGAACAUACCCAUUUGAGAAGAACCCAUUUUUCAAUGCGAGUGAAUAUACCAAUUCACCAUACAAAGGAGACCCUAAGGCAGUACAAGCCGAAAGAACACUCCCAUAGGUGAACUGGUUGGGAUCAAAUCCUAGAAAAAAAAACUCCAUCUUACAACAAAAAAAUCCUCCACGAAUCCUCAAAUUAAAAGUUCUGGUUGCAACCUGAAAUCGCAAUAUCCCAAGAAAUAACAUUUGGGUGAGGAGUUUUAUCAAACAAUCUGGGUACAUGAACCAGGGAAUUGGAUUUACAAUACCAAUCCAUUAAAGAAUUAACUAUUCAAAGUCAGUGAUCCCUCUCCAUAUGAUGAUAAGAUCAGCAGAGCAUGGCAACAAGGUUGCUUCCAUAAGGAUCAUCAGUUGCAGUAUAAACUCCCAUUUUCUAACAGAAACGAAAAUCAAACUUCCAGAAUUUCUCCCAUUUUUCCAAGGUCGGUGAUGUGUGAUGGAUCCAGAUUUCAAUGAUGCGUGUUCCAGAUUUCUGCAGUUCACUGGAGGAACCUUGGAAUCAACUAUCCAAUAUUUGAGUGAGAUUGUUGCAUACUUCAUCUCUCAUAUUAACACUUCCGUCAUUCCUCAAUAUACGCCCAAAUGCAAUGACAAAGACUCGGACAGCAUGCAGGAAAUGGGAUAGAGAAGAAAUAAAAACGAAGUAAAACUCGGAGAAGGAAGGAGCAGAAGAUGUUGAUCAGUAAACAUAAAUAGCCCCCACUUCAAGUAUUAAUCCAUGGGAUAAGAACAGAAUAGAGGGAACAAUGUAAAAUAGGAUUCAAACGAAAACAGAGUAUGAUCACAUUCAGGCAUGGAGUUAUAUAUUUCCGAAGGCAUCCAUGACACAUAAAAUAAUCAGAAUCAAAAUAAGGUAAAGAAGUAAACGACCAAUCUCAACAGAACAACUUGUGGCCCUUAACGUCCACACCAACCAACAAUAUAUUAAAUAUUCAAAAAUGAACACAUGGAGAAAUCGAACAUGAGUAAGAAUUCCGAGAAUAACUAGGAACGCAUCUGGAAGAACCUUGGCUGCAAUCACUCCUUUCCCACUUCUCUAUGCUUUUCCUCCAAGACAAUCAAAGAAUUCCUGGUUCCUCUUUCUUUUCCCCUCCUCUUAUCAUUCGUUCCUGCUCAAGAUCCUCUAGAAAAAAUCCCCCUUUCUCUAACAUCCUUUCUCACGUAUAUAUAUCACCCCUAAAAAAAUAUUCAAUCUGCUGAAGGAAAUCCACUUUCCUUUCUUUUAUUUUCUUUCCUUUUCGAAAAUCAGAAUGUUUCUUCCCUUCUAUGUAGGAUCCCCUCCUUCCAUAUGUAUGCAGCCACAUUAAUCCCCUUUUCCCUCCAAAAAUAUUUUUCUUACCUUCUUUGAGUGCACAUGCCUUUGUGAGAGUUGAACAACAGCCCCCAUUCUCUUGUCAAACAAUAAAAAAUGAAAAUAAAAGGAAUAAAACCAAAAAGAGUUAGCAAUCUUGCAACAUAUAAAAGAAUAAAGUAAAAUAAAAUGAAUAAAUAAAGUAAAAACAAAAUAAUUAAAUAAAAUAGAACGAAAUGGUCAAUCCUAUGCGGGCCAUGCAAGUCAUGCGACUAUGUGAAACAUGUAAGAAACACUAAAAAGUCUAAUAGGCCAAGUGUGCCUAAGAGGGCCUAGGGGGAUCAGGAUAUUGUGUAGGUGACCUAAACAUGUCUAAGUGUGUCAUCUUAAAAGUGCACCUGAAAGCUAUCCUAAAAGGAAGGAAAACCCUAAGUCUAACUUAGGGCUGCCAAGAAUCACAAUGGGGUUAGACAAAUCCCUCAACCAAAGUCUCUGAGGUGGCUCAAAAAAGGUAAGUAGUGUGAGUAGCAAUGGGCCACCAAGGAACUACUGUGGAGCACUAGAAGUGAACUUAAAGACAUGUGCUAAAGGGACAAAAUUGAGGGUCUACACCACUCCUUUCUCUAGGGAACCUCCAAAGUCAUUUCCCUAAGAGAGCAAUAUUUCUCAUAUUAGUCUCCCCAAAGCUCAAACCUCCCAACUCCUUUGGUCUACUAACAACUUCCCAUCUGAUAAGAUGAUCUUUCUUCCCUUCCCUCGCCCCAGACCAAAGAAAAUCCCUUUGCAUCUUCUCAAUCUUUGAAGCUAUUGAUACUGGGAUUUUAAAGAGGGAGAGGAAGUAGCUAGGGAUGUGAGACAGACAAGACUGAAUUAAGUAAUCAUCCCUUCCAAAGACAAAAAGGCCUUUUUCCACCCAUCUAGCCUCCUCGAAAUUCUCUCAACCACCGGAUCCUAAAAGCCUAUUGUCUUUGGGUUCCCUCCCAAAGGAAGGCCUAAAUAAGAUAAAGGUCACUCUAACACUCUGCAAUCCAAAACCGAAGCCAAACUAGACAACAGCUUUUGCCUAGUGUUAAUACCUGAAAUGGUGUUUUUUUCUAAGUUGAUUUUUAAACCAGAUACUUGCCCAAAAACCAAAAUGAUGAUCUUGAGGUUUUGAAGAUGUUUCAUAGAGGCUUUAGAGAAAAAUAUGGUGUCAUCAGCAAACUGUAACAAAGACACUCUAGUCCUAUCCCUCCCCAUAAAGAAACCCUCAGUUAUCCCAGUUUCCUUCUCUGAUCAUCAACCUACUUAGAACAUCUGCCACUAGAGUAAAAAGGAAAUGAGAAAGGGGGUUUCCUUGUCUCAAACCUCUAGAGGCCUUAACCCAACCCUUUGCAUUCCCAUUAACUAGGAUUGCAAAACUUGAUGAAGACAAACAACCCCUUAUCCAAGAUCUCCAUUUCUGGCUGAACCCCUUCCUUUGUAGUACAUGAUCUAAAAAACCCCAAUCCACAUGAUCAUAGGCCUUCUCAAAAUCAAUUUUGAAGACUACCCCUUCCUCCCCUGACCUUCUUUUCUCAUCCACCACUUCAUUGGCUAUCAACACAACAUCCAAAAUGUGUCUCCCUUCCACAAAGGCUCCUUGAGAGCUAAAGAUUGUUUCAUGAAGAACUUUGUGUAAACGCCUUGAUAAGACCUUAGCAAUUAUCUUAUAUAAACUUGCAACCAAGCUAAUAGGUCUAUAAUAUGAUAUUUUAAAAGUUUGGCUUUUCUUUGGCACCAUAGCAAUGAAUGUCGCAUUUGUACUUUGAUUUAUUACCCCCUUAGUGUGGAACUCAAGAAACACCCUCAUAAGAUCCUCUUUUAUCACAUCCCAACACUCUUGAUAAACUGUUAUAGUAAAGCCAUCAAGGUUAGGGGCCUUUUCCUUAUUCAAUUGGAAAACUGCCAUUCGAACCUCCUCUUCAGAAAACGGUCUAUCCAGCCAAACUGCACUCUCUCCAGAAAUAGGGGCCCAAUCAAUCCCUUCAAUCCUCCAAGAGUCACCUUUAGGUUUGGAAUAGAGUUUCCGAAAGAAAUUUACAAUCUCCUCAUAAAUAACCUCAAUGUUACUUAAAGUCUCCUCUAUCUCAGAAAUCAGAGACUUAAUGAACUUCCUGCUUCUUAUUCCAGUGGCCACUCUGUGAAAGAACUUAGAGUUGCAGUCCCCUUCUUUAAUCCACUUAACCCUAGAUUUUUGUCUCCAUUGAACCUCUUCCUUUAAUAACAAAUCCUCUAGCUCCUUCCUUCUUAAGGUCAUUUCCGAUACCAAAUCAAGAUUUAAAUUCCCUUCUUGUUCAAUUAGAUCAAUUCUACCUAAGUCCGAAAGAAUGUGUUUUUUCCUCUCUCUUAAAUCUCCAAAGGCCACUAUAUUCCACUCUUUCAACUUUGAUUUAACAAACUUUAGUUUCCUCAUGAACUUGUGACCUUCCCAACCUUCAACCAUACACUCUUGCCACCAAUCUCUAAACUUCUCUUUAAACUCAAGAUGGAGCAACCACAUAUUCUCAAACCUAAAAGGAGUCGGUCCCCAUUUUAAAGGAUUAGUUUCCAAACAAAUUGGGCUAUGAUCAAAGGUCCAUUUAGGAAAGGCCUCUUGAAAACUUUGAGAGAAAAAAGAAUCCCACUCAGAAGAAAACAAAAACCUAUCCAAUCUCUUGCAAAUAGGAUCCACUUGCAUGUUUGACCAUGUAAAAGCCGCAUUCCUUAGAGGGGGAUCCAACAAACCACUCUCCCUUAUAAACUCAUCAAAACACCUCAUGUUGAUUGUUAACCUAGAAUCACCCAUCUUCUCAGAUAUCCUCCUGAUAACAUUAAAAUCCCCUCCUACACACCACCUUGGGAAAGUUAGACCAUACAGGUCUUGAAGCUCCAACCAAAAGUCCUUCCUCCACAAAGGCUUAUUCGGACCAUACACUGAGGUUAACCAAAAAGACCCUUCCUCAUCAGAGUUCAACUUUACAGUUACAGAGAAGGAUCCUAACACCUUCUCUGUACACUUGAACUUAAUUGAAUCCCACAACAUCACAAUCCCCCCCAAGCCCCACAAACAGGAAGAGCAGCCCACUCCAAACUUCUGUCUUUCCAAACACUGCUCACAAACCUCCUGUCCUAAAUUACUCUCUUUGUUUCCUAAAGCAUCAGAGGUUAUGCUCAUUUUUUAAUUAUUUUUUUAUGAUUCUCAUAUGUCUUAGCACAAAUAAAGGAAAGGUUUUUUUUUAAUUAAGUUAAUUGAUUGAUAUUGAAAAAAUUAAUUGUUAGUUAUGUUCUAACUUUACAUGCUUGUUAAAAAAAUUAGACUAGUUAAUUUUAAAAUAUCUAUCAUUCUUGUAAUAAUUCACUAUUAAUUGCAUAGCUAAGUGAUUAUGUUCCUUCAUGUUUUCUUUUCAUAUCAGGUUGAUAAUAAAAAUGUAAUAUUGAGAAUGAGUUGAGCAUUGUUCAAUUUCUCAAGAUAAAUGUUCAUAAGGUAUGGAUGGUUGAUGUAUAUGGAAAGGAUUAGUUCACUUGCUUAAUAUCUAUAAUAUGUACUCAUUCUUGAUAUUUGUGAUCACUUCCUAUCUUUCUUCUUUUAUUGUCUUGCUUGUUAAUUUAUAACUUUACAUUCAAUUUGUUAUGAACCAUUAUACUCUAUUUGAAGUUUUGAUUUUAUGAUUCUUAUACACAAAAGAAUACUAACCAUUUGAGCAAGGAGGACAUGAUACUAAAUCAUUUAUCAAUUUGGCUAUUUUCUUCUCUCUAAUUUCUUAGCUUGGGAAUCAAAAUGCUUUGGAAUAUACAAGAAACAAUGGGGAUGAGUCUUUUUUUCAUCAUCUUUAGUUUUAUUGAUGGUCAACUUGAAGUAUCAUCCUUCCUAUUCCCUAAAGUACCCAAACUUGAUAGUUUGAAAUACUUAACAUGUUUACAAAAAUAUUCUUACAUCCUGUUUAGGUUCUAUAUAUUUGGAAAGUUUAUGAAGUUAAUUAUUUUAUUAUAGUCAUUGGCAAAAUGUUGCUCAUACCUUGAACAUAUCUACGAGCUAUUAAUGGCUAGUGCACGAGAAAGCCCCUCUUUCCUCUACUAUCCUUAGUUAGCAUAAAGGGUUCAUAUUUUGUUUUUAUUAUUUAGUCUUGUAAUUUCUACUUGUUAUCCCACUUUUUGUCUCUUUAUGGUUUAUUACUUGAAAAUCAAUUUUUGAAACAUGUUCUUAUAGGUAAUAGUGCUAUAACAUGUUAAAUUCAUGAGAAAAAAAAUUCUAAAUUGAUAUUCAAGGUUUAGUUUAUCUUCAAGUGUCUUCUAGAUGUGGAUUUUUGUGCUUACAAUCCAAAACAUUGAUAUAUGUUCUUUGUAGCUAAGGUUUGGUUUAUUUUCAAAUGCCUUGUGGAAAAGGCUUACGCUUUUCUUCUCUUUCUUUUUGAGAAAAUAUAUUGAUGAUUGCUAGAGAAUGAGGUUGUUGGAAAUCAAUACCAUAGAAAAUGUUUUGACUUUUUAAAAUUAUUUAAUGAAUUUGGUUGAGAACUUACUUGAUAUAGAAAAACAUAUUUAUUUGUGAAACAGGGAAAAAGAAAUAUUUUUUUACACGACUUGCCUUGUGUUUGCUUGAUGUGUGCACACAAACAAAUCAUAUAAUUAGGAAUAAAAAUUGUUUCUCCUUUUUAUAAAUAAAACUAUAACCAAAAUGCAAUAUAGAUAAGUCACAUUAAUUUAUUAUAUCAGUCCUAAAAAAAUGUUUGAACUAUGUUAACUAGUAGGUAUUGGAAAAAGGAAUUAUGUCAUCUUUAUUUGCUAUUUACUUAUUUUAUAAAAUUCUUAUAUCAAUAAAGUUUGAAAUUUGUAUGUAAUAAAUCACUAGCAUUUUGAAUUUUCAUUGUUAUAAUAAUUGUUUCUAAUUGUCUACUCUUUUUUUUGCUUUAUUUUUACAAUUUUUUUAGAAAGUUUCUCAUGUUAGUUAUUGUGUCAUAAAUAUAAUAAUUUUCAAGACAAUGAGGACUUGUGGUAUAUUGCUCACAUUCCAUAAAUAUAUGCUGACAAGGUGGUUUUUAGGUUUAUAUUUUAGAUCUUUUUUCCCACUAUUUAUCUCUUUAUCAUUUAUUACUUGGUAGUCAAUUUCUAAAACACAAUGAGCCUUCUUCUUUUUUCAAGACCAUUUUUUUCGUUCUCAAAUGUACUUGCAUUUGAAAAACUUAAGAGAAUGUUGAUAGGAGUUUCAUUAUGAGGACAUGCCACAACAACAUCACUUGUUAAUAAUAUUAUUCUAUGAGUUGACAUUAAUGUCAAUGCAUCUACACCUAAAAGGAUUCAUUAUACAAAAGUAUCUUCUACAUUUCCAUUCUCUCCCCUUCUCUUAACAUUAAUAUCUACACAUAUUGUAAACAUCAAAGAUCCAACAUCUUUGCUAGCAUAGGAACACAUCAUAGGCUAGAGCAUGUGCCAACAUAAGGACUUAGAGGCUUAAUGUAUCUUUGAGGUCUAAAUACUUAUGGUUUUUCUAGAUCAAUUAAAUUGUAUAUUCACCUUACCCUAACGCUAAUCUUUUACAAAGGACCAUCAAUAAGCCCCCACACUUGAAAAUCCAACAAUUGAGCUCUAUGCACUAUUUUGUAGCUCAUCUAUUUAGUAAUUAUAUUGAUCUUGUUACUUUAUGUUUGCAUUCUUCAUCUUUGGAGAAUUUCUAAGGUUGACAAUUUUGUUAAUAUUGUAGAUGUGAUUCUUUGCAAGUUGAUGCAAAAAAGCAAUACUAUUGUCAUAGUGACCUUGGUACUUUUCUUGAGUAAGUGAAAAAUGAAGAUUGUCAUAGACUAAGUUCUAUCUCAAUAGUUGCCUCUAAAUAUAUGGAACAAAUAGCUCAAAGACCUCAUUUGUGAGAUAAUGGGGAAUGUGAGAGGAUGACCUAUAAUUCCAAGCCCUUGGAAGCUUGUUCCAACAACAUUUUAGAAUUGUUUCCAAAUUCGUGUCUCUAUCAUCAAGAUCUCAACAUGUUGCAGCCUUGAAAAUCCUAAAAACUAGUUACUAUUCUAUUUCAAGAUCAAAUACCUUACCAGACUUGAUAUUAAGCUAUGAAUUUUUGAAUAAGCUUCAAACUGUUAAAUGUUAGAAGGAAUUGAUCUCUUAACUCUCUCCAAAGAUUCAUGAAUUACAAUUUCUCACACUUGUCAAAGAGAUGCCAAAGAGAAAGAUGAAGAUUUGCCUAUGAUUUCUCAUGUUCUUGAAAUUGGUACUGACAAGGAAUGAAUGGUUGAUUCAUAAAGAGCUUAUAUACUAUUUAAUUCAAGCAUGAUAUUUAUAAUAUAUUUUAGGUUUGUGUAAUAGAAAGUGAGAUAGGAUCACUAUUGUUGAUAGAAAUUGAUAUAUUCUAUGAUUUGUGUAAUAUUGAUAUUCUUAGUUGAUUUGAAAAUUCAUUUAUGGAGUUUCUGUAUUGAAGUUGCUAACUUUGGAUUUUCAGCACUUGUAAGUGUUUCACCACUUACAUGUCCCCUUUUUGUCAAGCUUCAAUGAUAUUUUCAACACUUACAAAUAGUUUGUUGCUAACCUUUUUCACUACAAGAAAUAAUAGUUUUAACAACAUGAAUCAAACGUUGUCAAAAACCUUUCAAAAUGUACACAUAUAUGUUGUUGAAAAAGAUGUUUAGAGCAUGCAUUAAACCUCAUUUAAGUUUUUUACAAUAUGCGUGUACACAUUGACAUUACUAUUCACAUCAAAAUGAAAGAGAUUGAAAUAUUAAAUAUCAUUGCUAUCAUUUAGAUUCUAUAUAUGUUUUACCUUCAACACACUUAAGUUGAUUGAAAUUUUCAUAAUAUAUCUAAUUUAAUUGUAAUAUAAUAUAAAGACCACAAAAAGAAACUUAAGAUGAUUGAAAAUUUCAUAAUAUAUUUGGUUUAAUGACAAUAUAAUAUAAAGACUGAAAAAAGAAAAUAAUGUUUGACAUUCCAACCAUAAUACAUUGUUGUUACUUCAAAAAUUUGAAAAAAAAAAUACAUUCAUAAUUCAUUCAAUAAAAACAAAUACAAGAUUCUAGAAACUUUUAACACCUAAUUUCUACAUGUAGAACAAGAACAAGGUUAGGAUUUUUUUGAGUAGUUAAGUGAAACUCAGUUUCUUAUCCUACUUUACAAUUUUUGGUUUCUUACUUAUUCAAAAAAAAAAGUUGAUAAUAUUAAUACUUUACUUGGUAUAUAUGGAAUUACAAAAUACAACAAGAUUUGCAUAUGGAAUCAUAAAAGAACACUAGAAUGAAAAUUAAUAGACAUACAAAGAUAUACAUUUGAGUUGAAACACACCUUGAGGAGAGGUACAACAAAAAACUUAAGCAAAUGUACCCAAGGAUUAUGGAAUUCUCCUCGUUUUUCCUCUAACAAACCUCACUUUUCUACAUGAUACUGAAGUUGUCAAAAAUACAAAUUGAUACUAAAACAUAAUAAUUAUAGUCAUAUCCCAUUAAGACAUUAAAAUAUUAGAAAGUCUCUUGAUGAGCAUUAAGAGGGUUAAAAUUAUGUUUAUUGCUCGGAUACAACAAAAUGAAGUUACAAGUAUACUAAAUAAUAUGCUAGGAAAUAACAAAUCGACACCAUAUAUAAGAGUAGAAUUGAAGCUAAAACAAGAACUUUGAAUGCUUGUUUUGCACCCUUUGUGUGGAAAGGCCUUAUUAUAUUGUUCUAAUCAUGUAUACUUUAAAAAAAAAAAAAAUUGUUUUGCAUCUUUUUUCUUAGGGGUCUUUUUAUGCAAUUUUAUUUUCCUAUCACAAGAAAUUUUAUUAAAGUCUUUGUAAGUUAUUUUUCGUCAUAAUUUCAUUGUAAAACAAAUAAGAAAAUUUGAGAUUUUUCCUAAUAUUUUUGCUUUAGAAUGGAGUUUUUUGCCUUUUUGUGUGAGACUUGGACUCAUCAAUAUCUCAUAGUUCAAAAUGGAGCCUUUCGCAAAGGUAGAAGAAGCACCUUCAACACUAAUGAUGGAGUUACUUUAGGAAACAUGACUUUCAUUCUUGUAAAAAUGCCUAAAGACAUUUCAUUGUUUUGACCACUGCACAAAAACCCAUGUUUUCUUGAUUUCUUAAGGAGUUGUAUCUUUUAAAUAAAUUUUAUACACAAACAACACUUGAUCUCAAGAUCAACUCAAGUAAUCCAUGUCUAAGAAAAGGAUGUGAGCCAAUUGAACCAAAGUGUUUUGAACAACUUGAAGACAAGCUAUGCCAUAUGUCAUACCACCUUUUUUGAUGGAACUCAUGAAAGGCUAGUGAAUAUGAGUCUUUGAGGAAUGAAUUGGGCUCAAUGUUGUUGUAUAUAAUUUAGAGUAGAUAUUUGAAAUGUAUGGAUAUUAUUUGUCAUACCAUCAUGGGUAUGAGUUGUGAUGUUUAUUUUCCUUGUAAUUUAUUUUAUGCAUUUAAGUGUCUUAUUUCAAAAAGGUAAAAUUUUUAUAUUUGAUUACAUUAGAGUUUAUAUUUAAUACUUUAAUUAGGAUGACUAAUGAUUAUAUAUUGAUGUAAAUAUUAUUUUUCUCAAAGGAAGUUCAAAAGUUAUGUUUGGAACCAAAUCCCAAAGGAAAAGAAUUCUAAAAUUAGAUUUCAAUCUCUUGGUGAUCAUGAUUGGUAUGAGAAGGAAUUGAAAUGAAAAUAAUUAUCUUGGGUUUGGUAUUAUAACAAGAAUAAAAAAUAAAUAACUUUGGUGUACUACUUGGACCAUGCUACGACAUAAAUAUGAAUGAUCUAAAUAUUAAUUCUUCUUAACUAAAAUCAACCUAAUUAUAAAUUUAAUUAUAAAAGUAAAUAAAUUUAUCAUAAUAAAAUUAAUUAAGAAUAUCAUUUAUAUAAAAUUUACAGAAACAAUCAAUUUCAAUUAUUUAAAAUCACUUCUCAACAUUAAACUUAAAAAUCCCUCCAGCAUGAUCUAAAUUAUCUUAUAUUCAGCUUUUUAAUUCAUUUAAAAUACAAAGUAACUUACACUUGUUAAAAAAUAAAAAUAAAAGAUUAUGAGCAUAAAAAAAUAUUGUUUUCGUUUAAAUCCCUAUACUUCUCUAUUAAUAAUUACUAAAAUAGAGAAAUAACUAAAAUAACAUGACAUAAGUGAUAAAAAAAGAAAAAAAAGAAUGGAUAUAUAACUACAAUGAUAUAAGUGAGAUUAAAAUUAAGAAUUUACUCAAGUUAGAGAAUUAUUUAUUCUAAUAAAAAUGUUAAAGAAAUACAUUACUUAAUAUAAUAAAUUCUUUUUUCCUUUUGUCAUUCCAUAUGAGCAUCUAUAAUAUUGAAAAUAGAAAGAAAAGAAUCCCCAUCCAUAUUUAAAAUAAUUUAUUUUAGAAUAUUCUACCUCUAAAAAAUCCAUUAAAGUUCAAAAAAAGUAAAAAGAUGAUAUGACUAGUAUGUAUAGAGAAGAGAGUGAAAGAGACAAAAAAAAUGUAUUUACUAAUUUAAAUUUAAAGAGAAAAGGCAAGAGUAAUAAGGCAUCAUUGAAAAAGGGAAAGUUUAUUUUAAUAAAAUUCAAAUCUCAUAAAUUGAAAAGUUGAAAAGUUGCCUUCCAAAUCCUUUAAAAUUCUUUCCUUCUAAAAAUUCCCUCAUUUCAAAUCUAUUCUUCCCUUUUCCAUUUAAUUCCCUUGAUUCCAAAUAAAGUAAAAUAAUAACAAUCUUUCUAACAAGUUAAUAACAUAUAAAAAAUAAUAAUAACAUAAUAACCUAUGAAGCAAAAUUACAGACAUUUGGAAAUACAUUACAAAAUUUUUGUGGAUUUCUUCAAGAAAGAUCCUAGAAGCAAAAAUUUAGAAAUAUUAAGAGGGUAAUUUUUUUAAAAUAAAUUAUACAAAUUCUAAUAAAAAAUAUUUAUUCAUUUAUUCAAGAAUAUUAAAAAAAGAAAAUAUUAUGAAAAUAGGUAAUAUAAAAAUUUUCAUAUUCAUCUCAAGGUUUAUAUAAAAAUUAUUAGCAAUAUUUUUUUGUGAAUAAUUAUUAAACUGUUAAUUAUUUGUUUGAUGGUAUUAUAAUAUGAGAUGGUGAGAUUAGAAGAGUAAAGUACAAAGUAGGUCCCAUAUGAUAUAAUUAACAUAUCUUUUCUCUUCCAACUUAAGCCCAACUAAAUAAUGGGCUUAGGGCAAAGCCCUAAGUACUCAACUGAAUGAACUGGCUUUUGUUAUCUAGGAAUUUGUUGCUAGCGUCAUCAUCUUUCGUUGUGGAUUUCUAUGAAUGCCAUUUUUUUGUAAAUCCAAUUAAUUCACCAAUUAAAACCAUAAACAUACUUAAUUCACCAAUUAAAACCAUGAACAUACUUAUCUAUAACAAGGGAUUUGAAGAGCUUUUUAAAUACUAAAAAUGGGGUUUAAAAGUCAAGAAAGGUUUAUUUCCUUAAAAUAUAUAACAAUAUCAAAAAAAUAUCUUUAUUUUAAAUGAAAGUGUUUUUAAAAUAUAAUUCACAAAUAUAAAAUUCAAUUGCAUGACAAUAAUAAUUACUUUCAUAGGAACUUCUACUAAACAAACAAGUUAUGGGGGGCUUCCCUCCACGUGUCCUUCCCAGACUCAAGACCCCUUGGGUGACCAAGGUAGACAUAUAACACGUUUGGGAUCACUUCAUCUGGACCAAAAUAAGCUUUGUAUGGCACUAGAAGUGAGAAGUUUUCCUUCUUCCACAAUACCAGACGAAAUAGACAGACCAAGCCGACUGGACAUUUCAGACGGACAAAUAAAUCUAAUCAGCAGCCCUUACUUGAUGUGAUUGCCCAGUCCAUGCAGCAGUGAUGGAGUUGAUUGUCCUAUCAAGGCUCGAUUUCCAUCGAGCAAUCAUCAUUACAAGAAAUGUUAGAGUGCAUAAUCAACGCUAUAAUGAUGAUGCCAUCAGCUCUAUAUAAACCCCUCAAGAAGCAUGAACAAGGUACACAUGCUCAUUCUCUCCCACUAAAAAUAGUUAGAGAUAUUCUUGUUGAUUUCUGACUUGAGCUUUGGAGGGGCAUGCCCGAACCACUUGUCCGGACAUCCUUCUUUGCAAGGAAGAAGUCUGUCUGACUCUAGUGAAGCUGGAUGGACCUGAAUCUAAUUGGCUCAACACCAACAUUAAUGUCGUAUAUGGGAAAGACUAAGGAUGUCAACACUUUCCAGAAGCUAAUCAUCAACUAUGGGUGGUGAAGACUACUUUGCUUGGCGUGAAAGAAUAGAGAGACGUCAAUAAGAGAAUGAUCGGCAGAUGUAGUCUAUGCUUCGCCAAACAAAGCGACUCAAACAAGAGAAUGAAGAGUUGCAGGCACAGAUGUCAGCAUCAAGCCCCUCUCAAAGUCGAUAACCUCAAAGACAACAAAUAGCCUCAAGACGGACUAAUGAAACAUCUUUCCCUGGGAACACAGAGUUCUUCUCUGGUAGCUACACGAGACAGUCUAAGGAGGAGGUUUCGCCAGCUUGCCAAAUGCAGCUGGACGAAGGCACUAACUCUACCCGGGCAUCAAUGAAGAGGAGGUACGAUAGAAGGUUACAUUUGUCAGAUGCGAUGCGAGCCUGAUUAGGACCUCAGGCACCAAGCGUGGAGGAGCAACCAUGCAUAUUAGAAACCCUGAAGGCCCGUCUAGGUCCCCCAACCACAGUAGUUAUGUUGGGAUGACCCUCUCAACCGCCAAGGCAACAACAAGCUGAGGCCCCGAAGAUCUGAGCUUUGCCUUGCUCUGUCAGUCGACGGUUGGAUGACAUGCUCUCCAUGCGGUUCAACCCUCAUAUUAUUAACUAUGAGCCAUCUAGAGGGUUCAUAGUGCCAAAAUUCACAACGUACGACGGAAAAAACAAUCUGUUUGAUCACAUCAUAUGCUUUAAGUUACUCAUGACCCUCGAUAUAGGGAAUGAUGCACUAUUGUGCAAGGUCUUUUCGGCCAGCCUACACGGCCAAGCUCUUUCUUGGUUCCACCGUCUCCCACAUAAUUCUGUGAACACUUUCUGGGAUUUAUCAAAAGCCUUUGUGGGCCACUACUUAUGUUUGGCUCAUCAUAAACAUAACAUAAACACCCUACAGAACAUCAAGGUGCAGGAGAAUGAGUUGCUCAAAGACUUCAUGAAGCGGUUCGGGCAAGCCGUGCUUUAAGUGGAGUCCUGUAGUAUGGAUGCCAUCCUGUAGAUCUUUAAGUGAAGCAUUGGCCCGGGCACGCCAUUUUUUGAGUCUCUCGCAAAGAAGUCGCCUGCAACAAUGGAUGACCUGUUCAGACGAGCAGACAAAUACUCCAUGCUCCAAGACGACAUCUGGGCAACUACUCAACAGGUCUUGGUCACCAAUCGUCCGACUAAGGAUGAUGAGGCAGAAAGUUUUAAGCCAUCGAACCAAUCGAGGCAUGCUAACAAGAGGUGGGCUAGCUAGCAACAGCAAAAUCAGGCGAGACUAAUCCUCCUCGGUAUCUCAUAUCAGAGACUUCUUCUGAUGAUUCGUGAUUUGUCAAACUUUAGAUGGCCAGAACUUAUCAAAAUAGAUCCAGCUAGAUGGGAUUAGAACAGAAGGUGCUCCUAUCAUAAGGAUCAUGGUCAUACCACCAAGCAAUGAAGGAGUCUCCAUUACUUGGUGGAGAAACUAAUCAAAGUUGGGCACCUAAAACAGUAUGUCCACACAACUGGCGGGCAAAGAGAGACGGUGCAAGAGUUAGCCAUCCAAGCCCUUGCAUUUUUGGCAGUUCUUAGAGUUGUCAUUAACUACAUACAUGGAGGCUUCGUAGAUGAUAGAGACAAUUCUAAGCGACAAAGGCGAAGGUUGCUCCGUGUAGCCUCUGUAAAAGAGCGAGUUCACUCCGUUUAGUGCAACUUUUCGGAAGAGAGUGAGUGCUCCAUUGAUGACACAGUUAUCUUCCUUCCAGUAGGUGUUAAUCAAGUAUUGCAAUCGCAAGAAGAUGCCCUAGUCCUAACACUAGGGGUAGGCAGAUUCGAUGUGAGAAGGGUUCUAGUUUAUCCGGGUAGCUCACCAGACCUUUUACAAAUGUCAAGCUACAAGCAGAUGAGCUACUCCCUAUCCAUCCUAGAAAACCCAAAGCGUUUGUUGUCUGGGUUCAAUAGAGCUACGAUGACUUCUCUGGGUGAUGUUGUGCUGCCCAUCCAAGUAGGCUAAGUCACCCUAAACGUACAAUUCUUAGUCAUCGACGAUUUGUUCCCAUAUAAUGCCAUUAUGGGACGUGCAUGGCUUCACAUAAUGAAAGUCAUUCCCUUUACGUACCAUCAGAUGGUGAGCUACCUCACGGAGGAGGGACCAGUCGAUCUCCUUGGCAACCAACUAGCCGCGCGCCAAUGCUAUCAAGUGGUGCUAGAUUAUGGACAUUUAGCCGGUUGGAAUCAUCAAAUACAAUGGAGCAAUAGCAAUUAUUGAGCUUGGUGAAGAAAGAUCCAUCUGCAACUGAUCCACUCCAGCCAUUAUGUCUCUUACAUAGCACAUAUCAAAUCACCUAUACCAGUUCGCUGCUUACGUAGGAUGAACUGGAACUACUAAGAAGUGUGCUUCAGCAAAACAAGGACAUCUUCGUUGGGAUUCACUCAGAUAUGCUAGGAAUUCAUCCAUCUGUGGCCUCCUAUGAACUUAACACCACGCCCUCCUCACAUCCUAUCUAGAAAAAGGUCCGAUGUUUUCAUCCGGACAGGCAGAAAAUCAUCCUAACGAAAAUUGACAAACUAUUGGUAGCCAGAUUUAUCAGAGAAGUCAAAUAUCAAAACUAGUUGGCAAACGUGGUGAUCGUUCAAAAGAAGAAUGGGAAGUGGCGAGUUUGUGUUGAUUACACCAACCUGAAUGAUGUCAGCUCAAAUGAUAGCUUUCCCUUACCCCAGAUAGAUUAGAUAGUCGAUUCCACCGUUGGCUAUGAGAUGCUCUCCUUCCUAGACGUCUUCUUCGAAUAUCAUUAGAUUCCUAUGUUCUAGUCGGAUAAGGAGAAGACAGCCUUUGUUACACCACAUGAGUUGUACUGCUUCAAAGUCAUGUCAUUCGGGCUUAAGAAUGCUGAUGCUACUUAUCAGAAACUAAUGACGAAAAUUUUCAAGCCCUUGAUUGGUCGAACUGUGGAAGUCUACAUUGAUGGCUUUGUUUUAAAAAGCGAAACCCGAGCUAAGCACGUCCAGCACUUAAAAAGAAACAUUCUGUCUUAUGCGGGCAUACAACAUGAAGCUCAAUCCAACUAAGUGAGCCUUUGGCGUCAAUACAGGAAAGUUUCUAGGGUUUAUGGUGACCCAAAGAGGAAUUGAAUUUAAUCCGGCUCAAAUAAAAGUUGUCCUCGAAACACCUACUUCAAGCAACAAAAAGGAGUUGCAACACCUCACAAGUUGUCUAACAGCUUUAGGGCGUUUCAUAACCCAUUUCACAGACAAGCUGAGACUUUUCUUCCUCACUCUCAACAGAGCAAACAUGUUCAGUUGGACAGAUGAAUGCAGGCAGGCAUUUGAAGUAGUCAAGCGCUACCUCACUGAACCACUCAUUUUAAGGAGCCUCAAGUCCGGUAAACAACUUUGUAUGUAUUUGGUUGUAUCCCGACUACGUUGUUAGUGUCGUCCUGUUUCGGCACAUACAAGACAAAGAGCAGAGGCUCAUUUACUAUGUGAGCAAAGUAAUGGUAGACGCUGAGACUCGGUACUCUAAAAUGAAGCAGACGAAUCUAGCCCUUCAAAAUGUCACUCAAAAGCUCUGCCCAUACUUCCAGGCUCAUCAAGUGACCGUACUCACAAACCAGCCACUCCGAGUUACCCUGCACAAACCGGAUCUAUCCGGACAAAUGUUGAAAUAGGCCAUCGAGUUGAAUGAGUGCGGAAUCAAGUAUUAGCCAAGGUUAUCAUUGAAGGGACAAGUUAUGGCCGACUUUAUAGUUGAACUCCCUAAAAAUCAAGUACAUCCGGUUGAUCGCCCUGGAGAGCAAUGGUGGACACUUCAUGUAGACGAAGCGUCCAGAGUGUUCGGAUCUGGAGUAGCUCUGAUCCUAUAAUCACCAAUUGGGGAACUAAUGGAACAAGCUAUCCAUCUCAACUUUUCUGCCUCCAAUAAUGAAGCAGAAUAUGAAGUUGUCCUAGCCAGGCUAGAUCUUGCCCUAGUAUUAGCAGCCCAAGUUGGAAAUCAGGAGUGACUCUUAGCUAAUUUUCAAACAUAUUCAACGAGAGUAUGCAGCAAAGGAUGAAUGCAUGGCUCGCCACCUCGCCUGGUGGAAAGUCACCUGAAAAAGCUGGACGAGUGGGUCACUAGACGAGUGCCGCAUGGGAGAAUGGGAAGACAGACGCACUAGUCGGAAUAGUUGCCACUCUUUCCAUAAAAGAGGCGGUGAUGCUACCUGUUUACCUCAAAGCUGCCACCUUAAUCAUACUCGAGCCAGUGUGCAACACCAGUCAAACGAACUUAGGUUGGAUGCUUAACAUCGUGAAAUACCUUCAAACAAGGGAGGUACCAGGAGAUAAGAAGCAAGCUCAUAAACUCCGCAUACAAGCAGCACGCUUCACUCUAAUUAAUGACCAAUUGUAUAAACCAUCAUUUGGAGGUCCAUACCUAAAGUGUUUGAGCGAUCCGAAGGCCAAAUAUGUUUUAGCCGAACUCCAUGAAGGCGUAUGUGGCAAUCACCUAGGCGGACGAACUUUGGCACAUCGCGCUUACACGCAAGGGUACUAUUGGCCCACCAUGAAGCAGGAUGUUGAAAACUAUGUUAAGAAAUGUGAUCGGUGUCAACGACACACUCCCAUUCCCCGUGUACCUUUAGAAGUGGUCAACCUAGUCACAAAUCCUUGGUCAUUUACAUAGUGGGGGAUGGACAUAGUCGGGCGCUUACCCAUUGCAGCAGCACAAAAGAAGUUUUUGCUCGUUGCAAUCGACUAUUUUAGCAAGUAGGUGGAGGCAAAAGCCUAUGCCAACAUCAAAGAUAAAGAUGUCUCUAAGUUCAUCUGGAAAAACAUCGUAUGUCGAUUCAGAGUUCCACGAGCGAUUGUUACUGACAAUGGGCCACAGUUUGAUAGUAUUGUAUUUCGAACAUUUUGCUUGGAGUUAAACAUAAAGAACCUAUACUCAACACCUCGUUGUCUACAAAGCAACAGACAAACGGAGGCGACAAACAAAACCCUAUUGAAUGCACUAAAGAAAAUGUUGGAAAUGGCAAAAAGAAAGUGGGUGGGUGAACUACCCGAAGUCUUAUGGGCUUACCAGACAACAUCCAAACGACCAACAUAGGCCACUCCUUUUACCCUUACUUAUGGGAUUGAGGCCAUUAUUCCAACUGAGAUUGACAUGCUUACUGCUAAAACAGUCGUGUAAGACUAUAGGAACAAUGAUGAAAAAAUCAUAAGACAACUAAAUUGGGCAGAUGAAUUAUGAGGAGACGUGGAGAUACAACUAUCUGGAUAGCUUCAUACCAUCAGAAGGCAAUUGCUCAGUACAACAAAAGGGCACGACCACAAAUUUUUUAGCCAGGAUCUUUAACUCUCAGAAAAGUUUUUGAGAAUACAACUUAAGUAGGAGCAGGGAAGCCGUAAUCUAAUUGGGAAGGGCCAUAUGUUGUAACUAAGGCAGGAUACUCGAGGGCAUACCACCUUCAGACUCUAGACGGAGUACCCCUACUCUGCCCAUGGAAUGUGACCAACCUAAAGCUAUAUUAUCAGUAAAAUUGCUUAUUACAAGUAGGGAAGACUAGGCUUCAGUCGACUAGAGUAAAUAAAUACAAAGAAUCAAACCCUGUCCGGGUAUCUUGCAAUUCCUGCCUCAGCCGGACAUCUUUUUCUUCAAUCUUCUCUUUCUCGGCCACCAUAGCCACAUUUUCCUCAACUAGUUGGCCAGCUUCAGCCUGAGAUGCCUCCUUCUCCUCCUCGACCUUCCUCAGUAGACCGACACCUUCUUCAGCCAGCUCUUGGGUAGCAACAACCUCACUCUUCGUCGUCUUCAAGUUAGCAAGGAGAUCCUCAUUCCCGUCCACGUUAUGGGCAACACAUGUCCUCAUGGUCUCGACUGCUUCCAACUAGUGAAAAAGGUGAGCGCAUUGCCGCAUAAGGUUUUGGAUUCCGGUUCCCACCUGGGGGCAACAGAGAAAUUGUUAUAAAACGAGAGACUAAGGUAAAGUAAGCGAAAAAAUGGGAGAUGGCCUACCACUUCUGUUGUCUCAAAAGCUAUGUAGUCCUGCAUAUGGAGAAUGCAAGCAAUAGCAAUAUUUAGAGUAUCGUACGGAAGUCGUGUCGAAGUGGCAUGUGCCCCUUGGCGCCCAAAAACUUGAAAAUGAAUAAUAUGUCUUACCUCAACCCGACAGCUACCCUACUAGAAAAAGGCAGACGAAUUAGGGGGCUUUGUGAGGGGCUUCCCCCCACGUGUCCUUCCUAGAUUCAAGACCCUUUGGCCGACUAGGGCAAACAUAUAACCCAUUUGGGAUCACUUCAUCUGGACCAAGAUAAGCUCCGUCUAGCACCAGAAGUGAGAAAUUUUCCUUCUUCCACAAUGCCAAAUGGAAUGGACAAACCAAGCCGACUGACAUUUCAGAUGGCUCACAAUGUCAGACAGAAUGGACAAACCAAGUCGGUUGGACCUUUCAGACGGGUAAAUCAAUCUAGUCAAGUCCUUAGGAUUUCUUAUAGGCAUGGUUAACCAUGCCUGAUGUCUAAGCAUCGGCUUAGACACCUAAUGUCUAAGCGUCGGACUAGACGCCUGAUGUCUAAGUGACGAACUAGAUGCCAUUUACACUCAAAAGUCAAUGUCAAUUAAUUGUUACACACAAUCCCAAACAUUGGCAAAAGCUAAAUGGACAUCAGCAAAUGGCACUAGUCAGCAACUCUUACUUGAUGUGAUUGCCUAGUCCAUGCACCAGUGACGGUGUUGACUGUCCUACCAAGGCUCGAUUUUCGUCGGACAAUCAUCAUUACAAGAAAGGCUAGAGUGCAUAAUCAGCGUUAUAAUGACGAUGUCAUCAACUCUAUAUAAACCCCUCAAGAAGCAUAAACAAGGUACACACGCUCAUUCUUUCCCACAAAAAUAAUUAGAGCUAUCCUCAUUAAUUUCUUACUUGAGCUUCGGAGAGGUGUGCCCGAACCACCUAUCCGGACAUCCUUUUGUGUAGGGAAGAAGUCCGCCUAACUCCAGUGAAGCUGGACAGACCUAAAUCUAGUUGGCUCGACACCAACACAAGUAAAAUGCUAUUAUAUGAAAACAUGUUUGAAUUUUGUAUACGCAUUUGAUAAAAUAAAAAAAAACCAAAAACCUUUUUUCACUUUGUUAAUAUAAGCUUUCAUGUUAUUUAUUUAUUUAUUUAUAAAUAAAACCAUUAUUAAGAUAUUAAAAACAACAUUUUUAUUUUUAUUAUUCAUUAAAUCUUAUUGACACUCCCUACUUAUUAAUACUCAUAUUUAAAUAACUUUAAAAGUUAUUAACUUUUUAUAAAAGUGUCUGAUAAAUCUACAUCAAGAGUUACUAAUUUUUUCUAUUUUUAAAAACAAAAGGUAUAUUUACCCAGUACCUAAUUCAUUAAAAUUAUAUGCCUCUUAACUAGUCUUGUAAAUGCAUUAUUUUUUUAUUCCACUUUCAAUGUACUUCUUAUCAUAUUUUUCAUGGUUAUAAUGAUUUAAUUAUAAUACAUAUUCAACAAAGCUUCAUCCAAACAAUGAAUAUGAAAAGGUAUAUAUGAAAAGGUAUAAAUUGAAUGAACCUAGAUAUUGCCCAAUAUUGAUAAAAACACAAUAGGAUGAUCAUACUGUUGUAAUACUCUCCUCUUCCUUUUUCAUACAAACAUAAUUUAACAUUUGGAUUAAACUUUCUAAAAUGUAAGUUUUCAUCAUUAAUUUGAAUCAAGAUAUCUAAUUAAAAAAUUAAAAGUCCUUCGAAGAGCUUACAAUACAGAAAAUUAAAGUUAAUUAUUAAGUAAUUAUAUAAACUUAAAUGAAAAGAAAUCUUAUUUUAAAAAUAAUGAAAAAAGAGAAAAUUAGAGACAUGGAAUUGCUUUUAGAACUAAUCCAAUUGAUGGAAAUUUGAGAAUGCUUACUAAUAGCCAAAGUAACAAACCCUAAAAAUAAUAAAGGGUAUGAAGACUUAAAACUUCAUUCAAUGCAAACCAAAUCAUCUAAUGAGCUAUACUUUUUGUGAAGAAGUUAUUUCUUAGCUAUAUUCCUUGGACACUACAAAAAUAUUUAGAUGGAUGGCUUAAAACUUAAGAAUUUUUUUUUUCAUUAAUGUGAUCUCAUGUAAUGCAUAUAUCCUAAUGUUUUCAAUUUUUUAGUUUUAUUUUCAUAUUUAUCUUGGGGUUAUGUAAAAAGCAUUAACAAUAUUCUUUUCAAAUAACUAUUAAAAUGUUAAUUAUUUAUUGGUGGUAUUAUAAUUUGCGAAGGUGAGGAUAGAGGACAAAGUACAAAGGGUCACCGUACGUAGGGCACAUGUAAUAUAUCUUUUCUCUUCCAACUUAGGCCCAACCCAAUAAUGGGCUUGGGGCAAAGCACCAAUUAUUCAACUUGAUGGAUUGGACUGGGUUAUCUAAGAAUUUGUUGCUAGUGCCUUAAUCUUUGUUUGUGGAUAUCUAAGAAUUUCAUUUUUUUUUUCUUUAAAUACAAGAAUUCACCUAUUAAAACUAGUCAAGAAAGUUUUAUUUCCUUAAAAAUUUCAAUAAUAUAAAAAAAUUAUCUUUAUUUUUAAUAAAAGUAUUUUUAAAAUAUAAUUCUCCAGUAUAAAAUUCAAUUGAAUAACAAUGAUAAUUAUUACCUAAUCUACUAAACAAACAAAUUAAAUGCUAUCCUUUCAUAACACACAUUUGAAUUUUUUUAUAUGUAUUUCAUAAAAAGUUUCUUUUUUCACUUUGUUAAUAUAAGCGUUAAUAAUAUUAUUAUUAUUUAAAAAAAAAUUAGAUCAAACCCUUAUUAAGAUAUCAAAAACAAUAUUUUUAUUUUUAUUUUUCAUUAAAUAUUAUUGACAUUCACUAUGUAUUCAUACUAGCAUUUUUUAAGUAGCUGUAAAAAAUUAUUACCUUUGUAAAGUAAGUUUCUAUGAAGUCCGAGUUACAAUUUUUUUUUUUUUAAAAAAAAAAUAGAAGAUGUAUUUAAAUGAUACCUAAUUCAUUAAAAUUAUAUGUCUCACUACUAGUUUUGUUAAUUUCAUUUUCAGUAUACUUGUUAUCAUUUUUUUAAUGGUUGAAAUCAUUUAACAAUGAAUAUAAAGCUUCACCCAAACAACAAAUAUGAAAAAUUAAAAAUUGAAUGAGCCUAUAUAUUGCUUAACAUUGAUGAAAAUAUAAUAUGAUGAUAAUACUAUGGAAUACUCUCCUCUUUGAUGGGUUGAUCAUGUUCAUACAAACACAAAUUAACAUUUGGAUUGAUUAAACUUUCUCAAAUGUAAGUUUUUGUCAUUAAUUUGAAUCAAGAUGCUUGAUCGAAAAACUAGGAUUCCUCAUAAGAACUUACAAUACAUAAAAUUAUAGGUAAUCAUUGAGUAAUUCUAUGGACUUGAAUGGAGAGAAAUUUUAUUCUAAAAAAAUAGAGAAAAAAAAUAGAAAAUUAAAGUCAUGUGAUUACUUUCAAAACUAAUCCAAUUGAUGGAAAUUUGAGAAAGCCUCCUAACAGCUAAAGUAACUAACCCUAAACAUCAUAAUAAAGCACUAUGAGAAUGAUGAUUGAAACUUCGCUUAAUGCAAACUACUAUCUUUGCAUAUCUAAGUCAUCCAAUGGGCAAUAAUACUUUUUGUGGAGAAAAUUGGACUUUUACCCCUUGCGAUAUAUAGGCCAAGACUAAGAUUAAUUGCUUUCUUUAUUGAUUACUACCCAAAAAGUGCUAUUUUACACCUUUAAUGCAUUAUGUUUUAAGCACUUUUGUGUAGUAGUUCUCCAUCUUUAGUCCAAUUGGCAUGUUAAGGACCUAGCAAUGUCUUUUAAUCAUAUUUGUGGCUAGUUUUAAUGUUUUGACAGCUUUUUGGAUCGUUAAAACAAGUCAAGCAAAGGAGAAAACCAAAGAGAAGCAAAGUGAAGAAAAAUCAAAAUGUAGCAGCUGCAGUCUUCUUUCGCACUUUUGGAGCACUUCCCGAAGUCCAAUUUUUACAUGCUAUAUACCAUUUUAAAGAUUUUGAAGUCAAGAAUCCAACGCUUCAAACCGUGCAUGAUUUGGAGCUGAAACAAGGAAGAUAUGGCCUUCGGAAGACAACUCCUCCAGGUGUGCGAGAAUUUCGCACAACCCCUUUUAGCUGUGCGAAUGGUGUGCGAAGUUCGCACACCUCCUUCAGGUGUGCGAAAAUUUCGCACACCCCAUGCGUGCUCUGUUUUUGCCGACUCCACUUUAGAUAUUUUCCUAUGUAAUUUUUGAUGUAAUUUCCUUUCCUAUCCUUGUAACUAACCAAUCACAAGCUUUUGCUUUUGUAAAGACUUUAUAAGGGGUGGAAAUUACCUCUUGGAAAAUAUACGCAUUACAUUUGACACUUAGAGAUUUUUUACAGAGCUCUCUCGUUUUCCAUUUUUUCUCUACUAUUUUCUUUUUCUUGGAAGCCAAACAACCUCUGAGGAUGUUUUCUCAUAGGAUGAGAGGCUAAACUUUUGGUUUCUUGGAGUGAUGGAAGCUAGGUGAAAAGUUCAGAUGCAAGGUGGAAAACGCUCGUGCAUUAAAUUCAGGUAGUUGGAAUUCAUAAAUGGCUUUUAAAUCCAAAGUUUUGCUUUAAAUCCCUUAGAAUCACUUUGAAUGACCAAUACAUGGUAAGCUUCAGGUCUUUAUGGAUGCUUAUUGCUAGAUCCAUAUUAGUCCAUUAGUUAUCAUGUACGAGUCAUUGGAAAGCAGUUCAAGGUGAAGACCUAUAGUGUCUAAAGCCAUUAAUGGACUUUGACUACCAUUUAUAUUGAUUAUUAUGGAUUAAAUCUUCAUUGUUAAACCUAUACCGGUUCGGGAAAUAACUAUAGGUUAAAUCCCCAAUGCGAGGAGAAAAAUCCGGAAUUUUCCACUUUGCAUUCUAAACUUGAUCCUAGUAAUCCUGAGCUCCGGGAGACUUUCCUUCUUCCAUUUUUAAUUAGUUUAUGUUAGUUUAGUUUUAAACACUUUCAAAUCAAAUUUCAUUUUCUUUUAAAUUUUAAGUUUUUGAUUAAGGAAAUCAUUAAAUACAAUUUCUAAUUUUGAAUACAUCACUGGUAGAAUGAAAACCCAUCCCAGAGUUCGACCCUAGAGCCACUAUACUAUAGUAGCUUUACUACAUUAGUAUGAGGUCAUAGGUUUUAUAAAUGUUUUUGAUUAAAUGACCCAUUUGGAGUUACAUGCGCGAAUCAAAAUGGCGCCGUUGCUGGGGAUGGUGCCACAAUACAGUGAUGCAACCUUUUAGAGGCUACUUGUGAUUUCCAUCACAAGUUUGGUGAAUUCCUUUUUCACUAACUUCUUUUCCUUUCAUUUUAUUUUUGUUAGGUUUAUUUUCAUUUUCUUUCUAACCUUAACUUUUUUCUAGGUUUCUUUUGUUUUUGUUGUUUUUGUUUUAUUUCAGGUAAGUAGUAACUUUUGCAUGCCCUAUUGGAUUCGGGACCAAGAGGGAAGAUUAGUAAGGAUUGAGAAUCCUCAAGACACAGAGUUGGAUAUUUGUGUUAACAUCAUGGACCCUCCACCAGAGGAUCAGAAUUCUCAACAAGGUCAAGGGGGUAAUCCUAAUGCAUAUCUAUCCAUGAGGGAUAGAAUGCAUCCACCAAGGAUGAGUGCACCCUCAUGCAUCCUGCCUCCUCUUGAGCAGCUGGUUAUAAGGCCCCAUAUUGUGCCCCUUCUACCAACUUUCCAUGGAAUGGAGAGUGAGAAUCCAUAUGCCCACAUCAAGGAGUUUGAGGAGGUGUGCAAUACCUUUAGAGAGGGAGGAACUUCAAUAGACUUGAUGAGACUCAAGCUAUUCCCUUUCACUUUGAAGGACAAGGCAAAAAUAUGGCUUAAUUCUUUAAGGCCAAGGAGCAUAAGGAAUUGGGUUGAUCUUCAGGCCGAAUUUUUGAAGAAAUUUUUCCCCACCCAUAGGACCAAUGGGUUGAAGAGACAAAUCUCAAACUUUUCUGCAAAAGAAAAUGAGAAGUUCCAUGAAUGUUGGGAAAGGUAUAUGGAGGCCAUCAAUGCUUGUCCUCAUCAUGGCUUUGAUACAUGGCUCUUGGUGAGCUAUUUCUAUGAUGGGAUGUCAUCCUCCAUGAAGCAAAUUCUUGAAACCAUGUGUGGAGGAGAUUUUAUGAGCAAGAAUCCGGAAGAAGCCAUGGACUUUUAAAGUUAUGUGUCUNNNNNNNNNNNNNNNNNNNNNNNNNNNNNNNNNNNNNNNNNNNNNNNNNNNNNNNNNNNNNNNNNNNNNNNNNNNNNNNNNNNNNNNNNNNNNNNNNNNNGUAGUGAUUAAAGGAGGAUAUGAUGAAAAAACAUAUGCCUCCCCCUUUUCCUCAAGCUUUACAUGGAAAGAAGGAAAUCAAGAAUUCAUCAGAAAUUCUUGAAGUCUUGAGACAAGUGAAGGUGAAUAUACCCUUACUUGAUAUGAUCAAGCAAGUCCCCACAUAUGCAAAGUUUCUAAAGGACUUGUGCACGGUCAAGAGAGGGUUACAUGUGACAAAGAAUGCAUUCCUCACUGAGCAAGUAAGUGCUAUCAUUCAGAGUAAGUCUCCAGUUAAGUACAAAGAUCCGGGAUGCCCCACCAUUUCAGUCAACAUUGGAGGGACACAUGUGGAGAAAGCUUUACUAGACUUGGGGGCAAGUGUGAAUUUGCUCCCAUACUCUGUGUACAAGCAACUGGGACUUGGAGGAUUGAAGCCCACAGCCAUUACUCUCUCCUUAGCUGACAGGUCAGUCAAAAUCCCAAGAGGGGUGAUAGAGGAUGUUCUAGUUCAAGUGGACAAAUUCUACUAUCCUGUGGAUUUUGUUGUGCUUGAUAUUGAUCCCAUUGUGAAGGAAGCAAACUAUGUACCAAUCAUCCUUGGGAGACCUUUCCUAGCUACCUCCAAUGCCAUUAUCAAUUGUAGAAAUGGGGUGAUGCAGCUCACAUUUGGGAAUAUGACCUUGGAAUUAAACAUAUUCCACCUAUGCAAGAGGCAUUUUCACCCAGAAAAAGAGGAAGGAUUGGAGGAGGUGUGCUUGAUCAACACCUUGGUUGAAGAGCAUUGUGACAAGAAUUUACAAAAGAGCUUGAGUGAAAACCUUGAAAUGUUUGAAGAAGGGUUACCUGAACCCUCUGAUGUUCUAGCCAUCAUGUCUCCUUGGAGGAGACGGGAAGAGAUCUUACCACUGUUCAACCAGGAAGACUCACAAGAAGCAACUGUGGAGGACCCUCCAAAACUUGUUUUGAAGCCACUUCCUGUUGAUUUGAAAUAUGCAUAUUUGGAGGAAAAUGAGAAAUGUCCAGUGGUGAUUUCUUCAACUCUUACUAUUGAUCAAGAGGAUAAUCUUUUGGGAGUCCUCAGGAAAUGCAAGAAAGCCAUUGGAUGGCAAAUUUCUGAUCUGAAAGGGAUUAGCCCUUUGGUGUGCACCCACCAUAUCUAUAUGGAGGAUGAUGCAAAACCAGUGAGGCAGCCCCAGAGGAGGUUGAAUCCUCACAUGCAAGAGGUGGUGAGGGGUGAAGUUCUGAAGCUACUCCAAGCUGGGAUCAUAUAUCCCAUUUCAGACAGUUUGUGGGUGAGCCCCACCCANUAGUCCUAAAGAAAUCUGGAAUCACUGUGGUCNNNNNNNNNNNNNNNNNNNNNNNNNNNNNNNNNNNNNNNNNNNNNNNNNNNNNNNNNNNNNNNNNNNNNNNNNNNNNNNNNNNNNNNNNNNNNNNNNNNNUGAGAAUCCAUAUGCCCACAUCAAGGAGUUUGAGGAGGUGUGCAAUACCUUUAGAGAGGGAGGAACUUCAAUAGACUUGAUGAGACUCAAGCUAUUCCCUUUCACUUUGAAGGACAAGGCAAAAAUAUGGCUUAAUUCUUUAAGGCCAAGGAGCAUAAGGAAUUGGGUUGAUCUUCAGGCCGAAUUUUUGAAGAAAUUUUUCCCCACCCAUAGGACCAAUGGGUUGAAGAGACAAAUCUCAAACUUUUCUGCAAAAGAAAAUGAGAAGUUCCAUGAAUGUUGGGAAAGGUAUAUGGAGGCCAUCAAUGCUUGUCCUCAUCAUGGCUUUGAUACAUGGCUCUUGGUGAGCUAUUUCUAUGAUGGGAUGUCAUCCUCCAUGAAGCAAAUUCUUGAAACCAUGUGUGGAGGAGAUUUUAUGAGCAAGAAUCCGGAAGAAGCCAUGGACUUUUUAAGUUAUGUGUCUGAAGUGUCAAGAGGAUGGGAUGAGCCCAACUCAAGAGAGAAAGGGAAGUCUCCCUUCCAACCAACCCAAAAUCCAAAAGGUGGAAUGUAUGUAUUAAGUGAAGACAUGGACAUGAAAGCUAAAGUGGCAACAAUAGCAAGGAGAUUGGAAGAACUUGAGUUGAAAAAGAUGCAUGAAGUCCAAGCCAUUUCCGAGACCCAAGCCCAUGUCAUGCCAUGCACCAUUUGCCAAUCAUGUGAUCAUGUGGUAGAUGAGUGCCCAACCAUGCCAGCUGUGAGGUAGAUGUUAGGUGAUCAAGCCAAUGUUGUGGGGCAAUUUAAGCCUAACAACAAUGCACCUUAUGGAAACACCUAUAAUUCAAGCUGGAGAAAUCACCCAAAUUUUUCUUGGAAACCAAGACCACCUCCAUACCAACCACAAGCCCAAACCCAAGCACCUCAACAAACCUCUUCAGUGGAGCAAGCCAUUGUGAACCUAAGUAAAGUCAUGGGUGACUUUGUGGGUGAGCAAAAGGCAAUCAACUCCCAAUUUCAUCAAAAGAUUGAAAAUGUUGAGAGUUCUNNNNNNNNNNNNNNNNNNNNNNNNNNNNNNNNNNNNNNNNNNNNNNNNNNNNNNNNNNNNNNNNNNNNNNNNNNNNNNNNNNNNNNNNNNNNNNNNNNNNNNNNNNNNNNNNNNNNNNNNNNNNNNNNNNNNNNNNNNNNNNNNNNNNNNNNNNNNNNNNNNNNNNNNNNNNNNNNNNNNNNNNNNNNNNNNNNNNNNNNNNNNNNNNNNNNNNNNNNNNNNNNNNNNNNNNNNNNNNNNNNNNNNNNNNNNNNNNNNNNNNNNNNNNNNNNNNNNNNNNNNNNNNNNNNNNNNNNNNNNNNNNNNNNNNNNNNNNNNNNNNNNNNNNNNNNNNNNNNNNNNNNNNNNNNNNNNNNNNNNNNNNNNNNNNNNNNNNNNNNNNNNNNNNNNNNNNNNNNNNNNNNNNNNNNNNNNNNNNNNNNNNNNNNNNNNNNNNNNNNNNNNNNNNNNNNNNNNNNNNNNNNNNNNNNNNNNNNNNNNNNNNNNNNNNNNNNNNNNNNNNNNNNNNNNNNNNNNNNNNNNNNNNAGCAAUGAAAGUAAUCCAAUCAGGUUUUUGGUGGCCCUCUCUUUUCAAGGAUGCCCACUCUAUGUGCAAGGGAUGUGAUCGGUGUCAAAGGCUUGGUAAGCUAACACGCCGAAAUAUGAUGCCCUUGAAUCCCAUCUUGAUAGUGGAUGUCUUUGAUGUUUGGGGGAUAGACUUCAUGGGACCAUUUCCAAUGUCAUUUGGACAUUCCUACAUUUUGGUGGGAGUGGAUUAUGUCUCUAAGUGGGUAGAAGCAAUCCCAUGUAGGAGCAAUGAUCAUAAGGUGGUUCUUAAAUUCCUCAAGGACAACAUCUUUGCAAGAUUUGGUGUGCCUAAGGCCAUUAUCAGUGAUGGAGGAACCCACUUUUGCAAUAAACCUUUUGAGACUCUUCUAGCCAAAUAUGGGGUUAAGCACAAGGUAGCUACACCCUAUCACUCUCAAACAAGUGGCCAAGUUGAGUUAGCCAACCGGGAGAUCAAGAAUAUAUUAAUGAAGGUGGUGAAUGUGAAUAGGAAGGAUUGGUCUAUUAAGCUCCUAGAUUCCUUAUGGGCAUAUAGGACCGCUUACAAGACCAUUCUUGGAAUGUCCCCUUAUCGCCUUGUUUAUGGCAAAGCGUGCCAUCUUCCAGUGGAGAUUGAAUACAAAGCAUGGUGGGCAAUCAAAAAACUCAACAUGGAUUUGACAAGAGCCGGGUUGAAAAGAUGUUUGGAUUUGAAUGAAUUGGAGGAAAUGAGGAAUGAUGCUUACCUCAAUUCAAAAAUUGCAAAGGAGAGGUUGAAAAAAUGGCAUGAUCAAUUGGUAAAUCAAAAGAAUUUUGCCAAGGGACAAAGAGUCUUGCUUUAUGACUCUAAGCUUCAUCUUUUUCCGGGAAAAUUGAAAUCAAGAUGGACGGGUCCUUUCAUAAUUCAUGAAGUGCAACCAAAUGGAGUAGUGGAACUACUCAACUUCAAUAGCACUCGAACUUUCAAAGUUAAUGGGCAUCGUCUCAAACCCUAUAUUGAAUCUUUUUCCCGAGACAAGGAGGAAUUCAUCCUCCUUGAUCCACCUCCAACAUGAAAACACUUGGUUCAUGGUUGAACUUAGUCUCUCCAAAGACUAAAAAGUUCAUCCUCUUUUUAUUUUCUUUUAAGUUGAUUUUACUUUAAUCUAGUGUUUUCUUGUGUUUAUGCAUGUUUUGAUUUCUAUUUUUGACUUUAAUUUCAUUCUAAUGUGGUUUGAAUUGUGUUUUUUUGUGCUAACAUGUAGGUAGGAAGGCUUGAAGAAUGAAGUCUUGGUGAAAACAAGGGAAAACAGGGGAGAUAAGACAAGGCUCAGCAAAAUUCGCACACCCCCUUAUGGUGUGCGAAAAUUUCGCACACCAUUUACCCUGUGCGAAUUCCAUUUUUGCACCACUUUUCAAAAAUUACAUGCUCUCGGUCCCCUGUGCGAAUUUCACAGGUAUGCGAACCUUGUGCGAACCUUGUGCGAAUUCAUUUUUUGCGCCAAUUUUCAAAACCAUGCUCUCUGUCUUGGAGAAUCACAGGUAUGCGAAAAUUUCGCACACCAUUUUCCCCUGUGCGAAAUUCAUUUUCUCUUUAAAAGCUUUGUUCUCCACUUCAAAGACUUAGCUUCUUCUUCAAUUCUCUCAAAGCCUCUCUUCCGAUCACCCAUUGCCAUCCACAAAGCUCCUUUCCUUCAUCAUCCAUCAUCAUCAGCACCACCAUGGCAGCCAUUAUCCAUAGCUCCACUCCAUAGCCGCGGCAUCCACUAUUCACCACUUCCCAUUUUCGGCAAUUUCAUCUCCUUCCACCAUCAAAAUCCUUUCAAAUCUUCACCCAACCCUCUAAAUCCAUCCAUAAUUCAAUCCAAACCUUGUUCUUAUCAAGCCAAAGCCUAAACCAUAAGCAUUCAAGCCAUGGUUUCUUCAUAAGAAACCCAUUGCCGCCGGCCAUGGGAGCUCCCAAUUUUCAAUUUUCCUUUUGAAAAGCUCCCAAUUUUCAAGCCUAAUCAUCAUGAAAAAUCUUUUUCAUACCUAAGCCAGCUUUUCCCGCCCUCAAAGGCCACAAAUUUUCACCAUCUCCAUCAAGCCCAAAUUCUUCAAGCGCACGGGUGAAUAGUACCCUGUGCGAAAAUUUGCGCACAUCAUUGAGAUGAUCUUGGAGAUCAGAAAGACCUAGACUUAUGAAUUGUCUUAACUCCUUAAUCUCCUUUUUAUGCUGCUUAACUUCUUCAUGAAGUUCCUUAAUACUGACAUCCUUGGGAGACUGCUGGUCGAACCUGUUUAAGAUAUCGUUAAGGUUAUAAGGAUUAACAGUCUUCUUGGCUUCUACCUUAACAACAGAUUUCUUAAAAACUUCGUAAAGGUUUUGCUUAGUUUUUUCAUCUUCAACUUUUCUAAAAGGAUCUAGNNNNNNNNNNNNNNNNNNNNNNNNNNNNNNNNNNNNNNNNNNNNNNNNNNNNNNNNNNNNNNNNNNNNNNNNNNNNNNNNNNNNNNNNNNNNNNNNNNNNUGUUUGUUGCAUUUAGAAGCUGUUCUCCAAAGAUGUAUUGAGAAAGACCUAGUGCUAAAUUGGGAGAAGUGCCAUUUUAUGGUACAACAGGGAAUUGUCUUAGGACAUAUCAUCUCCAAGAAGGGCAUUGAGGUAGAUAAGGCAAAGGUGGAGCUAAUUGUUAAGUUGCCACCUCCCACAAAUGUUAAAGGAAUUAGGCAAUUCUUAGGACAUGCCGGGUUCUAUAGGAGGUUCAUUAAAGAUUUCUCAAAAAUCUCAAAGCCUCUUUGUGAACUUUUGGUAAAAGAUGCCAAGUUUGUGUGGGAUGAGAAGUGUCAGAAGAGUUUUGAGGAACUGAAGCAAUUCCUCACAACAGCACCAAUAGUGAGAGCCCCAAAUUGGAAAUUACCUUUUGAGGUAAUGUGUGAUGCAAGUGACCUUGCUAUGGGGGCUGUCUUAGGGCAAAGAGAAGAUGGGAAGCCCUAUGUGAUUUAUUAUGCGAGCAAAACUUUGAACGAGGCUCAAAGGAACUACACAACUACUGAGAAGGAGUUGUUGGCAGUAGUUUUUGCCUUGGAUAAGUUUCGUGCUUAUUUGGUAGGGUCCUCUAUAGUGGUGUUCACUGACCAUUCCGCCUUGAAGUACUUGCUAACCAAGCAAGAUGCCAAGGCAAGAUUGAUAAGAUGGAUCCUUUUGCUCCAAGAAUUUAAUCUCCAAAUCAGGGAUAAAAAGGGAGUAGAAAAUAUGGUAGCUGACCACUUGUCAAGACUUGUGAUAUCGCAUGACUCACAUGGUCUGCCUAUCAAUGAUGACUUCCCUGAGGAGUCUCUCAUGUCAAUAGAGGUAGCUCCAUGCUAUUCUCACAUUGCAAAUUUCUUGGUUACUGGAGAAGUACCAAGUGAGUGGAGUGCCCAAGACAAGAGGCAUUUCUUUGCUAAGAUCCAUGCCUAUUAUUGGGAGGAGCCCUUUCUCUUCAAAUAUUGUGCGGAUCAAAUCAUAAGGAAAUGUGUUCCUGAACAAGAGCAAUUAGGAAUUCUUUCCCAUUGCCAUGAUAAUGCAUGUGGAGGUCAUUUUGCCUCCCAGAAAACAGCAAUGAAAGUAAUCCAAUCAGGUUUUUGGUGGCCCUCUCUUUUCAAGGAUGCCCACUCUAUGUGCAAGGGAUGUGAUCGGUGUCAAAGGCUUGGUAAGCUAACACGCCGAAAUAUGAUGCCCUUGAAUCCCAUCUUGAUAGUGGAUGUCUUUGAUGUUUGGGGGAUAGACUUCAUGGGACCAUUUCCAAUGUCAUUUGGACAUUCCUACAUUUUGGUGGGAGUGGAUUAUGUCUCUAAGUGGGUAGAAGCAAUCCCAUGUAGGAGCAAUGAUCAUAAGGUGGUUCUUAAAUUCCUCAAGGACAACAUCUUUGCAAGAUUUGGUGUGCCUAANNNNNNNNNNNNNNNNNNNNNNNNNNNNNNNNNNNNNNNNNNNNNNNNNNNNNNNNNNNNNNNNNNNNNNNNNNNNNNNNNNNNNNNNNNNNNNNNNNNNUCAUUUCAUCGAUCUAUCAUGCCAAAGACCUGAGGAGGAUCUACCACAGCUCCCCAGAGCAGUCAGAGAGCUGCCCCUGUGCGGGCCCCACUAGCUGCACCCUCACAUUUACCUGAUUCUGCCCCUCAGAGCAGAUACCAUACGAGGAGAGCAUCUGCCACGUCUGUGGCCCCUUCACAAGUUCCGCCUCGGAGUCCUCCUACAAAGAGAGCCAAGACUUCAGAGCCAGGAGACUCCUCCAGAGCACCUCGGGAUUCACAGUCUCAGCCUUCUUCUGCCAGGCGCCGUAGACCCAGCUUGCCCAUUGAGGGCAAUUCAGAUUGCCGAUCGAGAGACUUUCAUGUCGAGGCAUAUUUCGAUCACUCUCUUAUGCGACAGCAGCCUGAGUUACGGGAUUCAUACCACCUACUUGAGAGGUACCAUCUGAUACCCUUUAUGACUUUGCCCCAGUUCUUUUAUCCUCGAGUAGUUUUAGACUUUUACCAGUCUAUGACUACUCGUGGCGUCCCGGUACCUGCCUCGAUCCUUUUUACCAUUGAUGGACGCCAGAGUAUUUUGGGGGCUAGACAGAUUGCCGAUGCCUUCCAUAUCCCUUUUGCACCAGUAGAUCCCGCUACAUUUAGACGCUGGGUCCCAUUUUCUGAGUGGGACAUGGUUCGUAUCCUAUCUCGAGGGACAUCUUCCCAGAGGACCAUUUUGAGGAGAGAGCUUCCCCCAGAGAUGCUCCUAGUUGAUGUGGUGCUUCGCACCAAUCUUUUUCCUCUUCAGCAUAAAGUACAGAGACGAGGGGCCAUUAUGGAGGCAUUAUUCCGUAUCUCUGAGGGCUACUAUUUUGGCCCCCAUCAUUUGAUUAUGGCCGCUCUCCUCCAUUUUGAGGAGAAGGUGCAUACGCGGCAUCUUGCGAGGGCAGACUCCAUUCCUUUACUUUUCCCUCGGCUGCUAUGCCAUGUUUUGGCGCAUAUGGGUUUUCCUACAGACCCUCGUUCAGAGCCCCGCCGCCAUUGUCGAGAGAGCUUCUCUCUUGACCAAUGGACUCAGAUAUGGCUCCAUCGCCAGUCCCCAGAACUUCCCGAGCCAAGGGAAGUCCCUCCUGCUCCGUCCACUACAGACCCUCCACAGCCAGUACCGGAGGCAGCAUCAUCUGAUGCCCCACCUGUUGUUCCUCCUACAUCAGAGCCGCCCAUUACUAUCCUUGGUCCAGAGUAUCGUGCCUUGCUCACUUCUUUCCAGACUUUGACCACUACUCAGACGGCCAUUAUGGAGCGCAUGGACCACUUCCAGACUCAGCAGGACCAGCAGACUCUCAUUCUCCGUGAGAUUUAGCAGCACCUCGGUCUUGUGCCACCAGCUCCACCUGUAGCGGUGCCUUCCACAGUUGCAGCGGAGGACCCCUCCUAUCCACCAGAGGAGCCUACUACUUGAUCAUACGAUCACUCCUCUCCUUUUUUGUAUCUAUAUGCUACGUUUUGGGAUGUCUUAUAUAUUUUGGACCACUUUUAUACUGGGAUUGGAUGUAUUCCAUGUUUAUUUUGUAUAUUGUACUUUCUCAGUUUAUAUAGACAUCUUCUCUUUUAGUGUAUUUUAGCUAUUCCAUUUUAUUUCCUCUUUUCAUCACUCUUAUGAUUUUCCUUUUCUUAUGCAACAUGUGGUUUCUCCUGUUCAUUCAGAGUCCCUUACUAUCAGGAGGUAUCACUUCCUCCCUUAUUUUAUCGCUUGCUUUUGGAACAUUGGGGACAAUGUUCAUCUUAGUUGGGGGGAGAGUUGAGGAAGUAAUUUGUUGAAUUUGUUAAGUUAUUUUGCUAACAAAUUUUUUGCAAACUCUCUUUGUUUUCUCAAAGAUAAAUUCUCAAAAGUAAAUGGGAGAAAUUAAAUUCUUAUCUUAUUGCCAUAGUCUCAGAGUUUGUAUUAUGCUUAUUAAAGUUGAUAAAUUGUUGAAGCUUCUUUUGUUUUCAAGCUUAAGUCUUCCACUCUAAUCUUUUCACACACUGAACACAUUAGAUUCCAGUUAUAAGAUGGAAAACUUUCUCACCCCCUAAACUUUGGAAAUUAUCGACUUGGUGCCAUUGACCUCAUUCUAUUAGUGUUGGGACACCUUAUUAAAGGCCAAUGUGUCUUAUGAAAAUAAUUUUUGCUUCACUUGCUUUGAAACCCGAGCAAGGUCCGAGGGGUAUAUGGUGAAAAUCUUUAAAGCCUGGUGCCCUAAGCCUUUACUGGUUGGGAGUUCACCGACCUCACUGCUCGUUACAUGGGUGGAUGGGUGGAGUAACACUUAGAAUAAAAAAAUAAAAAAAAAUAAAAAAUAAAAAAUAAAAAAAAAAAGAAAGAGAAAGAAGGGUGCGUUCUUAGCCUUUUAUAUAUGAGUUAGUGUUACUUAAGUUAGAGAAAAACCUUAGUUGGGGGGAGAAUAUAGUUUGACAUACUAUAACUGGAAACUAAGCACCUUAACACUUAGAUUUUUGUGGAAGAUUAAGAAUUGAUCCUUUGGAAGUGGAAAUUAUUUUGAUACUCAAAUUUGCAUAAUGGCCGCUCUUUGAAUGUUGUGAUAAGUAAGUUAUUUGAUGACUCGUGUUGAUGAUUGAGUUUUAUAUCCUUGACUUGCCACGAGAGUGUUUGAUUCAAUCAUGCCACUUGGUUAUUUUUUGGAGUGAUCAGCAUGAUUUUGUAAAUUACUAUAUUAUCUAUUUUUCUUUCUUUUUUCUCUCCUUCAUUGCUCAGGGACUAGCAAUGUGUCAGUUGGGGGGAGUGAUUACUACCCAAAAAGUGCUAUUUUACACCUUUAAUGCAUUAUGUUUUAAGCACUUUUGUGUAGUAGUUCUCCAUCUUUAGUCCAAUUGGCAUGUUAAGGACCUAGCAAUGUCUUUUAAUCAUAUUUGUGGCUAUUUUUAAUGUUUUGACAGCUUUUUGGAUUGUUAAAACAAGUCAAGCAAAGGAGAAAACCAAAGAGAAGCAAAGUGAAGAAAAAUCAAAAUGUAGCAGCUGCAGUCUUCUUUCGCACUUUUGGAGCACUUCCCGAAGUCCAAUUUUUACAUGCUAUAUACCAUUUUAAAGAUUUUGAAGUCAAGAAUCCAACGCUUUAAACCGUGCAUGAUUUGGAGCUGAAACGAGGAAGAUAUGGCCUUCGGAAGACAACUCCUCCAGGUGUGCGAGAAUUUCGCACAACCCCCUUUAGCUGUGCGAAUGGUGUGCGAAGUUCGCACACCUACCCCAUGCGUGCUCUGUUUUUGCCAACUCCACUUUAGAUAUUUUCCUAUGUAAUUUUUGAUGUAAUUUCCUUUCCUAUCCUUGUAACUAACCAAUCACAAGCUUUUGCUUUUGUAAAGACUUUAUAAGGGGUGGAAAUUACCUCUUGGAAAAUAUACGUAUUACAUUUGACACUUAGAGAUUUUUUACAGAGCUCUCUCGUUUUCCAUUUUUUCUCUACUAUUUUCUUUUUCUUGGAAGCCAAACAACCUCUGAGGAUGUUUUCUCAUAGGAUGAGAGGCUAAACUUUUGGUUUCUUGGAGUGAUGGAAGCUAGGUGAAAAGUUCAGAUGCAAGGUGGAAAACGCUCGUGCAUUAAAUUCAGGUAGUUGGAAUUCAUAAAUGGCUUUUAAAUCCAAAGUUUUGCUUUAAAUCCCUUAGAAUCACUUUGAAUGACCAAUACAUGGUAAGCUUCAGGUCUUUAUGGAUGCUUAUUGCUAGAUCCAUAUUAGUCCAUUAGUUAUCAUGUACGAGUCAUUGGAAAGCAGUUCAAGGUGAAGACCUAUAGUGUCUAAAGCCAUUAAUGGACUUUGACUACCAUUUAUAUUGAUUAUUAUGGAUUAAAUCUUCAUUGUUAAACCUAUACCGGUUCGGGAAAUAACUAUAGGUUAAAUCCCCAAUGCGAGGAGAAAAAUCCGGAAUUUUCCACUUUGCAUUCUAAACUUGAUCCUAGUAAUCCUGAGCUCCGGGAGACUUUCCUUCUUCCAUUUUUAAUUAGUUUAUGUUAGUUUAGUUUUAAACACUUUCAAAUCAAAUUUCAUUUUCUUUUAAAUUUUAAGUUUUUGAUUAAGGAAAUCAUUAAAUACAAUUUCUAAUUUUGAAUACAUCACUGGUAGAAUGAAAACCCAUCCCAGAGUUCGACCCUAGAGCCACUAUACUAUAGUAGCUUUACUACAUUAGUAUGAGGUCAUAGGUUUUAUAAAUGUUUUUGAUUAAAUGACCCAUUUGGAGUUACAUGCGCGAAUCAUUUAUUCCAAGUCUUUUGCAUAUCUAAGUCAUACUAAGAUUAAUUGUUUUCUCUAUUCCAAGUCUUUUCCAAAUCUAAGUCAUCCGAUGGGCCACACUUUUUAUGGAGAAGACUAAGCUUUUGCCCCUUGGGAUACAUAGGCCUCAUCCAAUGGGCCACACUUUUUAUGGAGAAUGCUAGACUUUUGUUCCUGACAAUAUGAAUGCUAAGACCAAUACUAAUUGUUUUCUCUAUUCCAAGUCUUCUACAUAUCUAAGUCAUCCGGUGGGCCACACUUUUUAUGGAGAAGACUAAACUUUUGCCCCUUACGAUACGUAGGCCUCAUCCAAUGGGCCACACUUUUUAUGGAGAAUGCCAGACUUUUGUCCCUAACAAUAUGAAUGCCAAGACCAAUACUAAUUGCUUUCUCUAUUCCAAGUCUUCUACGUAUUUAAGUCCAUCCAAUGGGCCAUACUUUUUAUAGAUAAGACUAAACUUUUGCCCUUGUGAUAUGAAGACCAAGACUAAUUGGUUUCUUCAAUAUUCCAAGUUAUGUGCAUACUUUUAUGUAGGGUAAUAACAUAAGGAAGUUUCAUAUGGUUUUAUAAUGCAAGUCUAGAUUUGUUAUUCUGUAUUUUUUUUUUUUUUACAUGUUUAAACACUUUCCCUCUUAAAUAACAUAACUUUUUUUUUCAAAUAAUCUUUGACAAAACUUUUGUCAUACCCUUUUUUAACUAUUAUACUAUUUUCCCAUAUCUAAAAUUUUCAAAGCACAUAUUUUGUUUUGCAAUUAUUUCUUAACUACGUACAUUCCUUAGACACUACAAAAAUGAUUUUAUUUGAAAAUUAACCAAUAAAUAUAUUUAGAUGGAUGACUCAAAAUUAAAGAAAAAAAUUUGUUCAUCAAUGCUAUUUCAUGUAGAAUAUAUAUGCAUAUGUAUCAAAGAAAAACAUGAAAAAUAAAAAACCAUACAAGUACAAAAGAAACAAUAUUUCAACAAUAAUGCUUUUUCCCUUUGAAACUUUACAUGGCUUUACAUGGAAACAACAUUUGGAUACAAGUACCAUAUAAAAUUUGUAAAAACCGUUCUUCAAAAAAUGUUUCUUAAAUUAAAAUUGUUUAGGAUUUUAUGUGGAAUUUGUAUUUUGAAAAGAUUGGUUCAAUAUAAUAAAAGUAAACUCAUUUUUUUUUUCAAAAGACGAGUUCAGUAUAAAAAGUAGGAAUUACUCAAAUUUUGAAAAGAUAAAUUUAAUGUAAAAAUAAUAAAAAAGUAAAAAAUAUUGGAUUCUUUAUUUAUUUGUCAAAUAACCCUUUUUAACAAUAUUCUUUUAAAAUAACCAUCUAAUAGACACCUUCAUCCUUUAAAAACUCAACUGCUUUAUAGAGAAGACCAAGACUUCUAGCUCUUGAUGUAGAGUUGUACUUCUUAAUAUUUCUCAUUAAAAGAUAAGAUUAACCUUAGAUGCUACUAACUGUGAAAGUUUUACUUUAGCUUAUGCAGGGACCUAUUUUAUGAUUAAAGAAACUUAUACAAACUAAAUGGAUAUCAUUUGAGAAAUUAUUGUGGCUAAGGUGGGUAAGAAAUAUGCUACUUUUUCCAUGAAAUCUUAGCUUGUGAUUAAAAGUGGGCAAAAUAGUUCGACUCUUGAUCGGACAACGAACCCACAUUGUCAUUUUAAUGUGGAAGUGACUCUAAAUUUUUCUUUGAUUUGAAGUCAAUGGUCCCACAUUUGAAUUGGAAACUUUGAUGAAGUUUCUAAUAAUGAAAAUUUAAACUUAAAUUAUAAGGGAACCUUUGGGUAUAAAUUCAAGUCAUCCAUUAUUAUAUUUUUUUCAUCACACAUCAGCCAAUUUUUGUUAUAGCUUUUGAAGAUACGAUGUAUCGAAUCCUUUGCUUCCUCUUCUUUCUCUCAUAUUCUCAUGUUUUUUGUUUCUACGAAGCUGUGUCCUCAUCACCAGAAUGUUGCCUUGCUUCGACUUAAGCAAUUAUUUUCCAUAGAUGUCUCCGCUUCUUCUUCGGAUGAUUGAAAUUUAGCUUCUUUUGCCAAGACAGACACUUGGAAGGAAGGCAUUGUGGAGACAGACAUGUUCAUGAAUCUUGAAAAUCUUGUCUAUCUCGAUCUUUCAUAUAACAUUCUGACAUUGAGCAACUACAGCCAUUCCAACAGUGCGCUACCAUCCUUGGAAACAUUGUUGUUGUCUUCUUGCAACAUAAGUGAAUUCCCAAGAUUUUUAUGAAGUCAAGAGUUAUUGGCGUUUUUAGACCUUUCAAACAACAAGAUUUAUGGACAACUUCCGAAAUGGGCAUGGAAUGUGGGUACGGAGACACUGUCUUACUUAAAUCUUUCUCAAAACAUGCUAACCAGGUUUGACAGAUUUCCAUGGAGGAUUGUGCAAUAUCUUGACCUUCAUUCCAACUUGCUUCAAGGGCCACUUCCAUCAUUGAUUUGUGAAAUGAGUUAUAUUGAAGUUCUAGAUUUCUCUAAUAACAACUUGAGUGGCUUAAUUCCACAAUGUUUGGGAAACUUCAGUAAGUCUCUCUCAGUUUUGGAUUUGUGAAUGAAUCAACUUCAUGGUACCAUUCCUGAAACAUUUUCAAAGGGCAAUCUUAUUAGGAAUCUUGACUUCAAUGGAAAUCAAUUGGAAGGGCCUCUACCACGAUCUUUGAUCAAUUGUAGAAGGUUGCAAGUUUUAGACCUUGGAAAUAAUAUAAUAAAUGAUACAUUCCCCUUUUGGUUGGAAACUCUUCUAGAGCUACAAGUUUUGAUCUUGUGUUCUAAUAGGUUCCAUGGUCACAUAAGCGGUUCAAAUUUCCAAUUUCCAUUUCCUAAGUUACGAAUAAUGGAUCUUUCAAGCAAUGGUUUCUCUAGCAGUUUACCCGAAAUGUAUUUGAAGAAUUUCAAGGCAAUGAUGAAUGUCACUGAGGAUAAAAUGAAAUUGAAAUAUAUGGGGGAAUACUAUUAUCGAGAUUGUAUAAUGGUAACAAUCAAAGGAUUUUAUUUUGAAUUUGUAAGAAUCAUGUUUACCUUCACAAUGAUUGAUUUGUCAAGCAAUACAUUCCAAGGAGACAUUCCAGAUUUCAUUGGUAGUCUUAGUUCACUUCGAGAACUCAACUUGUCUCAUAACAACAUUAUAGGGCAUAUUCCAUCAUCUUUAGGGAAUCUAAUGGUACUUGAAUCAUUACACCUCUCUUCGAACAAGCUUAGUGGGAGAAUUCCAAGGGAGCUGACAAGUCUAACAUUUCUUGAAGUCCUAAAUCUUUCGAAAAAUCAUCUCACUGGAGUCAUUCCUCGAGGCAACCAAUUUGAUACAUUUGCAAAUAAUUCAUAUAGUGGGAAUAUAGGAUUAUGUGGAUUUCCCUUGUCUAAGAAAUGUGUAGUUGAUGAAGCAUCACAACCUCCCAAAGAAGAAGAGGUGGAAUCCGAUAUUGGAUUUGAUUGGAAAGUCAUAUUGAUGGGGUAUGGUUGUGGACUAGUAGUUGGGUUGUCUAUGGGGUGCCUCAUCUUCUUAACAAGAAAGCCUAAAUGGUUUGUAAGAAUGAUUGAAGGAGAUAGACACAAGAAGGUUAGAAGGUCAACAAGGAGCACUCGCAAGCAGGGAGCAAGAAGAAGUUAGGCCAUUUCUAUGAUAUUGUAUUUUGUGGUGAAUGAUACUAAUUAAUGUUGCAUUCUUAUGUAAACAAAUAACAUGUAUUGCGAUUAAUGAAGUAAGAGUCUUUGAAGUUGUAAAAAUGUUUAUUUUUAUUUUUUCUUUCUCGAAAUGGAAUAAUACGUAGUAACAAUAUUUUCAAAUCAUCACUACCGUUUAACUUAUUUACAUAUCAUGACUAAAAGUAUUUUUAAAUGUUGGGUCAUAUAAUUAGAAAAGGUUGAACUCACAAGGUUUUGCAUAGAAUUAGAUGCAAUCGACUACUUAUCACUAAAAGACUAACGAAUUUUUGUUAGGAACAAAAGGUGAUUUUUUAAAAGAAUGAUAUUAAAAGGGCUAUAAAUUAAUGAAAUCCAAAUUCCAAUUUUAGGUUACAAAUUUUCACUAAACUCUUGUCCACAUAAUACAUUUAUCUUAAUAUGAAACAUUUAAUUGGGGUAGUCAAACACCCUCAGCCUUACUAGGGCUGAAAUUUUGGUGAUGCCAUAUCUUUGGAGUCAUUGCAGAACAACCAGUGUUUUAAUGGCAUUCCAUAAGAAGAAUGAAUGAGUUAUGAUUUUUUUUUUUUCUUUUUCAAACUGACAUGUAAUUUUUUAAGAAAAUUCUUAAUGAACUUAUUGAAUUUCUUGACACAUUAAAAUUUUCUUCAUAUAUCAUUCUUUUGAUCAUUUUUCCUUUUGACAAAAUUUUGUUUAUCAAACUUCAUUAUAGACUUCAAUUCUAUAUGAGUCAGACAGACAAAUUGCAACCCAUGAAAGAAGACUCUUAUCUUACCUUAAGUUUAUUACUAUCUACCCAAUAAAAUGGUGUGCUGGAUUUAGCAUCUUGAGUUGGACUCUAAGCAAUAUUGGUAGCAUUAUUUUAAGGCUAUGUUGCUCGAUAGUGUUAAACAAAGGAGAACAAUUUGCUAAAAAAAAAAAAAUUCAUAUCAUGAAAAAGAAAAUAUAUAUUAUUUUCUCCUAUUUGAAUGUGAAAAUUUGGAGAAAGUGAAUUAAAUUUUUUUGAAUGUCAUGCAAAGAGAUUACAUAUAUAUAUACUCCAAACUUGUAGAUUUUUUGUUGUAGAGAGUGAAUUCCUUAUAGAUUUAUUUUAUUGUCGUAGAGAGUAAAUUCCAUAUAGAUUUUUUUUCCCUCAAAUUUUUUUUUAUGGAAAAAUAAAUUAAAAUAAUUUUUUCAUUUUUUUCUUUUAUAUUUCUUUGUUUUUCUUUCCUCCAAAUUUUUCACAAAUGAAACAAAGUCUUCUCACAAAAUAAAGAAGUGCUUACCAAUAGGAGGAUUUAAAUAAGUUGAAGAAAAAUAUCAAUGAGAUGGAAAUUGAACAAAUCUUAUAGUUUUGUAAAAAAAACUUCAACUAAGAAUAAAAAAAAAAGUAAUAAUAUACAUAUUAAGUUGUUUUAUUGAAAAAAAAAUCAAUAUAUGUAUAAUAAAAUUUAUGAUAAUCCAUAAUAAUUUACAAUAUUUGAACUCAUUUAAUAUUUAGUUUGCAUAUAUUUAUGAUAAUGCAUAUAUAAUAAUAUACAUGUAUUUCUCAAAUAUAGAUUCACAAAAUAUUGAUUGCUUUCUAAUAUUUUUUCGAGAAUCAUUCAAUGAAUUUUUCUACUUUGAUAGUACCUUGGAUUCUUUUUGAAUCAAUCACUUUAUUGUAACUGUUAUCCAAUAGAUCCCCAGAAUCUUGAGAUUUAAACAAGACACAUCUGAAUACACUAGAAGUAUGUUUGAUAAUGAUUUUAACAAGUAUUUCUAAUAUUUUUAAUACUUAAAAAGGUAACAAUUUUCAAGUGUUAGAAAUAUUAGAAACGCUUCAAAAAAUCACUAUCAAACACACUAAAAAUACUAGAAACACUUCCAAUAAUCACUAACAAACACACUCUAGUUAUCAAAAUUUUUACCCAUGAAUUUUAAGAGUUGAGGAUGAUUUAAGUUAUUAUUUGUAGUCAUAAUUUUACCAACAAAAUUACAAUUUUCUUGUGAUUGUGUACUUUCUUGGUAUUCUAGCUUUGAUUUGGUAUUUUAUAUUCCCCAAUCUUCUAACUCUAAUACCAUUUGUUGGAAUACACACAAUUAGAUAUUGAUAAUAUUUUUUCGAAAAUAAUGUUUUAUUGCAUUUUAUUAUAUUAUUUUUCAAUCUAAUAAUAAACUUAUUUCUAAUAAACUAAUCAUACUUAGACUAUAACAUCAAUUCUUAACUACCUACAUUCCUUGGAUGCUACAAAAAUGAGUUUAUUUGAAAAUUAACCAAUAAAUAUAUUUAGAUGGAUGACUCAAAAUUUAAGAAAAAAAAUUGUUCCUCAAUGCUAUUUCAUGUAGGAUAUAUAUGCACAUGUAUAAAAAAAAACAUAAAAAAUCGAAAACUAUACAUGUAUAAAUAUUAAGAUAAGAUUCAUUGGUGCAAGUACAAAAGAAACAAUAUUUCAACAAUAAUGUUUUUUCCCUUGGAAACUUUACAUGGCUUUCCUUGGAAACAACAUUUUGAUACAAGUAUCAUAUACAAUUUUUAAAAAACCGUUCUUCAAAAGAUAAUUCUUAAAUUAAGAUCGUUAAUGAUUUUAUGUGAAAUUUGUAUUUUGAAAAGAUGAGUUCAAUAUAAUAAAAGUAUCUCAUUUUUAUUUUUUUUUCAAAAGACCAAUUGAGUAUAAAAAGUAGAAAUUACUCAUAUUUUGAAAAGAUAAAUUUAAUUUAAAAAAAAAAAUUGUAUUCUUGUAUUUAUUUGUCAAGCAACCAUUUUUAACAAUAUUCUUUUAAAUAACAUUUUUUAAUUUUUUUUCCCAUGUUUUUUUUUUUUUUGCCUCCCAAUUCAGUCUAAUAGACACCUUUGUCUCUGUUUAUUGACAACAUAGAUGAUAUGGUGUCUCCCCCGGAGGAGCUGCUUCAACAUCUUUCCCCUCUCCACAAUUUGAAGUGCUCUGGUUUGGCAACAUCACCACACUGGAUAGGCAGCCUCACCUCACUUGCUGAAUUAGAGAUCAGUGAUUGCCCAGACUUGACAUGCUUAGAACUGCCGUCAUCUCCGUGUCUUUCUAGUUUAAAGGUCAGUGAUUGCCCAAACUUGACAUGCUUAAAACUGUAGCCAUAUCCUUGUCUUUCUAGUUUAAAGAUUGGAAAGUGCCCAAAGUUAGCAUCCUUCGAAGUGGCUUCAUUACCUUGUCUUGAGAAACUAAGCCUGGGUGGACUUGGAGCAAAGUUACCGUCAAAGUUAGUCUCCGUCUUUGCUUCUUCUUCAUUGAAGUCUCUGUAUAUGAUAUCUAUCCCGGAGGAUCUGCUUCAACAUCUUUCCACUCUCUAAACUCUCUACAUUUUGAAAUGCUCUCGUUUGGCAACGUUACCACACUCGAUAGGCAGCCUCAUCUCACUUACAGAGCUUGGAGUUCAUGAAUGCCGUCAAUUGAAAUCACUACCAGAAGAGAUGCGUUCCCUUAAAAACCUGCAGAAAUUCUAUAUCUGGGAUUGUCAACAUCUAGAGAAAAUAUGCCGACAGAAAACAGGGGAAGACUGGCCCAGGAUUGCUCAUAUCCCACAUAUUGAUUUCUACACUGAUCAACGAAUAACAAGGGAGCUCCGAAAUCCCUAACCUUUCUUCUCAUUUUUAUUAUUUUUUCGAUCAAAAUGCAAGGUUUUCUCAUUCUGUCUUGGUAAUUCUUUUAUAUUGGCACUUCAUAUGUUUGUUGAAAUGCUCACAUCAGUAAAUCGAUUUUUUUUUCCAGACCAUAUAUACAGUCGAUGAUGAUAUGCACGAAACUCAUCAUUUUACUUGGAGUUGAGGUGAGAUUUGAUAUGAUAUCUCUCCCAGAGGAGCCGAUUCAACAUGUUUCCAUGAUCUAAAGUCUCAACAUUAGACAUCGCUCUGUUUUUGCAACAUUACAACACUGGAUAGGCAGCCUCCCGUCAGGUACAGAACUUGGAAUUCAUGGCUGCCAGAAGGUACGUUCCCUCGAAAACCUGUAGAAGCUCAAAAUCUACAUUGAAGUCUGAAUGAGGGCUGAGGUGCUGUGUCAGUUAAUGUUUCUCUCCCCUUCAUUGAAGUCUCUGUCUAUUGGAUGCUCAGGUGCUAUGAUGUCUCCCAGAGGAGCUGCCUCAACAUGUUUCCAGGAUCCAAACUCUCAAAAUUGAAUACUGCACUGGUUUUGCAAUAUUCCUGCCCUGGAUUGGUCGCUUCACCUCACUUAUGGACCUUCAUAUUUGUGACUGCGCUGAAUUGGCAUCACUUUCGGAAGAGAUGCAUUCCCUCAAAAACCUUCUGACACUAAAAAAUCUUUCAUUGUCAGCACCUGCUUGAAGAUGCCAAAAAGAAACAUUUCAGGUUCAAGAACACAGAGAGCUAUACUUGGUGGAGAUUUCAUCAAUAUAGAGAGACAUUUUAGGUCUGAAAUCCACCCUUCUCAUUUUCUUAUGGCUUCAUUUUGAUUUAAUUUCCUAAUUACAUGAAUUCUAUAUCUGUAAUCCCAGUAUGAAUUAGCACAUAAAUCAGAAGUGAUUUUGAUUUUUUUAUGUCCACACUAUUCAUUUGAUGAAAUGCUUAAACAAGUAAGUUCGAAAUUUUUUCCCUUCAAAUCAAUUUCUAAUGCACCAUGAAUUGGUAAUUGAAGUUUGGAAAGAUGUUGGGAUGAUUUAAUUAUUAUUUUGUUGCAGAUUUCAACUUGCUUAAGACGCUUGUGAUUAUUUCUUCUUGGCUCAACCUGAAAUCAUUGCCUACGUUCUUCCAUUUGCUACCUCAAAAUCACCUACCAAAAGUUUUGGAUUGCCUAAAAAUUUUCUCAUGGCCCAUAAAUUCGUAUAUAUCAGAUGGCUAUAUAUUUCAGGUCCUGCUUUCCUUAGAAAUCAGGUCUACUCUCUGCCAUAUAUUUCAGGUAAUCUGUUGCCUGCUUUUAAUCUCUACAUCAUCUUUCAUUUUGCUUUCAAUUUUUGUCAGGAGUGUCAUACAAGUUGUAAUUAUAUUUGUGAACUUUCAUAUGCACUAUCAUUUUUUAUUGUUUUUUAAUAUAUAACUCCAACCAAACAUAUCAUAGACCAAAAACUUAUUAUGUCAGUUCGAGUAGUUUAUUUUUUUCCCCCUUUUGGUGAUGUUGUUUUGGGCCUAGAAAUUUUUUUAGAGUAAUUAUUGCAAAUGUAAUGUUGUCUAAUCAAUACAAAAACUAAUAGUUGUGAGGCUUGGAUACAUGGCUUCCUUGAUCAGUAACUAAAUUGAGUGUUUCUGUAGGCUGAUGUCUCUAUAUUUGGAAAUUCAGAGAGUUGCAAAUUCCAAGGACUUACAAGAUUGAGUCGCUGUCUCUACCAUUAGGGCUUCAACAAGUUACCAUUCUUGAAAUUCUAAAAAACAUCAGAUUGCCUCAUCUUUGAAUCGAAAUCACUCCCAGAAGGAUGUGCUUCCCAACACUCUCAUGGGCUCUUUGACUUUGCCAUCUACAAUAUAUCAGAGGUUCAUCAUCCAUCCUCUAUUCCUGCUUUGGGGGGCUCUAAUUUUUUAUAUUAUUUUUCCGUUAAUAUUCUAAAAAUAUUAUAUUCUAUUUUUAAUUCUUUUUACCUGAGUCUCAUGCAUUAGCACAUAAGAGAAAAGUCAUAUAACACUUUCAUAAUGCAAUCAUUUUCCAUUUUAGCCCUAUACUAUUUUUCUUGUAUAUGGCUAAGGCAUCCAAUAAAUAUGCCUUCACUCACCAGAAAAAUACCCAUCACGUCAUCUCCAACCCCCUCUUUCUUCUCCUUCUUUCUGCAACACCCAUGGUGGAUUCUUUUGUGUUCUAACAACAAAUGUACUCUGCUGUUUUGAGUUGCUUCUCAUGGCUCCAAAAUGAUGGGUGUUUUUCCAUUUUGUUUUGGUCUUCAGUGAGUUCAGAAGACGAGAUUUGAAGGACGGUGUUAGUGGGUUUUGGUGGGAAUGUAGAUUUGGUGGACCUAAUGCUACUGCUGUCUGGUUUUAAGAAAAGAGGGUUGCAGUGACGACUGACGAGAAUGAGGUAAUUUUGGGUGGUGAAUGGAGAAAGAGACGAAUUUGAGGUUGAGGGUUUGAUGAAGGAAGCUAUGUUGUGUGAGAUUAUGCUCUAAUACUUGUUUAGAAUUUUGGGUCUCUAUUGCAUUCACGUAUAUUGUUUGCCAUUCCAACCCUCUUAUUGCUUUUGAAGACAAAAUUAUUUUUGUAAAAUCCUUAGAUAGUAAAAUUUGAAGUUCCUACCUUCAAAGAUACCAAUUCCUUGUAUUUUUACUUUAAUGGUUAUAAUCUAUAUGUGAUCUUGUUAUUUUAUAUUUGUAUUUUACAUGUUUGGAAAUUUUAUUGCAGGUGUAAGUGUUGCCAAGUCAAAGCAAUGCCAGAUAGUGAUGUAGUUGUGACACCUUACUUCUCUAAAGCAACUCGAAAGUGGGGAUUGUUGCCUACCACAUCUCAUUUCGGGAAAGUUGUGUUUAUAGGCUAUGAUAUGGGAAAUAUAUGGUUUUGGAAACCCAUAUAAGUGAAAUAUGAGAUAUGCCUGUAAUAAGAAAAAUAUUAUAGGUUUCAUACACUAUUUACUGUUCAAAUUUUUAUUUUCGAAAUUACCCUUUAGGUCUUUUGUCAGCAAGAAAUUUUUUUUUUUUUUGGGUUUUCCUUAGGGGUUUUGCAUGGAUUUUCUCAGCAAUCAAAUGAGAAUGAAUUUUCCUGGAAAUCGAAUAGGGGAUGGAGACCCUUAGAACAGAUCCAAAAAGCACAAGGAGCAAAAACAAAAAGCAAUUUUUUUGGUUUUCCUUGGGGGUUUUGCAUGGAUUUUCUCGGAAAUCAAACAAGGAUGAAUUUUCCCGGAAAUCAAAUGGGGGCGGCGGCGAGAAUAGAUCCAGAAAGCGUAGGGAGCAAAAAAAAAAAGAAAAUUUUUUGGUUUUCCUUGAGGGUUUUGCAUGGCUUUUCUCGGUAAUCAAACGAGGAUGAAUUUCCUCGAAAAUCGAAUGGGGGAUGGAGACCCCUAGAACAUAUGCAUAAAGCAUAGGGAGCAAAAAAAAAAGCAAGUUUUUUGGUUUUCCUUAGGGGUUUUGCAUGGAUUUUCUCGAAAACCAAACGAGGAUGAAUUUUCUAUGAAAUCGAAUGGGGGCAGCGAUGAGAACAGAUCCAAAAAGUGCGGGGACAAAAAAGAAAAAAAAAAACAAUUUUUUUGGUUUUCCUUGGGGGUUUUGCAUGGAUUUUCUCGAAAAUCAAACGAGGAUGAAUUUUCCCGGAAAUUGAAUGGGGAAUGGAGACCCUAUAACAGAUCUAGAAAGCAUAGGGAGCAAAAAAAAAAAGCAAUUUUUUUGGUUUUCCUUAGGAGUUUUGCAUGGAUUUUCUCGGAAAUCAAACGAGGAUGAAUUUUCCUAGAAAUCGAAUGGGGGGUGGAUUUUCUUGGGGAUCAAACAAGGAUUUUUUUUUUUUGCUUUCGCUGCCGCCGCCCCCAUUCAAUUUCUGGGAAAAUUCAUCCUUGUUUGAUUGCCGAGAAAAUCCAUGCAAAACCCUCUAGGAAAACCAAAAAAAUUGUUUUUUUGGCUUGCUGACAGGAAGACCUAAAGGAUAAUUUCAGAAAUAAAAAUUUGAACAGUAAAUAGUGCAUGAAACCUAUAAUAUUUUUCUUAUUACCAGACAUAUUUCAUUUCUCUCAAGUCAUCGAAAAUUCAGUGAUGUGCUAGUAGCCUAAUGUCUUUGUCACAAGUGAUUUAGGGAUUCAGAUUAUUUCUCUGAAUUGACAUAAAUAAUAUGUUCUGGUUUGGUAACAUUAUCACACUCAAUGGACAACCUCCAUUUACUAACAUCUUCAAGUUUAUAGUUGUCCUGAACUGACAUGGCUGUCAGAAAACAUGCAUGUCCUCAACACCCUCUGGACACUUGUAAUUGAGUACUUUUUGGUUUGGCAACAUUAAUAGACUUAGUAGGCUUUCUUACGUCACUUCAAAACUUCAAAUUCAUGAGUGCCUUGAAUUGACAUAACUUCCAGAGAAGAUGGGUCACUCAUGCUCUGUAGACACUUACAACAUUAACGGACCUUAUAUGCAGUCUUACCUCACUUGCAUGCCUUGAAAUUGAUAGCUACCCUGAAUUGACAUCAUCUCCUAAAGAGAUUGUGUUGGAAAUCAAGCCCACGUCGCCUUCCUGCCUAUGCAUGCUCCUUCCCAUAUUUAGCAUCCUCUGUUUACUUCCUUGAAUUAGUGUAAUGUAUAGCCUUUAUUAUAAUUGAUUUAGGAGUAAUUCUAGCAAGGUAGUUUAUUCACUUUCCAUGUAAGAGUAGUUUAUUCACUUCCCAUGUAAGAGUUUAUUCACUUUCCAUGUAAGGGAAAUUCCGUCUGGUGAUAGUGUACCAUUCCGGAAUUGUCUCAUAUCUGUAGGCUAUUUAUUUAUGCUUUCAUUCAUUGUAAAAAAAGGUAUCACAGAAUGAAUUGAGGUGUUCCUCCAUAGUUUGUCUUCAAUUUCUUCAUAUUUUAGUCUUCAAAUUCUUCAUGGUAUCAGAGCAGGUUUAAUCCUAUCUCAUCGUCUUCAUCUUUAGUCAGUUUUUUUUCUACUCAAUUCUAUUCUUCUAAUUUAUGCCUAAAUACGGUCCAGCCUUUGGAAUGGCUACCAACUCAUCAUCCUCUACUUCUGAUAUCAUCAUCUCAUAGUCUUCAUCCUCUCAUCAGAUGGAAACCUCUCAUCUUCCAAUCACAGCCCAUAAACUGAAUGGGCAAAAUUAUUUGCAAUGGUCUCAGUCCAUAUUAAUGUUUAUACGGGGAAAGGAGAAAGAUGACUACAUCACUGGAGCUUCGGCGGCACCAGAAACCACAGCAUCAACCUACAAAAAGUGGAUAGCAGAAAAUAAUAUGGUCAUGUCCUGGCUAGUCAACUCUAUGACCGCUGACAUUGGUGAAAAUUUUCUGUCAUUUGAUACUGCCAAAGAAAUCUGGGACACUGCAAAAGAAACUUUCUCAGACAAGGAAAACACAUCUGAAAUCAUCCAGAUUGAAGGCAUCCUCCACGAUUUGCGUCAAGGAAACCUUACGGUAACUGAAUAUUUCAAUACUCUUACUCGUCUAUGGCGUCAACUUGAUACGUUUGAGGUUCAUAACUGGAAUUGUGUUACAGAUGGUUUUUUGUAUAAAAAGAUUGUCGAAGGGAAACGUGUGUUUAAAUUUUUGUUAGGUUUGAACAAAAAUCUUGAUGAAAUCAGAGGAAGAAUCAUGGGAGUAAAACCCCUACCUAGCCUCAGAGAGGCAUUCUCUGAAGUCCGUCGCGAAGAAAGUCGGAAAAAUCUCAUGAUGGGAUCCCAUCAACAACUGAAUAUGGCAGAAAGCUCGACUCUUAAGACUCAAUUCGCUCCUUUUGACAAUCGUAAAAAAAUUAAAGGAGGUAGACCUUGGUGUGAUCAUUACAGAAAGUCGGGACACUCAAGAGAAACUUGUUGGAAGAUUCAUGGAAAGCCAGUAGAUUGGAAGCCACGUCAACCACUUGAGAAAGAAGGACGAGGUAAUCAUGUGGCUACCGAUGAACAAUCGCCACAAACUGAAGCUAGCCCUUUUAAUAAGGAGCAAAUGGAGAUGCUUCAGAAACUACUGUCUCCUCUUUUGUCAAUACAGUCACAAACUAGCUCAUCUUCCAACUAGGUCAUUGGUUCCGGAACCUUGGCUCACAAAGGUAAUUUUUUGAGUGUCUUCACUGCUGGUAAGAAACGUAAAAAACCUUGGAUAGUGGACUCAGGAGCAUCUGAUCAUAUGACGGGAGAUGCGACAAUUUUUUAUACAUAUAGCUCAUGUCCAAAUAAUUUAACAGUUCGAAUAGUAGAUGGUUCACUAUCAAAGGUUGCCGGAACAGGUUCAGUUGUGCUAUCAAGGGAUCUUACUCUCAACUCUGUUCUCCUUGUUCCUAACUUGGACUGUAAUCUAUUGUCAAUUAGUAAACUCACUAAGGAAAAGAGGUGUAUUACUAAUUUUUCCUCCACUCACUGUGAAUUUCAGGAUUUGGAUUCGGGGAAGACGAUUGGCAAUGCUGAGGAAUGCUCUGGACUCUACAUCCUUAAGGAGCGCCACGAUCCACAAGAACAACCUCAAAUGGCAGUUGGUAGUAAUUCUUUUUCGGUUUCAUGUCAAAAUAACGAUAGUGCAAUUAGGUUGUGGCACUAUCGCUUAGGUCAUCCAAAUGUUAUGUAUCUCAAGCAUUUAUUUCCUUCAUUAUUUAAUAAAAAUCCAAAAUCCUUUGAGUGUGAAAUCUGUCAAUUAUCAAAGCAAGUCCGGUCUCAUUUUCCCAUUCAACCCUAUAAAGAGUCUAGUCCAUUCUCAAUGAUUCAUAGCGAUAUCUGAGGUCCGUCAAGAAUAAAAAAUGUAACUGGUACCAGGUGGUUUGUCUCAUUCAUAGAUGAUCACACUAGAUUAACUUGGGUAUUCCUCAUGAAAGAAAAAUCUGAAACGAGUCAAAUUUUCAAAAAUUUUAAAAAUAUGAUUCAGACCCAAUUCCAGUCAAAAAUACAAAUUCUAAAGUCUGAUAAUGCUAGGGAUUAUUUCAACUCCAUUCUAGGAGAAUUUCUAGCACAAGAAGGGAUAGUUCACUUAAGUUCAUGUGUUGAUACCCCACAACAAAACGGAAUCGCUGAAAGGAAAAAUAGGCAUUUGUUAGAGGUGGCUAGAUCACUAAUGUUCUCCAUGAAUGUUCCAAAAUUAUUCUGGGGGCAAGCUGUCCUUACGGCAGCCUACCUCAUCAAUAGGAUGCCGUUUAGGGUACUAAAAUUCCAAACACCUUGUCAAACACUCCUAAAAUCCUUUCCGACUACUCGUCUCAUCUCCACCGUCCCACCCAAAAUUUCGGGUGCUCUGUCUUUGUUCAUAUCAAUCAACAACAUAGAAGUAAACUUGAUCCUAGGUCACUCAAGUGCAUCUUUCUUGGGUAUUCUUCAAAUCAAAAAGGGUAUAAGUGUUACUCUCCGGUCACAAGAAAAUUCUACAAUUCAAUGGAUGUCACCUUUUUUGAAACCCAUCCUUACUAUCCCAAAAACGAUAUUCAGGGGGAGAAUUCAACUCAGGAAUAUCAAUUUUGGGAUCUUGAGUCAUUCAGUGAGUCACCCAUCACCACUGAAAAUCACAUUCCUCCAGAGUCAUUUAAUCAGCCCGAGUCCAUUGUUGACUUGUGGGAUAAGGAGCACAUCCAAGAGGAAACGGAGGAAGGAGCACUUUCUCAACAAACCCAUGAGGCAGAACCGGGUCCUAAUCCAAGCAAACUUCCAGGUAACAACGCUCCUGAUGGUACUGUUGAUUCCGAGUUAGAAAAUGAUAUUCUUAAUAUGCCCAUAGCUUGGAGGAAAGAAGUUAAAUCAUGCACUCAGCAUCCCAUUGGAAAUUUUAUUUCUUAUGAUAAGCUAUCACCUACGUUUCGUGCAUUCACUUCUAGCAUCACAGAGAUACAAGUUCCUCAGAAUAUUCAGGAAGCUUUCAAGUAUCCUAAGUGGAAGGCGGCAGUCGAUGAGGAAGUUCGGGCGCUGGAAAAGAAUGGUACGUGGGAAAUUACUGACCUCCCAAGAGGUAAGAAACCAGUUGGGUGUAAGUGGAUUUUCACAGUAAAGUACAAGGCAGAUGGUAAUGUGGACAGGUAUAAGGCUCGGUUGGUCGCCAAAGGAUUCACCCAAUCCUAUGGCAUUGACUAUCAAGAAACUUUUGCUCCAGUUGCCAAGCUCAAUACUGUUCGUGUACUUUUAUCCUUGGCAGCUAAUCUCGAUUGGUCGCUUCACCAACUUGAUGUGAAGAAUGCCUUCCUCAAUGGUGACUUAGAGGAAGAAGUUUACAUGGACAUUCCUGCUGGACUCGAGACGACAUCAAAUUUCAACAAGGUUUGCAGACUCCGAAAAUCCUUGUAUGGUCUCAAACAAUCUCCCAGGGCCUGGUUUGAACGGUUCACUAAGGUAGUGAAAGGGUACGGAUUCGUUCAAUGUCAAUCCGAUCACACAUUAUUUGUGAAACACUUCCCAGAAGGGAAACUGGCAAUUAUCAUUGUAUAUGUGGACAACAUAAUUUUGACAGGUGAUCAUGAAGAGAAAAUUGACUUACUUAAAAAAUUACUGACAAAGGAAUUUGAGAUCAAGGAUCUUGGAAACCUCAAGUACUUUCUCGGAAUGGAGAUUGCUAGGUCAAAGAAAGGUAUAGCAGUCUCACAACGCAAAUACGUUCUGGACUUAUUAAAUGAAACAGGAAUGCUAGGAUGCAAGCCAGCAGAAACACCUAUGGAUACAACUGUCAAACUGGAAGAAAGUGAUGGAAGUGCGCCAGAUGAUAAAGGAAGAUAUCAACGUCUUGUGGGGAAACUCAUCUAUCUUUCUCAUACAAGGCCAGACAUCGGCUUCUCCAUUAGUGUGGUAAGUCAAUUCAUGAAUAAUCCAACCGAAAAACACAUGACUACUGUGAUCAGAAUAUUGAGAUACCUCAAGAUGACACUGGGAAAGGGUCUCUUCUUUCAAAGAACAACAAAGAAAGAGAUUGAGAUUUUUUCAGAUGCAGAUUGGGCAGGUUCAGUGACUGAUCGGAGAUCAACUUCAGGCUAUUGUUCAUUUGUCUGGGGGAACUUGGUUACAUGGCGAAGCAAGAAACAGUCAGUGGUAGCCCGUAGCAGUGCUGAGGCAGAAUUUCGUGCUAUGGCACAAGGUAUCUGCGAGGGAAUCUGGUUGAACAAGUUGUUAGAAGAAUUACGGGUUCCAUUGAAGCAUCCCAUGGUGUUAUACUGCGACAAUCAAGCUGCCAUCAAUAUCGCUAAGAAUCCGGUUCAUCAUGAUCGAACUAAGCACGUGGAGAUAGAUCGACACUUUAUCAAGGAAAAGAUUGAAGAAGGAGUUUUCAAAGUCAGCUACACUCCGACAAACUGUCAAACGGCUGACAUUCUCACAAAAGCUCUUGCUCGAGUUAACUUAGAAGAUCUGACAGAAAAACUUGGAAUGAUCAACAUCUACAACGCGGCUUGAGGGGGAGUGUUGGAAAUCAAGCCCACGUCGCCUUCUUGCCUGUGCAUGUUCCUUCCCAUAUUUAGCAUCCUCUGUUUACUUCCCUGAAUUAGUGUAAUGUACAGCCUUUAUUAUAAUUGAUUUAGGAGUAAUUCUAGCAAGGUAGUUUAUUCACUUUCCAUGUAAGAGUAGUUUAUUCACUUCCCAUGUAAGAGUUUAUUCACUUUCCAUGUAAGAGAAAUUUCGUCUGGUGAUAGUGUACCAUUCCGGAAUUGUCUCAUAUCUGUAGGCUAUUUAUUUAUGCUUUCAUUCAUUGUAAAAAAAGGUAUCACAGAAUGAAUUGAGGUGUUCCUCCAUAGUUUGUCUUCAAAUUCUUCAUAUUUUAGUCUUCAAAUUCUUCAGAUUGGUUUCUUCGGAUCCAUACUGCCACAAUCUCUUAUUGUCCAUGGCUAUUGGAAAGAUGUGAAAGUGAAACAAGUGAAGAUUGGUCAAAGAUUGUUCAUGUUAUAGAAAGUUAUUCAGGUUUUAAAUCCCUAUCUUUCUUCUCAUUUGCUAUGGUUUCAGUUUAUCAAUAAGCUUUGUUUACCUUCUUUUUUGACAAUUCUAGUAUGCAUUAGCAUAUAAAGCAAAAAAAAAAGAAAAAAAAAGAUGAGAUACUAUUAAACCUAGUUGUUAUUUGGUUAUUAAAGACCAAACUAUUCAUGUUACUUUAAGUUUUGCACACUAAGAGUUUGGGAAUAAGCUAGUGUUAUGAAAAACGAAAAUAGACCACAAAAAAAAAUAAAAAAAAAAAUAAGAACAUACACAGAUUUACGUGGAAAACCUUAGACGAGAAAAACUACGGGCAGAGGAGAAGAAUAAUCCACUAUGUCAAAAAUUGGUACAAAAUGGGAGAGCAUUAAGCGGUUACAACAGAAAUCCCUUAGAACCUAUACACCAUCCCAUAUAUAUAUAUAUGGGAGAAAAAAAAAAUAAAGCAGGAAAGAAAUCUAUAAUUUUUUCUUCACCAUAUAUAUCGCACCGUAAAGAUUUCGGGUUGGACCAAAAAAGGAAAUUAGGUCACCAAGCUCUAACAAUCUCCACCUUGACACGAAUUCCAAUGUAAGGAAUUAGAAAAACAAACUCUAAUCUUCAACAAAAAAAAAAAAGAAAAACUCUUCACCUCUUCCACAAACCCUAAAGGGUAAUUCAACAACGAAUACUAACCAAGUCCAAGCAAUGCUCAAACUUGGCUAGAGGGAGUAUCUUCAUCAUCAUAUCAGUAGGAUUAUCAUGGGUGCUAACUUUGGCCACAUAAUAUCACCACGAGAAAUGAUAUCACACACAAAAUGAUACCACACAUCAAUGUGUUUUGUCCUCUCAUGAAACAUCUAAUCUUUUGUGAGGAAAAUAGCACUCUGACUAUCACAAAAAACUAUGGUAAUUUGCAAGUUGUCACUAAGUUCUCUAAAUAGUUCUUUUAACCAAAUAGCUUCCUUUCAAGCCUCUGUAAUAGCCAUGUACUCAACCUCAGUAGUAGAUAAAACAACUGUAGUCUACAAAGUAGCUUUCCAACUGAUAACACAACCACCAAUAUUAAAAACAUACUUUGUAAGAGAUCUUCUUUUAUCAAGAUUACCAGCAAAAUCAUAAUCAACAUACCCAGCAACUCCACCUCUAGUUCUCCCAAAAUGGAAAGAAACAUCAGUAGAACCACGCAAGAAUCUAAAAAUCCAUGAAACUGCUUUCCAAUGUUCUUUACUAGGAUUUGCCAUGUAUCUACUGACUGCACUGACUGCAUAUGAUAAACCUAGACAUGAACAAACCAUAGUAUACAUGAGAGACCCCACUACACUAGAAUAUGGAACUCGUGACAUAUAAUCAAUGUCAUCAUCUGAUUGUGGAGCUAAAGCAUAUGAAAGUCGGAAAUGAGCCGCUAAUGGAGUACUAACAUGUUUAGCAUUCUGCAUAUUGAACCUGUAAAGAACUUUCUCAAUGCACCAUUUCUAAUUUAGGUAUAAUUUACCUGCCUUUCUAUCUCUUAGAAUCUCCAUUCCAAGUAUCUUCUUUGUUGCUUCUAAGUCUUUCAUCUCAAACUCCGUACUGAGUUGGACUUUUACCUUUCUUAUAUUUUCCUUAUCCUGGGCUGCUAUUAACAUAUCAUCAACAUAUAAGAGGUUUGACUCAUUCAUGACCACUCAUGAUAUUGAUUAUUGUUUAUACAUAUCCCUAAUGAAGUACAAAAUUUUGAUAUUAUGAAGUGGUGAAAAUCUCAUGAAUCCACUUUUCCUGUACUAUCUAAAAUGACACGUGAUCUACUAACCCCACCGGUGUCUACUGUAGCAUUAGAAUCUUCUUUUUCUAUAGUUGCAAAUAUAACAGGAGACAGGAGGACAACUCUUACAGCAAAGAUGCUAGAAGCUUUGACAUGUUUGAAGGAUUGAGAAGAUGGACGCAUGAGACUUCAAACUUUAGAGGAUGAACUUAAAGAAGCCUUUGAGAAAUUGCAUCUCAAUGCAGACAAUGAUGUUCAAGAGAUUGAUGAUGAUUGAAGAUGAAAAAAAGAAGAAUGAAGAUUGAAUAAGAAGACAAAAGUGAAUAUGAUAAUUGAAGAAUUAUAUGUUAUUCGUUUUUUUUUAAAUCUAUUAAAUGUAGCUAAUUUUUAAAGGUUGAGUAAUGCAUAUGAUUGAUAGUUGGGUGAGUGCCAACCUAGUUGGGAUGUACUCAAACUAUAGUGAUGCAAUUCUCACAUUUUUCUUUCUCCUUAUUUUUUUCAUGUAAUUUGUUGAAAUAUUGAAUAAAAGAAUUAUUUUUUUAUAUUUCAUUUCCUUUUAUAUUCCAUUAUUUUAAAUUUAUUGUUAUUUUGAUCAAAAAUAAAAAAAUUCAAAUAUAAUUUUUUUACUAUUUUUAAAAACAAAAACUAAUAUUUCUAUAAAUUUUACAAUUACAAACUCGAUAAAUAUAAAUGUAAAAAAUAAAAAGUAUAAUUAUUAGAGGUGUAUAAAUAUAUAUAUAUAUAUAUAUAUAUAUAAUUAUUAGAGGUGUUUAAAGUAACAAAAAGAAAUUUUAUUUAAUAAUGAAAAAAACUUAAGAAAAAAUGACUUAAAAAAUUAAAUUAAAUUUUUUAACAAAGUGACUGGCCCAUGGGCCACGACCCGCUAGCAUGGCCCGGCCCGGACCGACGCAACACGUAUGGGUCGUGUUGAGCCACCUAUUUGGCUUGCAUAGGCCAUCGGCCUGACUCGACAAGAUUUUUAAGUGGGUCGUGCCGGCUCGACACGUUGACUCUAAUGGCCUAGUCAAUAUCGGGCCGUACCUAGUCAUAUCCCAUUAUGGCAUUAAGAUAUUAGAAAGCCCCUUGGUGAGCACAAAGAGGGUUAAAAUUAUGUUUAUUGCUUGGAUACAACAAAAUGAAGUUACAAGUAUAUUAAAUAAUAUGCUAGGAGAUAAUAUAUUGACACCAUAUAUAACAGUAGAAUUGAAGCCAAAACAAGAACUUUAGAUGCAUGUUUUGCACCUCUUGUGUGGCUUUGCCUUAUUAUACUAUUCUAUAUGUCAUGUGUAUUUUGUUUUGUGUUGCCUGUAAAAUAUACAUACAUACAUAUAUAUAUACAUACAUACAUAUAUAUAUAUAUAUAUAUAUAUAUAUAUAUAUAUAUAUUUGCACCUUUUUUCUUUAGGGGUCUUUAUAAAUUUAAAGAAAAUAAAAAAUUGUUGGCAAAUAAUGCAUAUAUGAUUGCUCAUCCACGUGUUCUCUUAUCCACUUCCCUUCUUUUAAUUGUGUUAUGAUUCAAUCCCUCUAAAAUCUUCAAGUAGCAAAUAAAACACGUAAAAUAGCAAAAAGAAGUCAAAAUUAAUAAGAAUUCUUACAACAAAGUAGCAUGUAAGAUAUUGAAAAUGGAGUGAAGAUGCAAAUCCGGUUGAAAAGUUCUUUCUUACUUGUCUUUUACAAUACUCUCCCUUGCUUCUCUAUUACAAUUUAUGCAUGUAACUUCCUAUCUUUUGUUUCUUAUCAUUCAUAUAACUUAAUUAUAGUUGACAUCCAAAUAGUACUUAAUCAUAUAAGGAUUCAUUUAUAUAGUAAUAUAGUAAAAGUAAGUUACAAUUAUCAUCUUAAUCAAUGUGGAAGCUACCAUGUUAGGAGUGUUAAAAUAUCCACAAAUCCAUAGUUUUCAUUUAGUAAAAGUACAAUUUCUUGUUUAAUGAAAUACACACUUUAAAGAAAAUGUAAAAAUUUAUAUGAACCACACUUUUCUAUAACUAGACCAAAGUUUCAUAUGCAUGAAACUAUAGAAAGUAUGAUUAAGUUCAACCAAUCAUUAAUCACAUCUAAUAGUUAUGGCCAAAUUAAACCCAAUGUAAAGAUUCUAAUAAAAUACAUUUGGGAUUUAAUAAUUGUUGGUGAGAAGCUCUCAACCAAAAAUAAACUAUUAUAAAAAAGGUUUAAGAAAAAAAAAACCCCAAGAUAUUUUAAUUAAAAUAACUAUAAUUUAAAUAAUUUUUUAUAGGAAAAAGAUCUUAAUUUUUUUAAGAAAAAAAAUUCAUGGUUUUUCUUCAAAUAACUAAAUAUAAGUGGAUUAAAGGUUAUGCAACUCUUUGUUUGAAAAUUAGCAAUAAUUUCAAUACAAUACACCUUUCAAAAUAUAAGUGGUUUUUAAUUGGUAGUUGUUUGAGUCAGAGAUUUAUUUAUUUUUAUUUUUAUUUUAUUUUUAAAAAAAACUUCUUAUCAAAACAUAUUUUAUAUUUUGAUAAAUCCUAGAUUCAACAGUUCUAUUAGAUUAAAAUGACAAUAUUUUUUAUUUGAACUUUAAAUAUAAUAAAUAAAUUCUAAGAACUUUUACUUAAUAUAAUCUUUUGUAUGUUUAUAUUACAUAAAUUGAUAAAUUUUUUCAAUUUAUUCUUACAUUGUAAAUAAGAUUAAUUACAGAUUAAACUUUCCUUCCAAAUAAAAUGGUUGAACAAAACAUUCAUAGAAACCAAAAAAUAAAAAAGUUGAAAUGCAAUGAAAAGAAAAAAAAUAAAUAGAAAAAUAUGAUGCAUUUUACAUUAAGGAUAUAAUUUUCUUAAUGUGGUAAAUCAUUUCUAGCUAGUGGCACCAGGGAUCAUAUUCUUGUUUCAUUGGCUCUUCCAUAUUGCUUUAGUGUUGUUUUUUUGGGACCAAAGCACUUUUGUUGAAACCUUACUUGUAGUGCUAAUGUUCUCUUUUAUACUUGCAUAUCAGCCCAUGGUUAACCUCUUUCCUUGAUUCCAUGUCUUCUAAUAUUCUCUUGUCUAAAUCAAGUGACCUCUCACAAAAGCUAAUAAAGUAAAAGUUUAUGCACUUUAUCAUAAUAAAUACUAAAUCAAAAAAGGUGUGAGUAUUACAUGAUACUAGGAGAUUUUGAAAAAAUUAUAAUAAAUUUAAAAUAGUUUAAAAUUUAUUUUUCAAAUCUAUGAUGGUUUAAAAAAAAUUCAAAUUAAAAGUUGUCUUCUGAAAAAAAAAAAAAAACUUCAAUAUUUUAAUAUCGAAAAUAAAAUGUCCUCACUAAUUUAAGGUCUUUAUGAAUUUAAAGAAAACAAAAAAUUGUUGGCAAAUAAUGCAUAUAUAUAUUGCUCAUCCACGUGUUCUCUUAUCCACUUCCCUUCUUUUAGUUGUGUUAUGAUUCAAUCCCUCUAAAUACUUCAAGUAGCAAAUAAAACACGCUUACAACAUGUAGCAUGUAAGAUAUUGAAAAUGGAGUGAAGAUGCAAAUCCGAUUGAAGAGAAGACCGAUGAAGAGAAGAUGCCAACAGAAAGUUAUGAUUUUAGGAUUUCAUAUUAAAUUUUAAUUUUCUUUCAUUUGUUUAUUAUCCCUUCUACUUUCUCAGUUUACUCAUACAAUGUAAAAGAAAAAAAAAUCAGUUUAAACGCAAUGAAGAAAAAUAAAUUAAUACACCAAUAUGAUGCAUUUUACAUGAAAUAUAGAUAGGUGGCCCCAAGCAUCACAUUCUUGUUUUCCUUGAUGCUGCUUUUUGGACCAAAGCACUUUUGUUGAAACCUUACUUGAAGUACUAAUGUUCUUUUUUGUUAAUCUCAUUGCUUCAUUCCUAUUCUUAUAAUAUUCUUUCCUAUAAUUCAAGUGACUUCUCAUAGAAGUUAGGUAAAGAAAAAAUUAAUUAUACUUAUCUUAAUCAAUACUCAAAAAAAAAUAUUUGAAAAUAGGUGGUAAUGUUUAAAUAAAAUAAAAUAGACAUGCUCUCAUUGUAUCAAUAAUUUUGAGACAAUUCACCUUUUCAAUAUAUAGGUUUAUAACUGGUAUUGGUUUGGGUUAGAGGGUGUUUUUUUUUUUUUUUUUUAACUUCUUAUCAAAACAUAUUUUAUAUUUUGAUGAGUCCUACUUUCAGUAUUUAUAUUAGAUUAAAAUGAUAAUAUUUUUUUUAUUUGAACUUUAAAUAUAAUAAAUCAAUUCUAAGAACUUUUACCUAAUCUAAUCUUUUAUAUGUUUAUAUUAGAUAAAUUGAUAAAUUUUCUCUACUUUCUCAAUUUAUUAUUAAAGAGUAAAUAAGAUUACAAAUUAUACUUCCUUCCAAAUAAAAUGGUCGACCAAGAAACCAAAAAAUAAAAAAGUUGAAAUGCAAUGAAAAAACAAAUAAAUACAAAAAUAUGAUGCAUUUUACAUGAAGAAUAUAAUUUUCUCAGCGUGGUAAAGCAUUUCUAGCUAGGUGGCACUAGGCAUCAUAUUCUUGUUUUCCUUGAUUGUCUCUUCCAUUUUGCUUUAGUGUCUUUUCAUUUUUGGACCAAAGCACUUUUGUUGAAACCAACCUUGUAGUGCUAAUGUUCUUUUUUAUACUUUUAUAUCAAUCCCUUGUUAACCUCAUUGCUUGAUUCCACUUCUUCUAAUAUUCUCUCGUAUGAAUCAAGUGACGUCUCAUAAAAGUUAAUAAAGUAAAAGUUAAUAUGCCUUAUCUUAAUAAAUACUCAAUCAAAAAAGUGCCGAGUAGCACGUGGUAUUAUGAGAAUUCGACAAAAUUACAAUCAUUUUAAAAUAGUUUAAAAAGUAUUUUCAAAUCCAUUAGUUAUCCAAACUUUUCUCAUCAUUUUCUAAAAAAAAAUAAAAUAAUUUUUUAAUGUUUGGUUUUCACAUGGAAGAGAUCAAAUAUAAUUAAAAUUAGUUUAAAAUUUUUAUAUUUUUAAAUUAUUUAAUUUUUAUGUAGAAAAUUUAAAAUAAAUAAAAUGAAUUUAAAGAACAUAUCAAAUAAUUUAUUGAAUUUAAAAUUAUUUUUAAUUUUUAUUCACUUUUUUCCUCACAUUUUCUAUUAAAUUUAUAUGAGAAACAAACACAAUUUUAGUAUUUUCUCUUUUUUUUUUUUGGUUAAUGUUGUUUUCCCUCGUCUUUUUCCAUGGUAUUUAAAAAUAAUAAAUUUGUUCCCUUUAAUUGCAGCUUGUUGACUUGUCCACCUAAUCCAUGAUAUCAGCCAGUACCCAUGUGACCUGGCCCAUCCCAUCCACCCCUAUAAAGAUAUCUCUUACUUUGUUCCCUAUUCUCUCACAAUUCCCUCAGCUUCUCAUCUUCUACGUGCUGUAUUUUCUUGGCUUUCAGCUACUUUGAGUUGUUCCAAAAUGGCUGACCAAAUUCCAUUCGGUGUUGUGGAGCACAUUUUGACCAACUUGGGGUCCUCGGCGUUUCAAGAAAUUGGAUCCAUGUAUGGUGUUCCAAAGGAGAUGACCAAGCUCAAGGGGAAACUGGGCAUCAUCAAGGCUGUGCUUUUGGAUGCUGAGGAGAAGCAGCAGCAGAGCAAUCAUGCAGUCAAAGAUUGGGUCAAAGAUUGGGUCCGGAGUCUCAAAGGCGUUGUGUAUGACGCAGAUGACUUGCUGGAUGACUAUGCAACCCAUUAUCUUCAGCGAGGAGGAUUGGCAAGGCAGGUCAGUGAUUUCUUCUCAUCUGAAAAUCAAGUUGCUUUUCGUUUAAACAUGAGUCAUAGACUCAAGGAUAUCAAAGAAAGGAUAGAUGACAUUGAAAAAGGCAUCCCCAUGUUAAAUCUGACUCCACGGGACAUAGUACAUAGGAGAGACAGCCAUUCAUUCGUGUUGCCGUCUGAAAUGGUAGGAAGAGAAGAAAACAAAGAGGAGAUAAUAGGGAAGUUGUUGUCGUCCAAGGGUGAAGAAAAGCUUUCGGUUGUUGCCAUUGUAGGCAUUGGGGGGUUGGGAAAGACCACCCUUGCUAAAUUGGUAUACAAUGAUGAAAGAGUGGUCAAUCAUUUUGAGUUUAAGAUAUGGGCUUGCAUUUCUGAUGAUUCUGGUGAUAGUUUUGAUGUUAUUAUGUGGAUCAAAAAAAUUUUAAAAUCUCUGAAUGUUGGGGAUGCUGAAAGUCUGGAGACUAUGAAAACUAAGCUUCAUGAAAAAAUAAGUCAAAAGAGGUACUUGCUAGUCCUCGAUGAUGUUUGGAAUCAAAAUCCUCAAAAAUGGGAUGACGUGAGAACUUUAUUAAUGGUUGGGGCUAUUGGUAGUAAAAUUGUAGUGACCACCCGUAAACCAAGAGUUGCAUCAAUCAUGGGAGAUAAUUCUCCCAUUAGUUUGGAAGGUCUGGAACAAAAUCACUCCUGGGAUUUAUUUUCAAAAAUCGCAUUUAGAGAAGGCCAGGAGAAUUUGCAUCCAGAAAUUCUAGAAAUUGGAGAAGAAAUUGCAAAAAUGUGCAAGGGAGUUCCUCUCGUCAUUAAGACUUUAGCAAUGAUAUUGCAGUCUAAAAGAGAACAGGGCGAAUGGUUGUCUAUUAGAAACAAUAAAAAUUUGUUGUCACUUGGCGAUGAAAAUGAGAAUGUUCUAGGGGUGCUGAAAUUAAGUUAUGAUAAUUUGCCAACUCAUUUGAGACAAUGUUUUACAUAUUGUGCUUUAUUUCCAAAAGACUUUGAGAUUGAGAAAAAGUUGGUGGUACAACUAUGGAUAGCACAAGGUUAUAUUCAACCUUAUAAUAAUAAGCAAUUAGAGGAUAUAGGGGAUCAAUAUGUUGAGGAAUUAUUGUCAAGGUCAUUGUUGGAGAAGGCAGGAACCAAUCAUUUUAAAAUGCAUGACCUUAUACAUGAUCUUGCACAAUCAAUUGUAGGAUCUGAGAUCCUUAUUUUAAGAAGUGAUGUAAAUAACAUUCCAGAAGAAGUUCGUCAUGUAUCAUUGUUUGAAAAGGUAAAUCCUAUGAUAAAGGC
rnacentral:lncRNA from 1 species